AUUUGCAUAUACGUACAAUUUCUUGUAACUAUGAUAAUUCUAUAAAAACAGUUUUGAACAAUUUUGAUUUUAAAUUUUAUAAUAUUAUCUCCUCUCUUUAAAAAAAUUGGGGGCCUGGCAUGAACGGUUGUAGGUGAGUAAAGGGUAGUGCCUUUUAUUGAAACCUUCUAAUUUAACGACGGAUCUACAUUCCCAACACUAAUAAAGUAAUAAAAGAGACUUUUAUUUAAUUUUCAUUUAUUAAUAUUAGUAAGAAACUUUUUGUAAGCCUGUAAUAACCCAACGCUUGGCCACCACCAACCUUAUUUCAUGACCCCAUUCAGAAAAAGAAAUGUACGUGCAAUUGUAAGUGACUGGAUAUUCAACAGAAACAUGUAAAGACAUUAUUGCUAGUGAUGUCAUGAGUUCCUGAAUUUGACGAUGCGCUCGCGUUACCUUACAUGAUUGAGCAACCAUUUGGGUUCUCGUCGCUAAAACAUUCACCGCGGCUCGUGUAACAGUAGCUAUACCCGCCGCCGCCGCCCCAGCUGUCAUAAACUGGCCUACCGUAAGUCUGGUAACAUGGGCGUAGGGGUGGAGGUGGUCCACCAUAAUAGCAAGGUCCCCCACCAACGCCAUGAUAGCAUUCCGUGCAACAGCAUCCGAUGGGGGGAUAAGCCAUUGGUGGUGGAGGACAAGGUUCUGGAACCUUUGGUGCUGCUGCUGGCGGUUUCGGUGGUGGUUCUUUUCGUUUCUCAGGUUCCUUAGGCUUUUCGGGUUGUUUAGGUUUCUCGGGUUCUUUGGGUUUUUCGGGUUCUUUCGGCUUUUCGGGUUGUUUAGGUUUCUCGGGUUCUUUGGGUUUUUCGGGUUCUUUUGGUUUUUCGGGUGCUUUAGGCUUUUCGGGUUCUUUUGGUUUUUCUGGUACUUUAGGCUUCUCUGGUUCUUUGGGUUUUUCAGGUUCUUUGGGCUUUUCGGGUUCUUUAGGCUUCUCAGGCUCCUUGGGUUUGGGAGGAGGAGGUGGAGGUUUGAUCUCAAUGCUCUUGAUUGAUCCAGCACCCUUGCAACAUAUCUUGUCCCUCAGCUUCUCAGGAUUGCAGCAUACCACAGUAAUGGUCACGGUGUUGGCUUUCUCAUUGUAUAUCUGGUCUCGUAUUUCUCUUGUUCGCAAAAACCCAUCAUCAAAAAAUUAUCAACUUAAACCAUAUAAAAAACUACUUUGCAAUUAUUAAAAUGCUAAACACAAAAAGGACAAGCAUAAAAAUCAGGAAACAGGAACUCACGAGGGAAUUUACACAGCACUUUCUUCACUUUCUUGUAGCAUCGCCAGCACUGAAGGUCCACCUUCAGCACCAUUACAGUCACCUGCAUCCGUACACACACACACACAUGUAAAGUUAUAAAUUAUUAUGUAUCUUGUGAAUGAUGGAAGUCAGAUAGACAGAGAAAGUAAAUAAUUCCAUAUAUCAUCAUUAGCAAACAAAACAGACAAGGGAAAAAAAUAGGAAAGUACAACAAGAUUCGGGUUCUGGAAUGGAAGAAUCAAGAACGAUCAAAAAGAUCACAAAAAAAAAAAACAACGAUAAGAACGAAAUGGGUAUUAGGAGUUGAGAACUCAAAAAGGGAUAAGAUUAUAAGAAACCUUCUCGGCCAUGGCUUAGAACUGAGAGACCUCAGAUCUGAACAAAGAAGAUAGAAGAAGCAAAGGAAGGGCGAUGAAAUGAAGAACCAAUAUUUGAAAGCGAGAUCGAGGAUUGAAGAGAGCCUUGUAAUUUAAGCUUCCAAUAAUUCUAUUAAAAGGUAAGGCAGGCAGACUAGGCCCUAGUAAAGCCCAAUUAAUAGUUGACACGUGGAAUUUGAGUAGAACUUCAAUAGAUGGGGUUGCUUUUUGAUUGCUGACUCUACAAUCUUUCCUCUUUCUUUCUGGAUGCGACGGCUGGCGCUAAUGCAGUCAGCUAGUUUAACAUUUCUGGACUAAUUUUGAGUAGGGGGGAAAUUGUGAUUUAAAGAAUUAAAUUAAUUUUAAAAUUAAUAUAUAUCUCAUCAAUUAAAAUUAGAUCACUCAAUAUAAAUACAGGGAAUUAAAAUUUAAAAUGUAUUCAAACUUUCUUUCAAAAAAAAAAAAAUUCAAACUUAAAUUAAAUCAAAAUAUAUUUGGAAGGCAAGUGGAAUUUAAAGGUCAAAUGCUGCUAUUAGACCCUGUAUUAUUUUUUUAAAUAAUACAAAUGUGUUAAUAUCUAAUUACAAAUAUAUAAUGGUUAUAUUUAAAUAUUUAAACUGCUUAUAUAUUCUAAUUAAAUUUUAUAAAUAAUUAAUAUUUUUUGCUUAAAAAUAUUUAAAAUUUAUAAUUCACAAUUUAAAAUGUUAACAAGUUAUAAUAAAUUAUUUUUAUAUUCUUAUUAAAAUAUAAUAAUAUUAAUUAAUUUGAACUUUAUUUAAAUGCAUAUUUGUUACUUAAUAAUUUCAUGUCUAAAAUAGGCAUUUUAUUUCUCAAAAACACUUUUUGACAUCAAUGCUAAACACUCAAAUCUUAAACCAAACUUUUCAAAAGUACUUCUUAAAAACACUUUUUCACGAUACUUUUCAAAAGUAUUGCUAAACCAGCUCUUAGUCCACAUUCACCAAUUGGAUCAUUCUUAGUGGCUAUAUAUAUAUAUUAAUUUCGAAUUUUUAAACUUAAUGCAAACGAUAUAUUAGCUGAUUUUUUGCAAGUAAUAUGUGAAAAAAAAAAACAAAACUUAACUUAUUGAAUUUAAUAGUUAUCAUUUGAUAAGGAUUAUUCAAAUUCGAAAAACAUAAAACCAAAAAUGAUCAAAUGAAAAUACAAAUAUUAAAUCCAUAACUUAUACAAAAUACAAAAAAAAAAAUUGACCAAAUUUAAACCCAGAGAAAACUAAACAUUCAAAGUUGUAAACUCUCUUUUUUACCAACAUUACCAAAGCUUCAUUGACAAUUGAUGUGCUUCAAAUUGUCAAAGUAAUUAAAUUAUUUGACAGAAUGGGCCGAGUUUAGACAAAAAAAUAGGUGCAAAUAUGGGGGAUGAGGUUGCAGGUCCAGAUGCACACACGUGUAACAAGAAUCCCAUUGGGGUUGCAUCCAUUCUGCUGGUUCACAAUUUAUAGUAAUAAAUGAGAUAAUAUGAUAGUUUUUACCCUCUGCUGAAUUGGGACUCUUUCGAUGAAUGAAAUUCUUGACUUAUAUCAUAAUAAUUUAGAAACGGAAGGAACUAAAAUCGGCACCAAACUUGAUCCGACUCAAGGUUUUUUAUUUUUGGGUAAACAAAAUAUUUGUAGCCUCAACGUCGAAUUUUAGGUCGGCUCCAAGAUUUUGGUGAUGAACCCAUGUCUCCUGUCAUUACAACCCUUGCUUAUGUAUUCGUCAUUAACAGUAGCGGAGCCCCGAGAGAGAUACCGACCCCCUCCAAAUAAAAAAGUUCUUUUAGCUUCGCCCUUCGAUUGAUGUCCAUAAUCACUGUAGAAGAGUCAUUACUUUUUUAGUAUCUAGAAUCAAAAUGUAUAGUCAUUAUAAAUUAAUCAAAAGUUCAUAAACAAUGAAAAAUGAUCUUUUCAUACAAAAAUAAAACCCCAAAUUAGAUUAUCCAAAUAAAAGAGAGAACUCAGAGAAAAAACAAAGCUAAACAUAUUUAGGAAGUGUUGGCAUAUAUUCAUCAAUUUAACAAAUCAAAAAUACAAGUUAAAUAAUUUGAGGUGUGUUGUACAUUGUCCUUAAGAAUACUUUGCCGUAUAAUGUGUCCAUAGGGUUCAACAAGCUUUUUCAUUAUAAAACGAGAACAUGAAUCAAUAAUAGAUUAUAAUAGAAAAUAUUUACUAAACUCAAAAGGAGGAGGAGAAAAACAAGGGGAGAAUGGUAUAUUUUUUUAGAUGUAUUUAAAGUGAAAAUGAGUCAUGGGAGUUUUACUGCUAAAAAAUAGUAAAGAGAAAUGGAUUUAACUUAGUUUAAAAUAGUUAAAAGAAGGUUUAACAAAUUUGGGCUUGCCUAAAUAUAGUUUUACUCAAUUAAACUAUUUUUAUCUUGGCUAAAUAUAUGUGUUACUAGUUAAAUAGUUUUUUUUUCUUAAACGCUAACAAUUUUGAAAAUGAGCGAUUAAGAACAAUUAAUAGUGGCGUUACUAUUUUUCAUCCAUUUUACCUAAUAUUGAUUAGUAUAAUAACAAAUUUGACCGUCAAUAUUUAAAUAUUUUGUUAAUUUAUUCUUGAUUCUAACAAAUUAAACUAGUUUAGCCUUCAAUAUUUACAGAUUUUAUUAAAUUUAUCAUGUUUCUAGAAAAACAUAUGAAAAAGUAAAUAAAUAAAAUACUUUUUUAGAAAAUCUAAAAAUUUAAAAAGAAUGUAUAAAAAAUAAUUUAAACUUCCUAAAAUAUAUAUGAUGUAUUAAAGGGCCAAUCAUAUUGUGCCAUGUGUAUUAAAAAAUUAAUCUAAUUUUUUUAUUUUCUUUUAAUUUUUAUUAAUUAAAAAAUAAAUAAAUAAAUAAAUUUAAUUAAUUAAUUAACCUUUUCAAUUUUAUUUCUUUCCUUUUAAUCUUUCUUCCUUCCUCCUCUUUCUUCUAGCUUCAUCAUCAUCAUUGUCACCAUUAGGGGUGAGUAUUCGAUCGAGUCGAGAUGAAUUGAGUAAAAAAGUUUCGAGUCAGUCGAGUUGACGAAUCCUAUUUUGUCAACCGAACUCAAUUUGAAUUUUUUUUAAUCGAGUCGAAAAAUUUCGAGUCGAGUCAAGUUAACGAAUCUUAUUAUUUAUACUUAAUGUUGAAUUUACAUGGACCGAUUAUUUAACUAGUAGACGAAGUACAAGCUUUUAGAUUAAUUUUGAGUAAAGGAAAAAGGGAAAGUGGGGCGAUUUGGGAAGGAAAGUAAGACUAUUGGGUAAACAUUUAUCAAAACAACGUAGUUUUACCUUUUAACUUGAUAGUUUUGACUUUUAAUUUUAGAUAAAGUAAACAUUUAUCAAAACGACAUAGUUUUACCUUUUCUUAUUUAGAUUUUUGAAUAAUUUGAAUUAAGUGUGUGCGUUCAGUCAAAUUGAGUGAAAUUGUUCGAGUGAAAUUAGAAAAGUUAAUAAUGUGAAAUUAAAAUCUUGUUAUAAUAUAACUAUUUUCAUGUUAGAGCACAUAAAUUUGAAACCAUAUAUAUUUGAAGACUUUUUGAAAGCAUAACAAUAAUAAUAAUAAUAAUAAUAAUAAUAAUAAUAAUAAUAAUAAUAAUAAUAUUUUAGUAUGAUAAAUUUGAAUCAUUAAUCACUUAUUUAGAUUCCAAAAUUAUUAUUUUAUAAAAUUUUUAAAUUUUCAAAAUUUUUUAUAUAUUUUUUAGAUUUUAAAAAAAAUAGAAUUUUUUUAAAAAAUAAAAAUUUUAUAAUUUUUAUAAAUAUUUUGAAUUUUAAAAAUUAUUUUGAUUAUUUUGUAAUUUUUGUUAAGAGAGACCAAUUUGCUUAUUUUCAAAAUUGAUAGAGACCAAAAGGGUAUUUAUAGUAAUCUGUUAUUCGAAUUAUUCAAGUUAUUCGAAUUGUAAAAACUCAACUCGACUCAAACUCGAAAUCCAAAAUUUCUUAUUCGAGUUGACUCAAAUAAUUUGAAUAGCUCGAUUAGGUUAACUUGAAAUUUUUUUUUUAAAUUUUUUCAAAUCGAAUCCAAUGCUUAACUUUGUUCAGCCCACCGCCACCUCUGCUCAAGCUCUGACCCAGCGUCGUUCACACGCCUCUACCAUCCUCAUUUUCCAACCGAAGCUGCAUUAACACCAAAUGGUAAAAUAGCAAGCAAUGUUGAGUCAAAGCUUGAGCAACAAUGCAUUGCAUCAAAACAGGCUUUUAGCGGCGUUUUUUUAGGUCUAUAGCAGCGCUUUUAAGCGACGCCAACGCCGCUACAUUUUGUAGCGUUUAUGUGAAAUAAAAGCCGCUAAAGAGCAUGACCUUUAGCGGCGCUUUUAUCUCAAACGCCGCUAAAGAAUAUGACCUUUAGCGGCGCUUUUAUCACAAACACCACUAAAGAUCAUGACCUUUAGCGGCACUUUUAUCACAAAAGCCACUAAAAAUCACGACCUUUAGCGAUGCUUUACCCAGAAACGCCACUAAAAAAUGACCUUUAGCGACGCUUUUAUCUCAAACGACAAUAAAAAAUUAUCUUUAGCGACGCUUUUUUCACAAACGCCACUAAAAGUACCGUUUUCAAUUUUCAUCCAUAUACAACCCUUCCUGUAGCAUAAAAUCCAACCAAAAACAGCAAAUCUAAAUGAUACUUUAAAUUCAACGAAAGAUAUAUGAUAUAAAUUGAUAACUGAAGUAUAAUUCAAAAUAUUCUUACAAUAAUGUUAAAAGUUACACUAUUAAAAAUAUUCUUACAGUAAGAAAACAAAUGUCUAAGAUGGAGGAUUUUGCGACUACUGAAACAUAUUCAUCAUAUUAAUUUGUCCAUAGAAUUCCGAUAACCACAAAUAACAGUAACUAGGAAGCUCAAGGUCUUCAUCUCCAUGCCAAAUAUGGUCACUUGGCUGCAUGAAAUAGUAAUUCCAUUCAGUAUUGUAACUCACAAAUCAAUAUGAUGUCAAAAAUACAAUCAAAAUCUUGUUAGAUGAAACAUAUUUCGGCAGAUCUUUAUGGGAGAAAUGAAGGCAGUUUGUCAUAAUUUUUCAGCAAGCCAGGCAGUUUGCCUUCAAUAAUGAAUUUUUUAUGUAAAGUCUAAUUAAAGGUUGUGCAGUGGACACCUAGCUAAUUUCCAUUUAUGUAGCAAAUUAUAGUAGACUAACGCAUGCUUCAGCCCUAACAAACUUUUAGAAGACAUUUAUAUAAUGCAUUAAACAGGUUUUUAAAAAGGCAUGACCUUUAUUUUCAGAUAAGGUAUAUAUCCCAUAUAAGUAUGCUCAACUUUUUUAAGGAUUUUCAUAUAUUUGGAGGAUCAUGUUCAUGUAUCCAUGUCCAAAUAUGCAUCAAACACAAGUGUCAAACAUGAGCACUUCAGAAAAAAUGAUGAGUUAGAGUAACAUAGAUAUAGUAGCACAGAUCCCCCAUGUCAACACUCAAUAAUGAUUAAUGGAUAAGAAGGAAAAAAAAAGAAUUAGGUACCUUAAUUUCAGAUAUUGUGCCUUUUGUCAGAUUCAACUGUUCUAGAAUGAAUUCUUCAACAACCUCCAUUGAUUCCUUAUCAGUCACAACUGAGUAUCUGGCCAUAGAUGAAAAGCUAGAAGAAAAGAAGCUCAAAAAAUCCAGUAGCAGCUGCAAAAUUAAGUUUACCAAGAUAAACAGAACUUUUAAGAUAAUAAGAGAUAUUAAAGCAGUUUCAGAACUGAAGAAAAUAUCUUUACAAAAUUAAUGUUACUAUAGGUGAAUAUAUAUAUAUAUAUAUGAAACAAUCAUGAUCAUAAUCAUCAAAACUCAUAGUUGACAGCAAGUACUCUUCAUUUUGUUUAAAACAUCAGUGUCCAACACAUAUGCAAACAAAGGUACUGAGAUAUGAUCCUCCAAGGACAUAUCCAUGUGGAAAGUGCACUAUCACUCUAGAAGAUGUCCAUCUACAAUUGGGAUUGCCGGUGGACGGGUACCCAGUUAUCGGGUCUACCCAAUCUAGCAAUAGGGAGGCGGUGUACUACGAGCUUUUGGGCGCUAUUUCGAAGAAAAUGGAGGGAGGUAAGGUCGAGCUGGGCUGGUUACGUGACACAUUCCCUGAUCCGAAUGAAGAUUCAACCGAAAUUUAAAGAAUCUGAUAUGCUCAGGCAUAUAUUCUACAAUUAAUUGGAGGUUAUCUGAUGCCUGACACGUCAUGGAGCCGCGUACAUCUAAGAUGGCUGCUGAAACUUGUUGAUUUUAGAGCAGCCGGUAAAUUUAGUUAGGGGUCUGCUGUCUUGGCAACAUUAUAUCGGAAGAUGUGCGGGGCGACGCGACCGAGGAGAGUAGACAUCGGAGGUUGCCUGUCACUACCGCAGUCAUAGGCACGGUUUCGCUUUCUAUUUCUACGUCCUCGGGUGAACCACCCAUAUACAUUCCCACUCAUAACGAGGUAAAUUUUAUAUUACAUUUUACAAUUAUUAUGUAGAUUUUUAAAAAUAAAAGUAUGCUAAAAAUUUAUUUACUUAGGUGGAAACAUCCGGCAAGUUAUGCUCGAUUAUCGUCCUCACUUGAAGAUAUACGGCUUCUAUUGGACCAACGGUCGGAAGCAGAAGUAAGUAUUAUUGAAAAUAGAUAUUUCGAUACAUUCGCUAGUCGAUUGAUAUUUAGUAUUUAGUAUUUAGUAUUAUAAAUAUAAUUAAUAUUUCUAUCAUGUUCAUAUAGUUUCAAUGGACACCAUACGAGGAUCCGGCAAUUCGGGCAGUAAUCCCAGAAAAGUUUUUACAAAAUCCACAAGUUUGGCACGUGAAAGUCGUGUUGAUCAACUACGCAACCGUGGAGCCGCACCAGACAGACAGAGUGUUACGACAGUUUGGAUGUAGACAACUGAUUCCGGUGGAUCCUGAGGUGUUUGACGAGCAACACAAAGUCGACCUUCGGUAAUUGAAUACGGAUUGGACGAGAUACUGGUCUGAGUACAUGAAAAUGUGGGAAGAUCAGUAUGAAUAUCUACAUACUCGGGAACCAAUCAUCGUUUCGGAGUUAGCGUGCGUUCCAGAAUACAUGCCAUGGUUUAGGAUCCAUGGCAAGCCGUAUUUACUGACGCCAGAGGAGAGGCAGUGGCAAAUACGUAGCGAAAGGGAAAGGCGUGGGCCUCUAAAUCCAAGACGACAAGACAACGAAGGCAGCCCUUCAACGAGGCUCAGACAUUCACCCGGCUCAUCAUCAGCAGCCAUGCAAUCACCAGGCCCAACGAGAGUACCGACGCAGUCACCCGACACAGCAGUACAACCGAUGAUACCCACGCAACCGCCUUUUCAAAUAAUGCCAGGUGCGUUUCCUAGCCCUUAUAUAUACCCUAACCCUUAUAUGUAUCCUUUUCCGAGUCCUAUGGCAAGUUGGAGCCAAAUGCCUGGUUCAGCUCCAUUUCCUGUUAUGCCGAGUAGACCGCCGAUGUAUAGGCCAGCUCCAUUUAUUACAUGACCUACUGUAGCAAAAGCGCGUCCACGAGGCCGUGAUUUCACAAAUUCUUCUCAAAUAGUAUCAUGCUAAAAGCGAUAUUAUACUAUUUGCUCAGAAACGUAAAAAAAAUAAUUAUUUCUUCCGUGCCCUACUGUAGCAAAAGCGCGUCUACGAGGCCGCGAUUUCACAAAUUCUUCUCAAAUAGCAUCCUGCUAGAAGCGAUUUUAUACUAUUUUAUCAAAAACAUCAACUCGAAAUUAUUUCUUCCAGGACCUAAAAACUCUAAAAAGCCUGAACCCUAAAAGCCAAAAAAACCUAACGUGGAAAAACGGCGAAAUCGCGUCCACGUCAGCGCGAUGUCAGGGUACGCGCCAGGAAAUCGUGUCCAUGUCAGCACGAGUUGCUGACGUGGACACGAUUUCCUGGCGCGUACCCUGACAUCGUGCUGACGUGGACGCGAUUUCACGGAAAAUGGACCAUUCCAGUAAAUAAUUAAAUAAUGGGCCCAUUUCGGUAAUUUUUGAAAAAAAUAGGCUUUUAUUGGUAAAUUACCCGUUCUUUUGUUUAGGCUUUUUAGGGUUUUUUUAGGGAAAAAAAUAAAGGGAAUCGGGGUAGGGGAGAAAUGGUUUGGGAAAAAUAAAAUGGGGAAAAAAUAAGAGAUUUCAGGGGGGAUGGGGGAAUCGAUUUUGGGAAAAAGAGGGGGAAAAAAGAGAUUUCAUUUGAAAUUCUGGGAUAAAAAAAUAUAAUUACAAAACCGCGUUGUUUUGCAGAAAUAUAUUUGUGGCGUUUGGAAAAAAAACGCUAUUAUUGCUCGACUUUUAGCGGCGUUUGGACCAAAAAUGCCACUGUUGCUCAACUUUUUUAUGGCAUCUGCAAAAAAAAAACUCCGCUAUUGCUUAUCUUUUGCGGUAUUUUUUUCAUAAACUCCGCUAACGCUCGACUUUUUUUACAAUUUUUAUAUUGAAUUAUUUUAUCUUUCAUAUAAAUUUUAAAUAAAUAUUCUUUUAAAAUUUUAAGUAAUAUUUAAAAGAAUUAGAUAAAAUUAUAAUUUUUAGUUUUUGUAUUUCAUUUUUAUUUUUGUAUUUCAUUUUUUUUUGUUAUAAUUUAGUCCUAUCCAAAAUAGAUAGUUACCUAUCCAUAUCAAUCUGUUACAUUUUUUAUUUAUUUAUCAAUUUUUUUAAAUCUAAUAUUUAAAUAUAUCAAAUGAUUUAGAUUAAAUAUUUUUAAAUAUAAAAGCAUAAAUUGAUUGUAUAAAAUUUCAUCAUUUAACAAAUCUCAAGUAAACCUUAAAUCCUAAACCAUUUAAUAUAUAUAAACUUUAUUAUUAUCUCUUAAAUAAUUUAAACAAUAAUCAUUAUUUUAAUAUAUUAAAAUUAAUACUAUCUCUUUUACAAUUAUAUAAGAAAUUAUUUAAUAUAUAAAUUAAAAACACUAAUUAAUUUAAACCCUAAACCCUUGACCUUUUACCUCUAAACCCUAAAUCAUAAAACAUAAAAUCAUAAACCUUAAACCCCUAACCCUUAACCCUUAACCCUUAACCACUAACCACUAACACCUAAUCCCUAAACCCAUAAUCCAUAACCCUUAAAAUAGUAACUCUUAAACCAUAUACCCUAAACCAUAAAGCCUAGCUAAAAUAUAAUGACAAUUAAUUCAAUAUUUUAAAAUUAAUACUAUCUCUUUUACGAUGAUAUAAGAAAUUAUUUAAUAUAUAAAUUAAAAAACACUAAUUAAUCUAAACCCUAAAGCCCUAUUCCGUAAACCCUAGAGCAUAAAACAAAACCCAUAAAUCCUAAAACACUAACCCUUAACCCAUAACCCAUAACCCCCAAACCUUAAACCCCAACUCAUAAACCAUAAUCCUUAAACCAUAAAGCUAGAUCUAUAGCGGCGUUUUUCAAAAAGCGCUGCUAAUGCCACUAAAGCUCAAUGACGGUGCUUAAUUUUUUUGCGGCAUUUUUCAAAAAGCGUCGCUAAUGCCACUAAAGCUCAACAUAAAACGACGACGUUGUGCUUAAUUUUUUUGCGGCGUUUUUUAAAAAGCCCCGCUAAUGCCCGAUCUAUAGCGGCGUUUUACAAGAAGCGCUGCUAAUGCUCUAUCUAUAGGGGCGUUUUUCAAGAAGUGUCACUAAUGCCACUAAAGCUCAACAUAAAGCGACGACGUUGUGCUUAUUUUUUAUGCGGCAUUCUUUAAAAAGCGCCGCUAAUGCUAUACCUAUAGCGGCAGUUUUCAAAAAGCGCCGCUAAUGCUCAACCUAUAGCGGCGUUUUUUAUCCAAACGCCGCUAAAAGUGCCGCUAAAAACCUGUUUUGCUGUAGUGGAGGUUGCUUGGACGGAGUUCGACGGCGGUGAUGGUGAAUGACAAUGGUGAUGAAGCUAGGAGAAGGAGAAGAAGCAAGAAAGAUUAAAAAGGAAAGAAAUACAAUUGCAAAGGUUAAUUAAUUAAUUCAUUAAAGUUAUUUAUUUUUUAAUUGAUAAAAAUUAAAAGAAUUUAAAUAAAAUGUUUUAAAUACACAUGGCACAAUAUGAUAGGCGCUUUAAUACAUCAUAUAUAUUUUAUGAAUUAUUUUUAUAUAUUUUUUAAAAUUUUUAGAUUCAAAAAUAAAAUAAAAUAAAAAUCAUGGUUAUUGGACAAUGGUAGGGAUUCCAAAAUUCGUACAGAAAAACCAACUUCUGCCAUUCUCUUAUUGACACACUUUCAAGAAAAUUAGGCUAAAGUACUGCAAGAUUUGAAAAACAAGUAAAGGUUUUAUUAAUUACUCAAAGGAAUCAUGUAAAGACCUAAGAGUCACAGGCUGGGAAACUCCUCCUCAACCAACCACAAAUGAAGAAAAUUCAACCACAACUCCACUCAUCCAUUUUAUUCAUCUCCUCCCCUGCUUCAUCAUUGCAAAUAGCAAACCCAAAUUUCGUAAUAAUAAAGAAAAACAAAACGUAAAAGAACAAGCCAAGGCAGGCACUCAAUGGAAUAGAUUAUACAUGUUAUCCACUCUCCACCUCACAUGGGUGUACAAUAACCUGACGUUUUAUGUUCAGUCCCCCCAUAACAACGGCCGCAACUCCCACAACCACAUGAUCCACCACCACCACCACCACCACCACAACCCUUGCACCAAAAGCUGCCGCACCCCUUACAUGAAGACGAAAUAGAGCCUUUGCAUCCGCCGCAAGAAGUGCUGUUGCACCCUCUGCAACUCCAGUUAUUGUAGUAUCCGUAUCCGUAUCCGUAUCCGUAUCCACCACUACCACUACAACCCCCACCACAUGAUCUGCUGCCGCAACCUGUGCAACACCCUCCACAAGAAGAGCUUCCACACCCGCUGCAUGACCAGGACGACCAGUUGCUGCAUCCGCUACAAGAAGAGCUGCCGCAACCUUUACAUGAAGCCUUGCUGCUGCUACAAGCACCACAAUACCAGCUGAUCCACCCAUGACCUAAGCAGCUUUUGCACCCACUGCCCCCACAACCAUUACAACACAUUUUUUUCCCGCAAUUCUCAUUGCAUGCCUUUGCCAGUGGGAGUGGAAUAUAUAUGGUCUGGUUGCAUGGACCUUCAGGAUGCCACGUGUUGCAUACCUUACAAAGUAUCCAUACUACUUUUGUCUCAGGUUCCUUCUUAGGAGGCUUAUCUUUUUCUGUUGUUUUUUUUUCAGGCUGUUUAAUCUCAAUGCUUUUGAUGCAACUGCCGGCCUUGCAGCUUAUCUUGGUCUUGAUACACUGAGGAUCGAUGGAGACCACAGUGAUGGUCACCGUAUUUGCCUUCUCAUCGUAUUUCUGGUCUCUUAUUUCUGUUCAACACCAUUACAUCACAUUUAAUCGGUUUUCAUUUAUGUUAUAUGUUUGUUCAUGCAUAUAGUUUAGGCACAAAUUAUAAUGAGAAAAGAAAAGAUCGAUCAAACUUGCCCGGAUAUUUGCAGAGCACUUUCUUGACCUUCUGAUAGCAACGGUAGCACUGAAGGUCAACUUUCAACACCAUUGUUGUGCCCUACAACAGUGCUCUUAUCAAACAAUGUGAUAGGUAAGAAAAGAAAAAAAAGAAGUAUAUAUAUAUACACAUAUAUAUAUUAUCAUACUACUAGAAAUUCUAUCACACAUAGAAAUCACAUAUUUAGAUUAGAAAAGUGUAUUUAAAAAUAACAUACAAUAAAUAAUUAAAUGUAUUAUUUACAAUUAACUAAUAAUAACACAUGAAAUUUUUUUAUAUUAAAAUGAAAAGUUAAGAUUAGAUUGUGAGUAAAACGAAAUUUAAACACAUAAAUAUAUCAAAUUAAGAAUACUAAAUGAGUACAAUCGUAUAUAUUAUAUUAAAAUAAAUAAAGAAUAAUAGUUUAGAUAUACAAUUGAUAUAGAUAAUAUAUAAGAGAAUGAACGAUAUAAAACAGUAAUUUCACUUCAUCUUUAUUCCUUUUCAAUAGGAAAAUGACAAAGUAUAUUUUUCCUCUUGAUUUUUAGCAUUUUUAGUUGAAUUUAAAUUUUUUUAAGAGAAAAAGGUUGAAAAUCAGGAGAAAAAAUCUGAUUUGUCAUUCUCAUAUUAGAAAAGGAUAGGAAUGACGUGGAAUCACAGUUUCAUACAAUCAUUUCUUAGGUAAUAAAAUAUGCAUAAUAAAAUUAAAAUGCACAAAAUAUUUCAACUUAAAACUUUGUUUGAGCGAUAAAUGGCAUGAGUUCAAAUUGUAUCACAUGUAAUUUUUUUUAUUGUUCUUUUAAGUAAAAGAAUAAAAUACCCUCAAAUAAAUUAUUUAUUUUAAUUACGAAAAGAUAUUUCCAUAAUUUUUCUAAUUGAGUUAGUAUUCGGUUGACUCAAAAAAAUAACUCAAUUAGGGAUUUAAAUAAUUUAAAUUGUUACCUAUUAAAUAAAUAUUCACUUUCUUCGGUAAUAGUUAGGAUGGAUUCUCAUUUGUAAUAUAUAUAUAUAUAUAUAUAUAUCUAUAUAUCUAUAUAGAUAUAUAGAUAUAUAGAAAGAGAGAAUUAAUUGAAAUGCACUGUUGAGGACUUGGAUGUCCUCCGCUGUUAUAUUAGGGGGAUUGAAGUCUGCGGCUCAUGAUUCACGAUUUCUUCCGCUUAAGCAAACAUAUGUACACGCACAUACAUACAUAUAUAUUCCGUGCGUGGAAAUAUCAUAUUUAAGAUAUAUAUAUAUAUUUAAAAAUAAUAUAUAAGAAAUAAUAAAAUAUAAUAUUUAAAAUUAAUAAUAAUAAUAACAAUACAUAUGCAAUAUGUACAAAAUUAAAAUGGAAAUUAGUUUAAAUUGUGCUUAAAAAAAUUUAAAUAAGUAAAUAUAUCAGAUUAAGAAUAAUAUUAAAUGCAAUCCAAAUUUCAUUUUUCAUGAGUUGGUCAUGACACCAACUCACUCAAUCAAUGACAUUAUCAAUAUAUACAAACAUGUGGGUGAAAUAAUUUGUAUAAUAAAAUUAAAAUGUAUAAAAAUAUAAAAAUAAAGCUUUGAUCAAAGUGGUAAAAAAAAAGUAUCGAUGUUGGUAGCAUGAGUUUAAAUCUCAACAGUUUCAACUUUUUUAUUGGUUUUUAUAACUAAGAAGAAGACAAAAGUAUCCUCGUAAUAAUAUAGCUUAUUUAAAAUAUGUAAGAUUAUUUUAAUAAUUUUCUUGACUGAGUUCCAAUUCAGUCACACACUUAAAUUAUAAACUACAAAUUUUACCCAAAUAUAUAAGUGUGAAAAUCACAUAUUUUGAAUAUGUGUGCAUUUAACAAUAAUAUACAAUAAAUAAGGUAAUUUGAAACUAUAUAUAUAUAUAUAUAUAUGAUACCAAGUAUUCGCGAAGAAUAUAAAAAUUAAAGGUGGGUUUAAAUAAAUGGUGUAAUAUGUUUAAUUUAUUUUCUGUUGCACAUUAUAAUAUUAUUAUAAUAUCUAAUUUUACUGUCAUUAACUACAUUUAAUCCUAUUUUUCAUCAAACUCACCCCAAAUCAUAAAACCUUUCGUUAUUUUGGAAACAUAAAAAUGUAGCGUUAAUGAAGUCAACACAUAACUAUAUAAUUAUAUAUACAUAUCCGUAAAUAACAGACAGCACAUAUGACAUAGUAAUAUUAGAGAAAAUAUAUAAAUGGUGAAAUAAUGCCAUACCUCUGCCAUAGCAGUGGAUGAUAGAGCCAAGUGAAACAGACAAGGAGAGAAAAAUCAAGAGAUGGGUGUCCUUCUUACACUUCUAUAUCAACCUAAGCGGCUAAAUUGCGUCUUAAAUAGAGCGAAAGACUUUGACUCGAUGCACUCUCGACCACCAAUCGUAUCCAUCCGGCACAGUAUGUUUUUCUUAUCACGAGUCACGACAAAGAUUGUCUUCAUAUGUGUUUAUUGAAUGAUUGAUGGCAAAUUUUUUAAAUUAUCACCACCAAGGAACUUAACUUUUGAUUGGACGUAGAAGCAUCAAUACAACAACCUCGUUUUGGUAUGAAAAAGGUAUUUCAUCCUCCCCAACUACGUUAUUUUGUUAUUUGAUAUUCGAGCUGUUGUGGCUGACACAUCCAUGGUAUUAAUUAUAGAUUUUAAUCUCCGGUCCCGGAUUUAUGCUCUCUUUCGUGGACCCAUCCUCAUUUCUAGGCUUUAUAUUAUAUUGGCAUGAGAUGUUUGGUACACAAAUCUUAGUAAAAUACAUUGUAUCCCAACUACAUUUUGAGUUAAGUUAUGAUUUAAUAGUGAAGUUAGAAAAUUUUUUGUAGGAGUCAAAAUAAAAUUGUAUAUUUUUAUAAUAAUAAAAGUAAAUUUUUUAUCAUUUUAAUGGGUUAUAAUUUUAUUAUUUUUAAAAGAUUAAAUUAUUUUUUUUCAUUUUUGGGAUUAAAAUGUAAUUUUAUCAUAUACCAAUUUAAAGUUUUUUAAAUUAUAAAAGGAGUACUAAAUGUGAAACUUUCCAUUUUAGGGAGGGUCGGGCCCUGCCAAGGCCCCCUUAGCUCCGCCCCUGUUACGACUAGCUCUUUAACAAUAAUGCUUAUCAACAAUGGUACCUUUUUAGCUUUGUAUCUCAAGUAACUAAAAGGAUUUAUAUUUGAAACAUUAUCUUUGUAUUAAUAUUACUUUUGGUUGGAGUAUUAUUUUCAUGCAUGUUUUAAUAUAUAAAUUAGUAAUAAAUUAAUUAAAUUGGUAAUAUUUAACCAUUCUCAUGACUAGGAGGAAAAUUUUUCUCUUAAUUUUUUACAAGAGUUUUUACUUAUCUUUCUUAUAUCAAGUUUAAAUGUCUACUAAUUAUUAUUUGUUUUAUUUAUAACUAUUGUAAUACAUAAGUAAGAAACAUGUUUUUUUCUUAUGUUAUUACAUUAGCAACCAAACGAGUUUUUAGUUAGGCAUGACAAUGGAGCGGAUUGGGAUGGAUGUUGGUAAACCCACUAUUGCUCCAUCGUUUGCAUGCUCUAUAUUGUCAUCUGUUUUGUUUCAUUAUGGAUGUGUAAUCUUAAAAAUUACUACCAAUUCCAUUAAUGUUGGAAACGUCCAUUCCCAACCUCGUCUCACCUCAAUUUAAUUUUUGCUAGUUAUUUAUAAUAUCUUCAAUUUAAAAAAACAAUAAAAUAUUCAAGCAUAAUUCUUCAAAACAAAAUUUUCUAAAAUUCUCAUUUUGAUUUUUAGUUUUGAGAAAUAUGGGUAAGGAAGAAAGUGAAAGAAUUUAGGUUUUUUUUUUAUGUAAUUCAUUAUUACAUUUUUACACUUUUAAAUUUGAAUAAUAUAAUUUUUGGAACUUGGCAAUUACAUACACUUUGAUAUUUUUAUUUUUGGUUCACUUUGAUACCUAAAUUUGCAACUAGAAUCAUUUUGGUCCCUGAACUUGGAUUUCGUUAAGAUUUGAUGAUAUGAUCAGUGUUUUUGGAACAUGACUAGAUUGAUUGGUCAGACUGAUUGGAUUGAGGAUCGACCAUACACUAGUCCAAACAUAGGGGUUGGGUUGAUUGAAGUGAAAACUGCUUGAAACCGAUAAAAAAUAAAGACAAAAACCAAUAGUUGAAAAGGUUAAUCCGAUUUAAUAAAUUUUUUAUUUUUUAAAAUUUUAUGAAUUAUGAAUUAUUUACGUAAUUAUUAUUGGUAUAGUUGUAGACCCGGUCCAAUCAAUUGAACCAAGAACCAAUGGGCUGACUAGUUCAACCACUAGUCCAGCUUUUAGAACAUUGUAUGUUACACUCUAAUAUUGUACCACAUCAUCACCUGAAAUUUUAUAUAUAUAUUUUUUAAUUUUCAAGUGAUGAUGUGGCAUGAUCUCAGAGGGCCAUAUCAUCAAACUUUUAUAUUUUUCAAGUUCAAGGACUAAAACAAAUCUAGUUGUCAAGUUUAGCUACCAAAAUGGAUAAAAAAAGUACAGGUAUCAAAGUGGACCUAGUUGCCGAGUUCAGGUGGCAAAAAUUAUAUUAUCCCUUUUAAUAUUUAAUAGUUAUAGGCAUAAUGUAAAAUUUAGCCUUUAAUGUUUACAUUUUUUUGUCAAUUCAAUUUUUAUUUUUUUAGCUAAAUUUGACCCUCGACCUUUUAAAAAGAGUCUAAUUAAUUGUUUUAAAUGAAAAUAUUGACUAAAAUGUUAAAAUUUUAAACAUGGUAGCCCGUACGACAACUAACAUAUACUCCAUCCUAAUUUAUUUAAUUUUUUUUAAUUUUUAAAUUUUUUGAAUAUUUUUAUAAUUUUAAAUUAUUUGUCAACAAUGAAGUAUACACUUUAGGUAAACAUAUAUGUAUGUUUGCUCACAAAGCACGAAGAAUAAUUGACUGAUUCAUUGACGUUCCUACAAAGAAACACUUAUGAAACUAGAACUCAUGCCUCAAAGAUGCAGUCAUCGAUUCUCCCGAGAGGCUACAAUUAUCACAAGAGAACACAUUAAUUUAAUGACGAGGAGCACAAUUUUCUAUGCUACUAAUAUUUGUACUUGCUCUGCUAUUCUGCCCAAGCCUUGUUGAGGAAGACUUAUAGGACAUAAAACAAAAAAAAACAAUGCUUAUUUUAUUUUGUUUUGGCAGGUAAUACUAUAUAUAAAAUAGAAAAGUAAAAAUAUAUGAUAAAUAAUAAAUAAAAGACCACUCCAUUUUGGCAAAAGACCCACGCUCAAGUUCCAUAGCUUUGGGUCCGCUAUCCCGAUCAUUAUUUUUCUACCCCUACCAAAGGGAAAGGUCCUUCCUUUUUGGGCAAGGAGGGAUUUCAACCCUCGACACCAUGGUUUGUAACCAUGUGCUCUAAUGCUCUGAGCUACAAGCCCACCUCGUCUCCAAUGGACGUGUUCCUCGGAGUACUCUAAAAAAAGGAACUUUUCCUCUUCCCAACCAUUUUGGGUUAAGAAGAUGUGAAAGUGCAUCUCUAUAAGAAUAGUGCGUCCCAAUACAUGAAGUGGGAGAGAGGGGAUUUCAUAAUCGGGGUUUUGAGUAAGGCUACCUUUUCAUAUCUCAUUCUUAUUACUUUUUGUGAUAUGAGAGAUCAUUGUGUCAUGUCGGCAUGGAGCACAUGUAGACUAACACGUGAAUUGUCACGCCACCAUCAUUAAAAAAUUAAUGUUUUAGUUAAGAUUUACAUUAAAAAAUAAUUUAACUUUUUUUUAAAAGGUUAACGACCAAAUUUAGCUAAAAAAAGAAUAAGAUUUAAAUUGAUAAAAGUUGUAAACGUUAAUGAUUGAAUUUGACAUUAUACUAUGGUGAUUUUAUACAGUAAGACGAAACAAACAAUUAAAAUAAUCAAACCAUACUUAUUAUAAUAAAAAAAAUUGCUUCCUCCCACCCAAAAUCCAUUUAAAAAUAAAAAAUGUGAAACAGAUACAUUCAAAAAAUUCAUUAGGAAGAUUAAGUUUUGUCAUCUAUUAAUAAUGUGAUAAUAUUUGUUGAAAUAUAAAUAUAAAGAUUUUAAUUUUGAAAAUUCUUGGUGAGGUGAGAUUCACUAAUAUUACACAUAUUUAUAUCCCUAGAGGAGAUGGAAGAAGAAAAUAAGGUUUGGCGACCAAUGGUGAUGGUGUAAGGUCAAAAUUAGUUUGCUGAAUGCAUGGAACAAUUAUUCAAUUAAGAUCACGGACCAUCCCAACAAAUUGGCAUCUCUCUGACUCCGAGCAAUCAAAUUGACCUUGGACCAAGGAUGACCAAUUAAAUGAUUAAGGUGUCUCGUGGUUAGAAUAUUAUUCUAUUUUAUCUAUUUUUUAUUUUAUGUAUAUUUAUAUCAGGUUAUAUCUUUAUCUACACUAUUAAUUUAAGUCAGUGAUUGAGUUAGUGUCACGAGUUAACUCGACACUAACUUGAUUAAAAAAUAUUUAAAUUUAAACUCAUGCCACCAAUAUCUAUAAAAAUCUUGUCUUUUAUCACUUUACCUAAAACUUAUUUUAUGUCCAAAAAAUAUAAAACUUAUUUUGAUACUUUUAUUCACACUUGCAUUUUAAGGUGGUUAAGGCCUUAUCCAUGGAGGAGUCAAUGGACUCUGAUAUUACCUUGCUCAAAAGAGUUAACCGGUUUUUUCGCUCUGAAGGCCAGUGGGAAAUCAAGUAUGUUCUUAGGGAGUGUAAUUUAAUUGCAAAUCAAUUGGCAAGGAUUAGUCUCUCUUGGCAGACUUCCCUUCAGAUCUUUGAAGUACCUCCUGAUUUGGUGGUUACGGCUAUUUAACAAGACAAAGUUUUUCGAGUUUCUUAGUAGUUGUUGAGUGGUAUUUUUGUUUAUCUUUUUUUCACAAAAAAAAAUCAUUAUUUCCACAUGUAUUUAUUUAUUUUUAAUGAAUAAUUCUAUUGGUUUUAAAAAAUAUAUUUAUUCUUUAUGGCUGAUAUGCAUGUUCACUUUUUAAAUUGUUUAUUGUUUUUAAGAUCUCUAAUAUUAAUUUUUUUAGUGUUGUUUUAUCAUUAAAACCCACACUGGUUUAAAAUAUUUCAAUUUAUAUUUGAUUUUAAAAUAAAUCAAUUUACUUGUGAUAUAUUCUUUUACUAAAACUAUUCUAUUACUAUCUAUAUCAUAAGUUGGUUCUACUUUUUUUUAUUGUUGUUAAGGAAUUAUUUGAUCACAUAUGAAUAUAUUUUCAAAUAUUACAAACUAAUAAAUAAAGUUUCUAAAUAACUUAAAUCAUUCUAUAAAAGUUUUUUAGUAUCACCAAGUCCUUUAAAAUAUUUCUAAGCCUUAUUUUUCAACUUGUCCAACAUUGUCUUGAGACUAUUUGAGUAUUGUUUUGAGACAGACCAAUAUCGAAGCUAAAAUUCCUUCAAGGGUGCCCUAUCUUGAGACAAAAGCUCAUUUGUCUCAAUACAAUACCAAAUCAAAGCUAAAUUUCGCUUUAGGGGUGCCUAGCAUCGAGACAAAAGCCCAAAUGUCUUGAAAAAAUCUGAUACCGAAGCUAAGGUUUGCUUCAGGGAAGUUGUGUCUCGAGAUAAUCAAGUAUUUAUCUCUAGACAUAUGGGUAAUUUUCUCAAGACAAACCUAUUGUGCCUCGAGACUAUAGGCUCCAACGAUCAUACUUUUUGUUCUUCCUCUCUCAACACAAGGGUUUUGUGUCUCAAGACACAUUGCUACAGGUUACAUUAAAUGCGCAAAAUGAAUGCUAUCAAAGGUUAGAAACUCCCUCCCACAACUCCAAACAUACAUAAUUCAAUGAGAAGAUAUAAAUAUGAUUCAAUGAAACUUAUAUGAAGACAAGAAACAUUUUUACAAAGAUCAAAAGCUAAAAUUUAAUCAAUUCUCAUUAUUAUUCUUAUUUUCACUUUACACACUUGUGGGAUUAGUUGUGAUUCAUUCUUUCAAGUGUUGUCUUGAUUUGUGAGAGGGCUUAAUUGUUGUUUAACUACCUUCUAAAGGUGAUAAUCCAUUCUCGAUUUUAUUUCUCAUUUUUAUGAGGAUUUACUUAAAGUUUUAGUUAGAAAACCUUAAGGGGAAGUGACCUUGCCUAUUGAAUAAUUAGAGAUUGUAAAGGUUAAAUAUUGUCCUUGAAAGGUUCAAAUUAGUAAAUUUGGGAAAUCCUUAGUUGUGGUAAGGUUUAAAGUUUUGUGAGGAUUUUCUUUGCUUUUCUUAGUUCUAUAGUUGGUAGUUAAGUUAGUUAUCACUGUAGCUAGGGUUUAUUUUCUUAGUUAAACCUUCAACCUGUUGUGUAUUUAGAUUCUAAUCCCAUGUUGAUGUUAUUCAGUUAUCUUUAAUUUCCUUCGUUAAAAAUCAUUUGUUUGGUGUUUUUGUUUAUUGUUCUUGCCUCCAUUGUUAUGCUAGCCCAUUAGAAGCAAACAUCCUUUAAGCUCAAGAUUCAUAUCUCAUGCUUAGACCAUCAAAUUUCAUGCAAUCAUACACAUAAAUCCAUAAAUCAUACAUUACUCAUUAUAAUCAUCACAUCAUACUCAUCUAGGUUUCGUUUCAUGUUUCAUUCACUAUUCACAAAAUUUUUAAGAACACAUAUCAUACAUGCAAGAGUUGGCUUAGUGACUCACUUGAUAGACCCAUCAAACAUUGACACCGUUCGAGACUCGACACUUGAUUCAUACAAACACACAAACUAUUUCACAUCUUAUCACAAAUUUCCAAACAUACUCAUACAACCCUAUUUUAAUUUCAGGAUUCACUGUAAAAAACACACAUCAUACUCAACAAACAUUCAUACAUUCAUAGAUGUAAUUCAUCAUCACAAACACCCAUACAUUUGGGCUCUUCUAACCUUCCAUCAAAUUACAAGUCUAAGUUAUAACCUUACUUACAUACUCAUUAUUCUACUUUUCAUUCACGAAUUUUUACACACAAUAACUUUACUUCUACGCAAUUCCCUUAUGUUUUACUUGUUUAAUCAAUACUCAAGUUUUGUCAUUAGUUAAUCAUUUAUACUCAUAGUUCACAUUUCACAGUAUACAUUCCAAACGAACACAUACAUGGUCAUGAUUAAAUGUCAUAGCAUGCAUGCACAAACUAGACUCAUAAGAUUCUUUAUCAAAUGUUCUUACUAUCUGCAAUGAUUAUUUAUUAUUUUCGAAACUUAGACUAUAAAUAACUUAUCCAAAAGAUUCACAGGAACCCAUAUAAGAGAAUUCACAUUCAACCAGACUACUUAUUCCUUAACUUAAUCUUAACUAAAUACUCAUUCCGUCAAAAAUUUAGAAUCACUAGGCUUCAUACCCAAUACACAUACCACCAAUUUCAUAUAGAUACAUUUCAGUAUGAACAAAAUAUAUACAUAGGUCAGUGAAGAAACUCACUCGAUCUUCACCUAAAGUAGCGGCACACCAAAUCUAACCAUCUCACUUGCAAUUGAUACUCAAGGAACAUAGAAACAUCAUCAAAACUCGUUCACGUACAUUUAACCACUUUCCCAAACAUUAACAACCCCGUAUAAAGCCCCUUUCUCUUUAAUCUUAUUGUUCAACCAAAAUUAAUAAGCUUGUAUACACCCAUUUUUGUCCGAGCCCAAUUGGAGGCCCAUUUGCUCCCUUUAAAUUUUUGUUCUCUCUUGGGCCUGUUCGAAGUCCACCCAAUUCUAGUCAAUUAGAGGCCUUUGUUUUUCUUUCCUUUUUGGGCCUAUCAAGGGCCCAAAUUAUUAUUAAAUAACAUUAUUAUCUUUUUUUUUUACAAAUAAACAAGAUUGAAAAGCAAUAUAUACACAUGAAAUGAAAUGGAAAAAAAAUGAGGCUUUUCAUAUUCUUUUUUUAAAAAAAAAGGUAAAAACAAUAACAACAACAAUCAUGCUAUUUCUUUUUCUAUUCUUUUUACCAUAGACAUGUUAUGAGGGAUCGGGUUUUGGGCUCCGAUGAAGGGGACAUCAUCCGACCGUCGGUCCUCUGCUCUUAGGAGCCCCAAAAAUCUCUUUUUUUUUUCCGUUCCCCUUCUUAAAAUAAAUGUUUUUGUUUCAAAUGGCUUGAUCUUGAGAAAAGUUCUGAUUUUUUUAAAAAAAAGAGAAAAUUUAGAUUUUUAAAAAUAAAAUUUAUUUUUUAGUCAUUUUAAAGGAAAGUUUAAAUUUUUAAAAUAAAUUUUUGAUUUUUUUCAACUAUUUCGGAAUAAAAGCUUUGAUCUUUAAGAAAAACGGUGAUUUUUUUUAAAAAAAAUAGAAAGUUUAGAUUUUUAAAAAUAAAAAAAAUGUUUUUUAGCCAUUUUAAAGGAAAUUUUAAAUUUAAAAAAAUUUUAAUUUUUUUUCAACCAUUUCGAAAUAAAACCUUUCAUCUUUAAGAAAAGUAGUGAUUUUUUUAAAAAAAAAAUCACAUAUCCAAUAAUGUAUGACAAGUAUUAAGCCCCGUUUGGAUAAAUAAAAUUCGAUGGAUACAGUGUUCCCGAAUUAGUUGUGGUACUGCAUGUGUUGCGGACAUACCACGGCUCGAAAGAGCGUCCUGUUAUUAACUCUCAUAAGCUUCUCGUUAAUAGCUCUUUGGAGCAUCCGAUUUGGUUGUGAUCCUAUAUGUGUAGUGGACACACCGUAGCUCUUAUAAGCGUCCAGAUAUAUGACUCUUCGGAGCUUCCCUAUUAAAGGCUCUUUCAUGAGCUUCUCGAUUAAUGGCUCUCCGGAGCUUUUCGAUAUUGGCUCGCUUGAACUUCCCGAUAUUGGCUUGUAUGAGCUUCCCAUUAAUGGCUCUUCAGAGCUUCUCUUUACAUGGCUCACAAGAGCUUCCCGUUUAUAUGCUCGUAUGAGCAUUCCCGAAUAUAAAUUGACAAAUUUUAGAUUUGUACACUUCGUGUGUACUACCCAUGUAUCCAUCGAUAUUUUAGAUGAUUCAAUGGGCCAAAUCCUGACAUGAGAAAAUAUGAGUUCGAAAUGAAUCAUUACCCGUAUAUGCACAAUAUACAUAGAAUUGGUAAAUGAACAUGAUAAGUGGAAAUUAUGAACAUGGAAUUUGAUAUUUGAUGAACCCAUAUAUGAUUCUUGGUAUUCAUGUAAAAUACAUGACUAACAUGUUAGAUAAGGUUAUGUGUCUUGGUUAUUAGCCAAAUUGCUUUGGUUGUAUUAUGUAUGCUUACCUUAAAUGCAAAUGUAUGGUAAGUUAAUUUCUCAUUAUACGAACUUACUAAGCAUUUAAUGCUUACUCUGUUUUAUUUUCUCUGUCUUAUAGUACUCUGAAGCUCGUAAAGGUUAGAAGCUAGUCGGAGCUACAUCACACUAUCUAUCGGCCCACUUCGGUAUAAAUAGAAAACUAAUUUUGAUGUAACUAGCCAUCGGAAUGGCUUAAGUUGAACAUAUUUUUAUGUGUAUAUGUAUGUGUGGCUUAAUUUAUUUGUUGUGUUUAAUGUGGUUGAGCAAUGAAUAAUUAUGAAUAUAAUAAUGUAUGGUUUGAAACAAUAUAUGAUUGGAGAAAUAUGCAUAUAGGUUUACAUGAUCAAUUAAGAUUGAAUACUUGGACAUAUGGGGUGUCAUGAUAUGUGUUAAACUUGGUUUUAGAUUGAUUUAAAUGUCUUGUAUUGGUUGGUGAAAGUGUUGAAGUGUUGAUGUAGGUGGAAGACAAAUUGGGUGAGAAAAGUGGCCCUGGAAUUGGCCUAUUUUCAUCCACACGGGCAGAGACACGGACGUGUGUCUCAGCCGUGUGUGAUACAUGGCCUAGCACAUGGGCGUGUGAUCUAGUCGUGUGUCUCAUACAUCUUAAAAAUUGGGAAACAGAAUGCUCAAAAUUAUCCACAUGGCCUAGCACACAAGCGUGUUGCUUGGCCGUGUGACCCUUGCACCUAUUAAAUGCAAGUCAGUAUACUCACACGGCCUAGCACACGGACGUGUGGCUUGGCUGUGUGACCCAAGUCAGUGAGCACCCUAAAUUUGACACGGGUUGGGUCAUGGCUGUGUGCCCCUAUUUCGAAUGCCCACAUGGCCUGGCCACACUGACGUGUGGGACCUGCACCUUAGAAAAAUUUUGACAUUUUGUGAAAAAUUCUCUAAGUACCGAAUUUAGUUCCGACUUCUUUCUAAUACGUAUUUUGGGCCUCGGGGGCUCAUAUAAGAGACAAUGUGAUUGAUUUUUGAUAUGGAUGUUAAAUGAUAUGAAAUGUCUAUAAUUGAUCUAUAAAUCCUAAUAAUACUUCGUAACCCUAUUUUGGCGACGAAUAAGGGUUAGGGGUGUUACAUUUUAUUAGCAUCAGAGUUACGGUUUAACUGAUUCUUAGACUAACGUAGCAUAUAUGAGUCUAGCUAUACAUGCCAUUAUAUAACCCGUGAUAUUGUGAUAUCUCCUAAACAUUUUAAAACAUGUUUUUCAUAUAGUAAUAUCGUCCAACCGAACUGAAUCCAAAGAAGUUGAGAGCAAUGCUUAAGCUUCAGUUCAAAGAGCAACUUUAAGUAGUAGAAACCUGUAUCUGAGGGCCGAGGAAAAGAGGCUAAAGAAGCCUUAUUCUAAAUGAUGAACGAAUAGUUUACAGAAUUUGUAAGAACAAAUCCGACUGUACAACAACCUCCACCCCUUCCUGUUUUUCAACCAGUUCUAGAUAUGCCUCAAGCUACAGAACUUGUUAGAAUUGGUAAGCCUCCUGUAGAUAAAAUUCAUAAAUAUGGGUCAGAAGAAUUUAGAGCUAUAGUCGAAGAUGAUCCAAACAAUGCUGAAUUUUGGUUAGAAAACACUAUUAGAGUUUUGGAUGAAUUGUCUUGUACGUUAGUUGAAUGUCUAAAAUGUGUUGUAUCACUGCUAAAAGAUUCAGCGUACCAGUGGUGGAACACUUAAUUCUAUUGUACCGAAGGAGAGGGUCACUUGGGCCACAAGACUGUAUUUGAGUAUGAACGAAAAUUUUUCCGACUGAGUAAAUAUGCCAAAGAGUGUAUUCCAACUGAAAUCGCCAUGUGUAAACAGUUUGAAGAGGGAUUAAACAAAGACAUAAAGUUGUUAGUUGGGAUCCUCGAAUUAAAAAAAAUUGUUGUACUGGUUGACCGAGCACAUAAAGCCGAAGAACUGAGCAAAGAAAAGAGACAGGUUGAGAUGGAAGCCAGAACUUCAAGUAAAAAAUUUAAGGGAAAGCCAUAUCAGUCAGCCUCAAAGAAAUUAAAGAAAUAUCAUGACCAUUUAACCACCUCUGCAGGGUAUUCUGAAAGAGAUAGAGGUUUUCAACACUCCAAUCUGAGAUCUCAGGCUACAUCUGUAGCAAUGCAGGUAUGUUGGAAACCCUAAACCCAGAUGCAAGCACUGUAAUAAACUACAUUUUGGUGAGUGCUGCAUGAAAAACAGAGCCUGUUUUAGAUGUGGUUCCUUUUACCACUAUCUCAAAGACUAGCUAGAAAAGCUUGAAAAAGAUAUCGUUCACACUUCAAGGUCAAACAACCCCGCUACAAGAGGUAGACCACCUCGUAAUCCUGGCAAUGUGAGUGGUAGCUGGGGUACGACAAAAGAUUCAACCAUCAAAUCUAAAACACGAGCACCAAUAAGGACAUAUGCUAUUCGUGCACGUGAGGAUGCCUCUGUACCUAACGUUAUUAUUGGUACUUUUUCUCUUCUUGAUACUGAUAUAACUGCUUUAAUUGAUCCUAGUUCUACCUAUUCAUACAUCUGCACGAAUUUAGUGUCUAAUAAAAAUUUACCUGUCAAGUCCACUGAAUUCGUGGUUAAAGUAUCCAACCCUCUAGGCCUGUAUGUGAUGGUGGAUAAAAUUUGCAAGAAUUGUCCGUUAAUGGUAAGGGAUUACUAUUUUUCGGAUGAUUUGAUGUUAUUACCAUUUGAUGAGUUUGAUGUGAUUCUAGGCAUGGACUGGUUAAUUCAGCAUGAUACCGUGGUAAAUUGUAAAUAAUAGCAUAUUGUGUUGAAAUACUCUGUAUUGAAUCUGAUAAUUAGAUGGGUUGUUUAAUGUGAUAUCAGCCAUGUCAGUACAGAAAUGUCAAAAAAGGGUAUGAUGCUUAUCUUGCUUAUGUGUUGGACACCAAAGUAUUUGAAUCGAAGAUUAAAUCAGUGUCAACGGUUUGUGAAUAUCCUAAUAUGUUUCCGGAGGAGUUACCCGGAUUACUGCCGGUCAGAGAAGUGAAAUUUUCAAUACAUCUUGUUCCAGGAACAACACCGUUAUCUAUAGCACCAUAUAGAAUGACACCUAUAGAAUUAAAAGAGUUGAAAGCACAGUUGCAAGAACUGACUGACAGGGGUUUUGAUUGACCGAGUUCAUUAUAUUCGGGUGCACUGGUUCUGUUUGUUAAAAAGAAUGAUAUAUCUUUGAGAUUGUGUAUUUAUUAUAGACUACUCAAAAAUGUCACAAUCAAGCAUAAGUAUCCACUGCCUCGUAUUGAUGACUUGUUUGACCAGUUGAAAGGUACUACAGUAUUCUCAAAGAUAGAUCUCCAUUCUGGCUACUAUCAGUUACAAGUGAAAGACUCAGAUGUACCAAAAAUAGCAUUCAGAACUAGGUACGGGCACUAUGAAUUUCAUAUGAUGCCAUUUGGUUUAACCAAUGCACCUGCGGUAUUUAUAGAUUUGAUGAAUAGAAUUUUCAGACCAUACUUGGAUACAUUUGUGGUGGUAUUUAUUGAUAACAUCCUGGUAUAUUUCUGAGAUGAAAAUGAACAUGCUGAUCAUUUGAGAAUUUUUCUGCAAACUUUGUGUGAGAAACAACUAUAUGCUAAAUUUAACAAAUGUGAAUUUUGGCUUCCCGAAGUUGGUUUUCUUGGACAUAUAGUAUCUGUUGAAGGCAUUAGAGUGGAUCCGAAUAAAAUUUCAACUAUUGUUAACUAGAAACCACUGAAAAAUGUGCCUAAAGUUAGAAGUUUUCUAGGAUUAGCUAGUUACUAUCAUUGAUUUGUAAAAUGGUUUUCGGUGAUAGCUUCGCCGAUGAUAAGACUACUAUAAAAAAAUGUGAAAUUUGAGUGGACAGAUAAAUGUCAGCAAAGUUUUGACUGGUUGAAAGCCCUGUUGACUGAAGCAUCAGUUCUGGUUCAGCCUGAAUCGUGUAAGGAAUUUGUUAUUUACAGUGAUGCAUCAUUGAAUGGUUUAGGCUGUGUCUUGAUGCAAGAAGGCAAAGUAAUAGCCUAUGCUUCUAGACAGCUAAAACCAUAUGAAAAUAAUUACUCGAUACAUAAUUUAGAAUUGGCAACUAUUAUUUUUGCAUCGAAAAUUUGGCUACAUUAUCUGUUUGGUGAAAAAUGUCAUAUAUUUACUGAUCAUAAAAGUUUAAAGUAUCUGAUAUCACAAAAAGAUUUGAAUUUGAGACAGUGCAAAUGGCUUGAAUUGUUGAAAGAUUAUGAUUUGGUAAUUGAUUAUCAUCUGAGAAAAGUAAAUGUGGUUGUUGAUGCUUUGAGUAGAAAGUCUCUGUUUGCCUUGCAAGCAAUGAAUACCCGAUUGUCAUUGUCUGAUGAUAGCUAAUUUUAGCCGAGUUAAAGGCUAAACCGGUGUUUCUACAGUAGAUUUGCGAAGCCCAAAAAAAUGAUGAUGGGUUACAAGCUAAACGAGUACAAAGUGAGUUGAUUUUCGAUUUAAAAUUUCAGAUUGGACCCAAUGAUUGUCUGUUAUUUCGAGGUAGAGUUUGUGUACCAAAAAAUUCGGAGUUGGUACAGAAAAUUUGGCACAAAGCUCAUAAUGUUACUAUGUUUGUUCAUACGAGGAGUAAUCAAAUGUAUAAUGAUUUGAAAAAGAUAUAUUGGUGGUCGGGAAUAAAACGUGAUAUUUUUGAAUUUGUAUCUAAAUGUUUGAUAUGUCAGCAAGUUAAAGCUGAACAUCAAGUACCUUCAAGAUUGCUACAGCCAGUGACGAUACCGGAAUGGAAAUGGGAAAGAGUUACUAUGGACUUUGUGUCAGGAUUACCCUUAUCUCAGGAAAAGAAAUAUGUCAUUUGGGUAAUUGUUGAUCGUUUGAAAAAGUCUACACAUUUCAUUUCGGUACGUAUGGAUUUUUCCCUGGACAGAUUAGCAGAAUUAUAUGUUUGUGAUAUUGUCAGGCUACAUGGAGUGUCGAUUUCUACUAUUUCUGAUAGAGAUCCUCGAUUUACAUCUCGAUUUUGGAACAAGUUACAAGAAGCUCUGGGUACGCAAUUACAUUUCAGUACCGCAUUUCAUCAUCAGACCGAUGGUUAAUCAGAGUGUGUAAUUGAGAUUCUUAAAGAUGUGUUUCGGUGUUAUAUUUUGGAAUUCAAAGGCAAUUAGGAGAAAUAUCUGUCUUUAGUCGAUUUCGCAUAUAAUAAUAGGUAUCAGUCAAGCACUAAAAUGGCACCGUACGAAGCUCUAUAUGGUUGUAAAUGUAGAACUUCGUUGUAUUGGACUGAACUUAGUGAGAAAAAGAUACAUGGGGUUGAUCUGAUCUGCAAAACCGAAGAAAAAGUGAAAGUGAUUCGAGAUAGUUUAAAAGUAGCUUCUAACCGUCAGAAAUCCUAUGCGGAUUGUAGGGCCCAAAUUUUGCCCGGAGCCCAAAGUGAACAAAAGUCCACAGUCCAAAUACAUGGGCCAAACGUGGCCCAAAUUAUUUUAACCCAAUGUCUAGCCCAAAAUUAUAACUAAACCUAAAUAAACCCUAACCAUCAGCCCAAAGUUGACCCAAGCCUAACACAAAGAAUCAGAAACCCUAGCCCUUUAGCAUCACUUCUCAGCGCCGUAGCAGGAAAGCCCCUUCACACGAGUCACGCCUCUGCACGCCACGUCCGCACCACGUACUCGUACGAUACCUGCAAAACAAGCAGACGACAACGAACGCAACAAACAAACAAAAACACACAGCAAGCGCAAGCAAACAAAUACGGACAGAAAAUACACACGAAAAACACAGCAAAGAAGCAGAAAAAUGAUGUAUUUAUUUAUUUAUUUUUGAUUCGGCUAUAAAUCCAUUUUGAGAAUCUGUAAGGAGGGGGAGGCAUAUUGGAUCACGCACAAUAUCAAUAGAAAAAUAAAGUUUUUUAAGGUGAUUUUUUCAUUUUUCUUCACAUUUCUUUAUUAUUUUUCUUGGCUCUUUUAUUCGUUAGCAAGAAGGUAAUAAAAGAGAAAAUAAGGUGAGAGGGCGAGGGGUUUUACCUGUUUGACCGGAUCUUCGUUUGCUCUGUCGCGAUUGGAGUCGGACGAUGGUUCAAAGGCCUCUGAGCCAACCUUUUCAGAGCGGCGCAAAAGGAGGGGGGAGAAGCAAAGCAUCCUCUGUUGUGUCUUAGUGGCCAAAUAACCCUGUUUAGGGUUUUAAAAUUAGUUCUUGUGGGAUGUCAAACGGCAGCGUUUGGGGCCUGAGUCAGUGGCCACCAAAACAGCACCGUAUUGGCUCUAUAACCCGCGCGUGCGACCCGACCCGAGGGGGAUCCACUCAAAUUUUUUUAUUUGGUCCAUUUGCGCGACAGGUCCUUCUGUGUUUUAGGUUGUUUCAAUUUGAUUUUAUUUAAUUUCUUUUAAUUUGCACCACAUAUUUGAGUUCGAUUUCAUUUAGAUCCAGGGACAGACGGCGUCAUUCUCGCUAAUGAUUCAAAUUCUUGGCUUUGUGUUAAAUUGGUGUAUUGGUCCUUUUGAUAUUAAUUGGCUCUCAUUUUGGUCAUUUGCGCAUUAUUUUCAAAUUUACCUUAAGAUUUUUGUUUUAAUUCAAAAUUUGUCCAUUGUUUUGUCUUUUUAUUAUUAAAUAAACUAGCUUAUUAUCAAUUGUUAUUAUCUUUAUUUUUUUUAUAAUAACCCUAAUUUUGUUAUGAUUUUUAUUAUUUUAUUAUAUGUUAUUAUCUUAAGUUUUGUAUAUUAGUAUUUAACUUCUACAAAUAUUUUAUUUUGGACAUUUAUAUAUAUAUUCAUUUGAAUUAAAAAAAAAAUCACACAAUAGCAUUUCAUGAUCCUUUCAUAUAUGUAUAUAUAUAAUUUAUAUUAAAAUGAUUUUAUUGUACAUAUGUAUAUAAUAUAAUGUUAUUAAUUUCAAAUCAUACUUUUUUAUGCACAAAUAUUUUAUUCCUUUUAAAUUUGCUAUUCUAUCUUCCCUAUUUUAACUUAUAUAUAUUAUGACUAUAUAUAUUAUUAUUUAAAUUAAGAUUUUUCACUUAUAAAUCAAAACAUAUAUCAAUUUUAGAAUUUAUUCACCUUUAUUUUCUUACAAUUUUUUUCUUUAUAAUUUACUUAAACAUUUUAUUCUUAGUUCCACUAUUAAAUUGUUUGAAAUUUUUAUAUUAAUUAUUUUUUUUAAAAUUUUGUUUAUAUAUAUAUUUUGAAUCCUGAAUUCAUUUUUAUUUUGUGAAUACAUUUUAUUUCCCUUUUUAGAUUAAUAAUUCUUGAAUGUUAAUGUUGAUAUUUACAUGUGAUGUGAAAUUAUUGUAUUUAUGUGCAUGGUAUUUGUUUAUUGGUAUUCAUUUAUUAUUAGUGCUUAUUAACUUAUAUUGUGGUUUAUGAAUUAUCACCUCGCGUCGUGCAUUGUUAUUCCAUCGCGCUUUAUUCACUUAAAAGGUUAUGUUUCAUAUCAUUUAAAUAUCAAAAUUAUUUCAUUCAAAAGUUUUCAAGAUAAAGCAAAUGUUAGGUAUUUGGAAUCUUCGAAAGAAUAGAGCCCUAACGUAUUGGGUUUCAAUUCUCCUUGUUCAAUCUAAAUAAUCGAGAAUACCCCUUUUAAUGAGGACAUAAAUAAAAAAACCAUUCUCGGGAAUUCGACAUGUUGUGUCCUAAUGCAUUGGAUAUGACAUGUUAUUUUCUCGAGACGAGGAUUUUAAAAAUAAAGGCAAUGUUCGAUAUUUAGGAAUUUUGUGAAAUCGAACCCUAACUUACUGGGUUUUGAUUUUCUCAUUUGACCCAAAUAAUCAGAUAUCCUUCUCAAAAUGCAUAGGUUUUAAAAAUCAAAGAAUAAGCUUAAUUUUGAGGAUUUGAAACGUUGCACUCUAACUUACUGAGUGUAACAAUUUAUUUCUUUAAAAUAAAUGAGCUUUAUCUUCCAAUUCAUUUUAUUCAAAAUAAAAGGAUCGUAUUUUAAAAUCUGUUCAAAAUUUUGACAUUAAGACAUUAAACAAUCAAUUCGGUACCAAUUUUGGGAGUCACGAGGGUGCUAACCCUUCCUCGUGCGUAACCAACUCCCGAACCUGUUUUCUCAAAAUUCGCAGACCCAAAAUUAUUUUCAAGGUGAUCCGAUCACACCUCAAUAAAAGAUCGGUGGCGACUCCCAAUUUUCAUUUUCAAAAUCGAUACACGUUUUUUUCUAUUUUCAAAAAAAUUAUUUCGACACGGAUCUUAAACGUAAAGAGAUAGAAUUUCAAGUUGGCGACAAGGUAUUCUUGAAAGUUUCAUCUUGGAAUAAAUUUCUUUGGUUUGGUCAUAAAAGAAAACCGAGUCCGUGAUUUAUCGGGCCGUAUGAAAUAAUUAAAAGAACCAAACCUAUUGCGUACCGAUUAGCCCUACCAUCGGAGCUUGUCAGAAUUCACAAUAUUUUUCAUGUGUCUAUGUUAUGAUAAUAUCGUCAGACCCUUUACAUGUUAUUUCUCUGAUAGAUGUUGAAAUUCAGCCUAAUAUGACAUACAGUGAGGAGCCAAUCAGAAUUCUGGCACGUGAGACAACAAAUUUGAUAAAUAAAAAUGUAGCUCUAGUAAAAGUUCUCUGGCAACCACAUGGGAUAGAUGAAGCUACUUGGGAACCUGAGGAAACAAUGGGAAAAAAAUAUCUGAGAGGACGAAAAAUUUUAAGGGGGAGAGUUGUAAUAGCCCGUUUUCAGUGAAAUCGGAAUAGUAGUUUCGGGACCACAAAUCCGAGUCCAGAAGGAAAAUUAUUUUAAUAUUAUUACAUGGUUUGCAUUAUGAUAGUAAUGUCAUAUGAAAAUUUCGUUAAGAAAAUUUUACCGAUUAUAUGUCUAAUUAGAUGGAAGGACCAAAUUGCAUAAAAUACAAAAGUUAAGUUCUAAUAGCUAUAAGUAUCAAGUAGCUAUGAAAUUCAAAAUUGGAGGUCCUUAUAUGGCAAAUAGACCAUUAAGAGGAGUUAGUAGAUAAGUAUGAUGAUUCAUCAAUGGAAAAUUAAAUAAAGAAAAUGACUAAAUUGAAAAGUAAAAGAUAAAAAGAUGAUAAAUAAUAAAAUAAAGAAAAAUAUCAUCAUCUUAUCAUUUUUUCUAAAACAAAAAUAUGGAAACCCUAGCCAUGGAAAUUGGAUUUUGAGCAAACUUAUUUGGCUCAAUUAGGUACGUUUUCUAGUCCCGUUUUUAGUAAUUUUUAUAUUUUCAAGAUCGUAAUAGCUUAAUCUAGCCAUCUCGAGGAUUAAUUUGUAAAGUUAUCAAAGUACUAGGAUUUUUUCCAAGGAUGAAUAUAGGUGAAUUAUGAAAUUUUAUGGUAGAAAAUGAAAGGUUGUUGAUAGAUAAACAACUUUUGUAAAGUGAAUUUUAAUGAAAUUGUGAUUUAGGGACUAAAUUGUAAAGAUGGAAAAUUUAUGGAAAAUUUCUAAAUUUUGUGAUAUAUAUGGGCUGCUAAUGUUAUAUGUAAAAAUCAGCUAGGCUUGGAAUAAGGAUUAAAUUGCAUGAAUUUCAUUUUUCGAGCCUAGGGAUGAAAUCAAAAUUAACUAAAAGUAUAAGGGCAAAAUUUCAUGUGAAUUGGAUUAAAUUGAAUAUGAAUUGUAUUAAAUUAAUGUUAAACUCAUUCAUAUAAAUCCGGAUAGACCAAAUAUGGUGUUAGAUCAAGGAAAAGAAAAAGUAUCGGAUUAGUAGAUUUUGCGUACACGAAUACUUGUUGAGGUAAGUUUGUGUAACUAAAUUGUAUAUUUAUAUUUUUGAAUUGAAUGUUGUGUAUGAGAAUUAAAUUGUGCAAUUGACAUGUAUGACAAGUAUUAAGUCCCGUUUGGAUAAAUUAAAUUCAAUGGAUACAGGGUUCCCGAAUUGGUUGUGGUUCUGCAUGUGUUGCAGACAGACCACAGCUCAAAAGAGCGUCCCGUUAUUAGCUCUCAUGAGCUUCUCGUUAAUAGCUCUUCGGAGCAUCCCGAUUUGGUUGUGCUCCUACAUGUGUUGUGGACACACCACAGCUGUUAUGAGCGUCCAGAUAUAUGGCUCUUCGGAGCUUCCCGAUUAAAGGCUUUUUCAUGAGCUUCCCGAUUAAUGGCUCUUCGGAGCUUCCCGAUAUCGGCUCGCUUGAAGUUCUCGAUAUUAGCUCGUAUGAGCUUCCCGUUAAUGGCUCUUCGGAGCUUCCCGUUACAUGGCUUAGAAGAGCUUCCCGAUUAUAUGCUCGUAUGAGCAUUCCCGAAUAUGAAUUGAUGGAUUUUGGAUAUGUGCACUUUGUUUGUACUACCCUUGCAUCCAUCGAUAUUUUAAAUGAUUCAAUGGGUCAAAUCCUGACAUGAGAAAAUAAGAGUUCGAAAUGAAUCAUUACCCGUAUAUGCACAAUAUACAUGGAAUUAAUAUAUGAACACAAGAAGUGGAAAUUAUGAACAUGGAAUUUGAUAUUUGAUGAGCCCAUAUAUGAUUCUUGGUAUUCAUGUAAAAAACAUAACUAACAUGUUAGAUGAGGUUGUGUCUAGGUUAUUAGCCAAAUUGCUUUGGUUGUAUUAUGUAUGCUUACCUUAAAUGCAAAUGUAUGGUAAGUUAAUUUCUCGUUAUACGAACUUACUAAGCAUUUAAUGCUUACUCUGAUUUAUUUUCUCUAUCUUAUCGUACUUUAAAACUCAUAAAGGUUGGAUGUAACACCCUUAACCCAUAUCCGUUGCCGGAACAGGGUUACAGAGCAUUACCGAAUAUUAUAGAUCAAAUACAAAUAUUUCAUAUAAUUUAACGUUCAUAUCAGAAAUCGGUCAUAUUCAAUCAUAUUGUCCCUUAUAUGAGCUCUCGAUGUAACACCCCCAACCCGUAUCCCUGGCCGAAACCUGGUUACGGAGCAUUACCAGAGUUUACAAAUCAAACAGACAGAAAUUUCAAACAUUUCAUAUCAUCAAAACAAGUCAUCAAAGCAUCAUUUUAAUCCAAAUUAUAAACAUACUAAAUCCAAAUCAAUUUGCACCUAUCUAUAUUUCGUUCAAUUUAUCAUGCCAUAAUAUGGCCUCAAAAAUAAACACAUAUUUAUAUGUAUAAAACUAAUCAAAAUUAAACUUAUAACCUCAUUUACAAUCAAACCACAAAAUAACUAUUAUUUACACGCUAACACAAAGGAUAAACAUCAUCACAUUUGAGUUCGGGAUCGUUGUUGGAUGCUGAAUCGGCGAUCAAAAGUUAAGUACCUAACCUGCACAGGGGAAAGAAAACCUUACGCUGAGUAAAACUCAGUGGUAUUUUUAUAAUCCGAAUAUUUAAAGAUAAGAAAUUACAAAUAUACAAUUGAAAUAUAAACACAUAUUAAUAUUUAAUUAUUACAACAACCAUAUUAUAUUUCAUUUGUUUCACAAAUAUCUCAAUUCUCAUACUUGCUAUAUAAAUAGCUUUUCACAAUUUAUUUCACAUUUCAUUAUACAAUUGCAAUAUCCAUUCCAUAGUCAUUUCAUGAGUAUAUAACUCAUAUAUUUCAUAUAUUUGAAACAUAUUUCACAUUCUAUUUUCAAUUCACUAUUUCACUUCCAUUUCUCAUACCAUACAAUUUCAAUAUCAAUUAUAAAACUUUAUUAUUCAUUUACCCCUAUUAACAUGAUUCGAACUCGGACGGAUACAAUGAUCCAACCAAAACACACCAGUUUGGUACUAGUACCUCAUCGGAUAAUUCGAAGUAAUAAGUUGACAUCCAGUGUCUCAUCGGCUAAACCGAAGUAAAUUGGCAUCCAAUGUCUUAUCGAAUUAAUCCGAAGUAAUAUAUUGACACUAGAGGUGCUCAUGGGCCGGGCGGCCCGGCCCGGCCCGACGGCCCGCCCGAAAUAUGGGAGGGUUUGGGUAAAAAUAUAGACCCGAAAUAUGGGCUUGGGCAAAAAAACGAGGCCCAAUUAAAAAAUGGGUCGGGCCUCGGGCACAACUUUUUUGGCCCGGGCCCGGCCCGAAUAUAAUAAAUAUUUUUAUUAUUUUUAUUUUAUUUAAAUUUAAUUUUAUUUUAUUUAAUUUAAUUUAAAUUUUAAAUUUUUUUUAAAUAUUAUUAUUUAUUAUUAUUAUUAAAAUAUUUUUAAAAUACUUUUUUUAAUUUUUGUUUUAAAUUUUAAAAUAAAAUUUUUGGUAUUUAUUUAAAAAAACGGGCCGGGGCUCGGGCUUAUGAAUUUUUUCCCGGGCCGGGCCUGGGCAAAAUUCUAGGCCCAUAUUUCGGGCCGGGCGUAGGACCCGGGCCAAAAUUUUUUUUGGGCCCGACCUGAACCCGGCCCGGCCCGGCCCAUGAGCACCUCUAAUUGACACCCAAUGUCUCAUCGACUCGAAGUCGAAAAAAUCUCUAAACUCUUCCAAUCCUAUGGCAUGCCAUCUAUAUCCGACUAAGCCCGAUACAGUUAAUAGGAUUUCAAUUCACUUUUCAAAUACAACCAAUAUUCAUUUCAAUUCAAAUAAUCAAUAUAUUCAAUAUAUAUACCAAUUCAAUCAAUAUAAAUUCAAUAACUCCUAUAUUAACUUAUUUAAUCAAUUCAAUGUUUAGACUUUUCUUGGAAUGCAUCAUAACCUACCCUAAAUUUAUGAGCUUUCGUGAGUUGAAAGGUAUGGUUACUAUCUUAUUCUUGUUAACUUACAAUCUAUUCAUUUGUUUAUAUUAUUUGAUUCUUUAAAUGCAUAUAUUUCUAUUAUAUGCUCUUUUUGCACAUAUUUUUUUGUAGGCAUAAUACAAAUGGAGAUCUUUUGGAGAGAAGAAAUAGAUACAAAUGGAGAAUAUUAAAUAGUUACAUUGUAAUUAUGUGUUAAUUUCAAGACUUAAGUAGUAUUUUUAAUUAUGUAGUGAUUCAAUACUUUAAUUUCGAUUAUUUCAGAUAAUUCGGUUAUUUGGUUAAUUUGGUUAAUUUUUUAUAUGUUUUAUAAUUGUUUUAACCAAAAAAUGAAAAACAUAUAAAUUUCAGUUAAUUCUGUUAAUCGACCAAAUUAACGAAAAAGUUUGAUUUAGUUAAAUUUUUUUUAAAUUCGGUUUGAUUAACAGUUAAGGGUUUAAAAAGUUUGAUUAAUGGUAGUUCAGGUCUAUUAACCAAUUGAACACCCCUAACCCUAACCAGAAGAGACUUAAUUACUAUCUUUACAAUCCAACUAACCUUUUCACUCUAAUACCAUUGUGUACUACACCUCUAGCAAGUACUCCUUUAGAAUCAUCUCUCCACCUGGUUGUUAUCUCAUAGAACAAUAAUCGGAUUCUAGGACUUUGUUGGGCAGGUUGUUACAUACUCUUAACCAUUUAACACAAACUUCUCCUUAAUAUAUAGCAGAAUACCAGGAAAUCAAGUUCUUACUUACUCUUGUGGCGGUUACUAAGCAUCCAUAUGUACAAGCCAAAUAAUAAUAUAGGCGUAUAACACUACGCCAGACAGACUAUUUACUGCUAUGCAUCAAACCGUUAAACCCUCCAAAAUUAGGGUGUUACAUUAGCAUUCAUUUCUUAUUCAAUGAUCCAGGUUGCCCCGAGCUUAGGAGUUUUUACUCCUUCAACUUUAGUGAAGGGAUGAGUCCAUCUAGUUAAAAUAACUCUCCAUUCUUGUUCAUUAGUUGACUUAAUGAAAGCUUGAAACAUCCCUAGCUCGUAUCUAUUGCCAAAAUAGGGUUACAGAGUAUUAUCAAAAUUUACAGAUCAAAUAUUAGACAUUUUACAUCAUUUAGUAUUCAUGUCAGAAACCAAUCAAAAUCAAUCAAAUUGUCCCUUAUGUGAGCCCUCGAGGCCCAAAAUACACAUUAGAAACAAGUCGGGACUAAAUCGGGUACUCAAAUAAUUUUUCAAAAAAUAUUGAAAUUUUUCAAAGUUACAGGGGACACACGCCCGUGUGCUCAGGUCGUGUGGCUCACACGGUCAAGAGACACGCCCAUGUCUUAGGCCGUGUAUGUAUUCGAAAUAGGGGUACACGAUCGUGUCCCAGCCCGUGUCCAAACUUGGGAGCUCUCUGCCUUGGGUCACACGGCCAAGUCAAAUGCUCAUGUGCUAGGCCGUGUGAGCAUACUGACUUGUAUUAUUAAAGUGCAGGGGUCACACGACCAAGCCACAUGCCCGUGUGCUAGGCCGUGUGAAAAAUUUUAAGUAUACUGACUCGUACAAUUUCUAAAUUACAGUGGACACACGACUGAGACACACGUCCGUGUCUCUGCCCGUGUGGACGAAAAUAGGCUAUUUCCUAGCCACAUUUCUCACCCAUUUUGGUAUCAAUCUAACACAACAUUUUAACACAUCAAUAAACCACAAGAAAGCAAUCAAAACAAGUCAAAAUCAUGUUUUAUACACAAUAUAUCAUUACAUGUACCCUAAAUACUCAAACUUACCUAUUUAAUCGAUUUAACAAAUUUACUAAAGUUUACUAGUAAUUAAAUUCAUACAAGCUUAUAUCACUCACACCAACAUCACAAAUUUGUUUCAUUUCCAACCCAAUAUAUAUAUAUAUAUAUUUAAGUUGAUUAUAUAAACAAAAUACCACUCCUAACAUUUGCACAAGCCAAACUUUGAUCAAAUCCACACCAACCCUAUACAUGCCAUAUAAACCAUAUUGAAUGUUUCAAAAACUUCCGGAAUAAGCUGGAUAGUGUGACUUGAGUGUUGAUCUGAUUGCCCAACCUUCCAAUAAUCUACAAAGACAUUAAACAACACACAUAAGCUUAAUGAAGCUUAGUAACUUUGAUGGGUUAAACAUAAAUCUUACCGAACCUACUAUAACAAACCAAAUAAAUAAAUUCAUUCAUGUUAACUCUCUGUCAGUCACAACUUCAGUCAAUGAAUACACUUGUUUCAGAUUAAUACCAAUAAUAAAUAAUAUGUCUUUCAAUUUCAAUACAUAAAUCACCUUACCAAAUCUUUCCCAAAUCGAAGAACGGCUUACGGAUAAGAGUACAUUGUUUUCAGAAGCCCGAAAGCUUAACAGAAGCUCAUGAGAGCUAAAUAGAAGCUCAUAAGAGCUAAACAGAAACCCAUAAGGGUUGAUCAGAAGCUCGUAAAAGCUUAACAGAAACUCAUAAGAGUUUAACAAAAGCUCGUAAGAGCUGAACAGAAACUUGUAUGAGUUGAAUAGAAGCUCGUAAGAGCUGAACAAAAAGUAAAACACAAGAGUUCGCAACAAAUGCUGAACUCCGAUUUACUUGGGUAAUUUGCCGUCAUUUUCCUCCAAUGCCGUUAUGCGCCACAUAACGAAUGUACUCAAAUCCCACAUUCCAUUCAAUCUGAAUAUUCAAUUCAAAAUUAUAACUUCAACAAUAAUUCAUUUUCAAUAAUAGAAUAAAUAUAAUACCAUUCAUAAAAUCACAUAAUUAUUAAAUUUUAACCAUACGAACUUACCUGGGUUAAAUUGUAAUAUUUGCAGAAGUUUAGGGAUUAUUCUAUUAAUUUUCCUUUUUCACUAGUAUUUACGGGAUCUUGAUCUAAAAAAUAAAAUUACUCAUUCAUUAGCAUAUAUUUCAGUUCCAAUUCAUUUCACAAUCAAUGCCCUCAAUUUUUUAAUUUACACAAUUACCCCAACCUUUUACAACUUUUGCAAUUUAAUCUUCUAACUAAUUUAUCUAUUAAAUUAACAAAUUUUCCUCAAUUAAUAAUUUAUCUAAAUACUCUAGACCAUCAUACAACCCUUAAUAAAAUAGAAAUUUACUAUCAAACCCUAAUAUUUUAACAUUUUCACAAUUUGAUCCUAAAAUAAAUAUUUAACAAAAUCACUUUAUAAUAUCAUCAUACAACAAAAUUAAAGCUUUAAAUUCAUUUUAUUCAUCAAAAAAAUCUUAUAUUGAUCAAUGGAAACUUCCAAAAUUUUCAAUAAAAUCAAAAACUAAGAUAAGACUUAGUUGGACUUAAUUGUAACAAUCUCAAAAACAUAAAAAUUACAAGCAAAGGGUAAGAAUUGAACAACUUGAAGCAAAAAUAUGAAAACCAGCUUAAGAAACUCUCCUAUGGCGUUUUUGGACAGAAAAUUGAAGAAGAAUUGCCUAGAAACCUUUUAAUUUCUAAUUUGGUAUGUUUAAUUUCAAACAAUUUACCAUUUUGCCAUUAAUCACAUUAUUUUAUUUUUUUUUCUUACUUAUGCCGCCUCAUCCAUUUACUUAGGGUUAUUUAUUCCUUAAGUUCUCCCUUGUUUACUAAUUAAGCCAUUUAAUCACAUGUUUCUUAUAAUUAGCAAGUUUUACACCUUUUUUCAAUUUAGUCCUUUUUAAUUAAUUAACUACCAAAACGAUAAAAUUUUCCAACGAAACUUUUACACUACCUUAAUGACACUCUGUAAAUAUUUAUAAAAAUAUUUAGGGAUUGGUUUAUAGAAACGAGGUCUCGAUACCUCAUUUUCUAAAACCACUUGACCUAAUAUUUUACCACUCGAAUCUAAUAAUUCAUUAUAAAACAUAAAUUAUCAAUUCAAAAAUAUUUUUAAACCAUAUUUGACUCGUAAAUACUAAAUAAUAAAGUUUACGAGCUUACUCGUUGGAUUUGGUGGCCUCGAAGCAUUGUUUCCGACACCACUGAAAAUCGGACUGUUACAAAGCUUUCACCAUAACUUUACAGUAAGCAAAAUUUGCUCCAUCAUGCAUAGGGGGCACAAGACUGAAGAUGCUUCCAUUGCAAGCAAGUAAAUCAACUAGGAUAAUCACAAUUUAGAACUUUCAACAAGGGGAUAAACAAGUACAAUACAUAAAAAAAUUUUAAUACUUUAUUUAAGUUUCUAUUGCUUUUGCCUUUAAUCCUUAGUUUUUUUUUUUAAUCCAAAUCAAGACUUAAAAGAAAAAUAUUUUUUCAAUAACCAAAAUGAAAGUGAAUUAAAAGUUGGGGGACCAAAAUGAAAUUAUAAACAUGAUUUGGCGCGUCUAUUCAACUGUCGUUAAUGAUUUAAUGCUUAGUGACUAAAAUAAAAGCGCCCUAAAAAUUUGGUGACAAAAUUACAAUUUUUUUUAACAAAAGAUACUUAAAAGUUGGAAAACUAAGUGAUAAUUUACCAUAAGAGAAAGUAAAAGAAUUGUGAUAAAAAGUUAUUCUUAAAAUUAUUUUGGAAAAACGAAAGUUUAAGCAAAAUUUCAAGAAAAAAGAGAGAGAGAAAAUAAAAACUGGAUGAAGAAAUAGAUAAAAGGAAAUUUUUUAUUUCAACAACCUAACUUUCAUUCUGUCAUAGAAAUUUAAUCCCCUUUUUCAAGAAGCAUAUUAAUUUUAUAGAGGAAGAAUUAUAUGAAAUUGAGAUAUUAGAUCAUUUGUAUUUCUUUUUAAUAAUUUAAUGUCAUUUUAGUAUUUUCACUUUGAAAAAAAAAUCAAAUUUAAUAUGAUGUGCUGAAAUUUAGGAUAAAAAUGUUGAAAUAGCAUUAAAUUAUUGAAAAAUGAUACAAAUGACAUGGUAUCCCAGUUUUAUACAAUUCUUUAUCUAACUUAGUGGAAACAAAAUUUCACUUUAUUAUAUAAAAGAAAAUGGCAUUACUCUAAUUUUUAUUAGGAUAAACUAUAAAAAUAGUCGUUGAACUAUGCCUUUGAUUCUAUUUUGGUCACUCAAUUAUUAUAUAUUUAGAUUUAGUUACUAAACUUUCCGAAAUUAAAUAUUUUAGUUUCUCUCCUGUUAGUUGCGUUAGAUGAGUGAUGGAAAGUUGACGUAAGUUUUUUUAUUGGUCUAAUAACAAAUUUAGUCCUUAAUAUUUACAUGUAUUUAAUCCUAAAUAUAUAAAAAAAUUCAACGAAAUUUGUCAUUUUAGUUCAAAUAUAAAAAAAUUUAAUAAAUUUAACUUUCAGCAUUUAUAAACUUUCUCAAUUUAUGUCUAAUUCUAAAAAUAAAAAUAAAAACAUUUUCUUAAAUAAAAAUUCAUUUUUAAUCCUUUAGCCCACCCUUUGAAAUUUUUAGGUAAGCUAAAAUGAAAAUCAAAAUCAAAGCAGGAAGCAUGUCACUGAAGAACGUAUUCAGUCAUAUAUUUUCGUUUCUGAGUUGAGGUAAUUUCAUUUUGUUUUGUUCCCUUAAAAUUCUCAUCAGGUUCAAUUCAUUUCUGCUAAUUUUUCUUAUGUAGUGAAAUUUCAUUUACAAUUUAGUUCAUUUUGUGAUUAUUCUUUGAAACUUUCUCUUCUCUUUCAUUUUUUUUAAUUUUUAAUUACUAUAUGUUAAGUAACAUAAUUGAGGUCAAGGCAGUGUUGCCACCAUAGAUUUGUCGUUGAUUGUAUUCUUAUAAUGUUUUUAGAAUUAAACUUGUGGUUGAAUUGAUCAGAUUAUUGACUUACUAGUCAAAUUGAUUCAGCAGAUUUGAUAAAAAUUUUAAAAAUUAAAAAAACAAACAAUUUAACUAGGUUUUUAGCUAGUUCAAUUGAUCUGUAUCAAUUUAUUAUUCAAUCAACUCAAAGCCUUUUUCUAGAUCAAUACCCCAACCGAUUCUCGAUUCAAUCCACUUCAGACAACAUUGCAUUCCCCAACUAACUAGGGCUUAUUUGCGGUGGAAUUAGGGAAAAGAAAAAAAGAAAAAAAAAAGUGUUAUAUUAGGUUUCUGUUGGUUGGCUUCAAAGGUUCUAAGUGAGUGCAGAAAAAUUAAAAGGAGAUCUAAAUGGCUAAAAAUGAUUUUUUUUAAAUAUAUAUUGUUUAAAUUUUUAGAAUUAGAGAAUAAAAUUGACAAAUUUUGUAAAUGUGGCUAAAUUUAUUGAGUUUUUUUAAAAUUCGAACUAAAAUGACAAACUUUAUAAAUGAUAAGGGCUAAAUUUGUGAUUAGACUAAGAAAAAAUGCUCACGUCAACUUUUCAUCAUUCAUCUAAUAACAACUAAAUUAAAAUAUUUAAUUUUGAAAAGUUUAAUUACUAAAUUAAAAAAUGAAUAAUUGGAUGAUAAAAAAAAACUUAAUUGAGUGAUAUUUUAAUAAUUUAAUUUUAUACAAAAACAAAGAAUAAAAUGUCAAUUUUGGUUCUUUUAAUAACCCUCUUUCUUCUUUUGUUUUUUCAACGUAAAUUUUGAUAUUUGAACAGAUGAACAAUAUAUUUUAGCUCAAUAAAAAGAUUAUUUGUGCAUUAUUUAUGUUGUUUGCUUGUUAUUAUACAUUGUUACAUCAUCUCCUCGUGUAACAUUCAGCCACACAUUUUCUGAUUGCAAAGGAGGGAUAAUCCUACUCAUAAAUUCAAAGUAAUAUUGUAUCAUUUGAGAAGGUGAAAUUGUAUAUAUAUGGCCAUUCAAAGGAGGGAUAGUCCUAGACGAUUGCACUUUCAAACAACCUCAAAACCAGACCUGUAUAUAUAUAUAUGAGCCACUCAACUGUGAUGCCCUAUCUCGCUAGUAAAAUCCCCAAGAAUCUAAAUACACACAUUCAUAAAGAUUAUGGAGUAAUCAGAGUGGUUUUAAAAGGUAUCAACUGUUGGUGUUUGGAGUUUAGAGCAAACACUAAUUGUGCACAUUGUGGAUUAGAGGUUUCUUGAGUCGGAUCGGAUCGAGUUUAAGUAUGGUAUUAGUAUAUUUUAUAUUUGUUUAAGCUUGGCUUUACUCGGCUCAAAAUAUGGGUUUAAAUUUUAUCUAAAUAUGUUUCAUUUUUAUAAAUGGUUAACCCAAACUCAUUUUAGAUAAAUUCAUAUUAUAUUUUUAAUUUUAUAAAAAUAUAUUUUUUUAAUUUAAAAUUUAAUAAUUAUGUUUUUUAAUUUAUUAAAGUUUAAUAUAUAAUUAACUUAACAUUUUUUAUGUUUACAUUAUACUAUUAUAUAUUACUAUAAAUUAUAUUUUUAAAUGUUAUAAAUUAUAAAAUAUAUAAAAAUAACAAAAUAUAAUAUUAGAAAAUUAAAAAAUUAAGCUGGACUCAUGGUUAAUCUAUAUUUUAAAUGAGCCUAUUUUUUACCUAAAUCUAUAUUUUGGACUUAAUAUUUUUAUUUAAAUUUCGAAUAGACAUUUGGAGAAUCAAUCACCCAUAAUAUACUAUUCCUCAAUGAAAGGCUGUAACAAAAUAGCACCCCAGUUGGGCUGUGGUCAAUAUACAAGGAACCAGUGUAGGAAUGGGGUAUUAGAGUAGUGGACCACGGAUCCAUUAGGACAGGCCUAAAUUGAGUCUAGCACACGAUAGCUAAAAGCAGUGUGGUUACGUCAUAGUCGAUGAGUGGAAUUUGGAAGUGGGGACUGGGGACUGGGGACCCCUUCAGUUUCUCAACUUUUGGUUCAUGCAUCACAAGACAAGGUGACCAAAAAUUAAUUUUAAAAUAUAUUUUAAAUUUAAAUUCACUUAUUUAUUUAUUUUGAAUUUAUUGAAUUACAAAUUACUAUAUGUAUAGUAUGGGAUGACAUUACUGUUUAAUUUAUGGAAUAAAAUUUUGGAUUAGUAUUUGGUAUAUUGGUAAUAUACGUUUUUAUUUUAUAAGUAGUCUUAAAAAUUUGUCAUGUGUUUUUCUUUCUUAAAUAUUUAUUUUUUUUAGUAUUUUACUAUGCCAUUACAUAUGUCAACCCAAUGGCGGAGCCAAGGGAGGUUGGUAGGGACCCCGAUUCUCCUAAAAUAGAAAAUUUUUCAUUUAGGCUCUUUAUAAUUUAUAAAAUUUUAAAUUAAUAAUUGUAAAAUUGUACUUUGGCCCCCCAAAAAUAAUAAAAAUUUGAUUUAAUCUUUUAAAAAUUAUGAAGAUAUACACUAUUAAAAUGGUGAAAUUACAUUUUUACUGUCGUAAAAAUAUGAAAUUUAAUUUCGACCCCCAACAAAAAAUUUCUGGCUUCACCACUGUGUCAACCCUUUGGCUCUACUUGUGGAAUCUAAAAACUCUAUUGGUGGUGUAUCAGAUACUAUUCUGUAAACGUUUUGCUUGUUUAUUUUGAGUUUGUUUAAGGACAUAGGUAUAUUAUAUGAAGCUUAUAAAAUAAAUUUUAUAUAAUUUAUGAGUAUCUAUAUAUAUAUACUUCAGUAUUGUAAAUUUUAUUUAUAGUGAGAGUUGAAUUUAUGCCACCAACAUUUUUAAAUAUUUUAUUUACCACCUUAACUAAAGCUUUAUUUUUGUAUGAAUAUUUUCUAUUUGAGAUUUAAUUAGUCUCAUUAUUUGAUAUUUUUAAAUAUUUUAUGGGAGAGGGAUCCACAUACGUCGGUGUAAAACUAAAGUGAUUUUACACCUUUCUAUAAUUUUUUUAUACAAUUAAUAUUUUAACAAUCGAACUGUUAUGUUUCAUGCUACACUCAUAUUGGUCAUUUAUGUUAAGUUUGGUGUAAAUAAAAAAUUUCUAACUUUUUGUUUUAUGUAAAAGAGCUUUAAAUUUUCAAAUAUAUAUCAAUAUAGACAAUAUUUUAGAUCGAUAUAAUAAAGAUACCAGAUCGAUAAAUUCAACGGUUGGAUUGUUAAAAUAUUAAUUGUAUUUUACACUGAUAUAAAUGGAUCAUUUCCUAUUUUUAUAUACAUAUAUAAAGUAUUUUUAAAAAUAUAAAUAAAUCCGAAAUAACAUACCAAAAUAAAUACCUUCAAGUAAAUAUGUUUAGAUAUGAGUAAGAUUAAUUUUGCUUCUUUUGAUCAUUAGUUUCAAUUUUCAAAUAUGCUCUUAAAGGGAAAGGAAACAAAAACCUACGAAAUGCCCACAACGGUAAUUAAUAUACAUUGAAUUGUAUUUUAAAUUUUACUGAAAUUUUGGGUUAGAUGAAUGAGUAAUUAAGCUAGGGUUAAAAUUGUAUAACGUAUAAUCAUAAAUUUAACACUUAAUCCUAUAUAUUUAUUUAAUUUUAUCUUUAUUAUAAUCUUUUAUUAGAAAUAAAUUAGAAAACUUUUAAACUGAUGAGACUAAAGGGUUAAAAUGAACUUAAUAAAAAAAUUUAAAAAAUCAAUUAAACCUUUUUAAAAUUUAAAAUUUAUUAAAAAUUCAUAAAAUUUAUGGAAAUGAAAUAUAAAAAAUUUAAAUUUUUUUAUUAAAAAUAACAAUACUAUCCCAGUAAAAUUGAAUUUUUAAAGAAAAAAUUGGGAUUAGAUUUCGAAAAUCUUAUAAACAAUAGAUCAAAAAAUUUUAUAAUCCCAAAUUUUAAUUUUUUUGAAAUAUUUUUUUAGAGCUUAAUUGAUUUUUUUUUAUUUGUUACAGAGGCCUUUUUGACCGUUCAACCUUAUUAGUUUCAAUUUUUUAUAAUUUACUUCAAAUAUAAUAUCAUAAUAGAGAUCAAAUUGAAUAAAUGUGUAGGGUUAAGAUCUACAGUUGUUAUUAUGUCUUAUACAUAAAUACCAAAAUAAAUAUUUAAUAAUGCAAUUUUAACGGUGUGGCUGUUUUGCCCACUUAUCUAACGUACAUAGCCUAACUUGCUCAUUUUUUGCAGUGAAGAUACUAAAAUGUAAUUCAAAAUAUAAUACAUGUGAUUUUAUGAUCAAAUAAGUGGGGCAUUUUUUGCAGUGAAGAUACUAAAAUGUAAUUCAAAAUAUAAUACAUGUGAUUUUAUGAUCAAAUAAGUGGGGCAGAGACUAUUCUAAUAAAGUCUUUUACGUGGUCGAUUCUCUUUGUUUCACCGCAGGUAGGUUGAACUAAUAGUCCUUAAUGAGACUCAUAUCUUAUGAUCAAAUAAGUGAAGUGCGUUGUGACACUUUUAAUUAGCUCGUUUAUGCAAGUAGAGAAGUUAGAAGCCAAUUUUUAAGGAUUGACAAGUAGAAUCUAAGAGUACUAGCUAUUUACAGGAUGUAGCGCAUAGCCCUUUAACGCUUUGCCUUGUAGAAAUCAGAAUGAUUUUGUGGUACGAAAAAAUUACUUCAUGUUUUACUUUUGUUUCAAAAGUUCAAGUUGUAAGUCACUUUUAACUAUGAUCCAAAUAUAAUUUCAAGUUUCUUUAAAAAAAAAAAGGGAUUAUUGUAUAUAACAUAUAAUCAUAUAUAUUAUAUAAAGCAUUUUCAAAUAAAAUAUAUACUACUAAAGUUUUUUAUUAUUUAAAAAAUAUAUAUACAAAUCAUAUAUAUAAUGGAAAAAGGAAGUAAAUAAAAUUGAAAAGAUGUGUCCAUAUGUCAAUUGGCACAACUAUUUACAUAUAUUUUUAAAGAAAAGAUUAUGUCUUUUCAAAUCGACACAUAAAUAACUUUUGGUAUUCUAUAUAUAUGUAAGCAACAAAAACGAGAAUUAAAAAACGAAAUUGAGUUCUAAGAGAAGGAUGUUAUUAAAUUAUUUCUUCAUCGUUCUGCACUUAUUCUUAAAAUAAUUUCUUGAAAAUGUAUUACCAUUAAAAGAUAUCCAUUUCUAAUCACUUUACCUAUAACCAGCUGAUGCUGCUGUUUAUUAUCAUGCACCUUUGAUAGAGCGGCGGAGAGUCACGGCCACCUCCCACUUUCUAUGGUCAUAGGGAGCUGACAAGUGAGUUUGUUGAGCGCGGCCUGCACUCUUUCUGCACUUACUGUUUCAUUUAUACUCUUCAUCUGUAUUUAUUUUAGGCUAAUUAUUUCGUUUAUUCAAAGAAGCAGCGAUUCGGCUAAAAAAGUGCACUAGCACUUAGGGUAGAAAAAUCAAACCGGAAUCAUCUUUUCAUCUCAAAAACCUACAUACUUGUCAUAUAAAUAAAAUAUUGAAUGAAAUUGUGAUUCUAAGUCAUCUUUAUUUCUUCUCAAUAAGAGAAUGACAAAUUAGAUUUUUCUUCCUGAUUUUUAGCUUUUUUUUAGUUGGAUUUGAAUUUUUUAGGAGAAAAAAUUAAAUUUAUCAUAGUUUCAUAUAGUCCCUUCUUUAUAUAUACAUAUAUGGUCAGAUUAUCACCACCAGCAUAAAAUGGUCUUUAAUCUAGCUAGCUAGCUAGAGGGUACUUGCCUUUGCACGUACGUACGAUUAUGUAGUGUAAAAGAUAGUAUUAAUCUAAGAUUUAUGUGUUCAUUUACGGCUAACAAAUUAUGUGAUGUGACUUCUAUCAUUAAAAUUUUAACAAUGUGUGGCUUACUGUGAAUAUAGUGUAUUAAGGUAUUAGUGUUAUGGAUAGGAAAUAUAAGAAAUACAGUAGUUGUUUGAUGGAUUGGUUGGAGAUGGGCAAAUGGAACAUGUAGUGCGGCGUUAGGAAUAAUAUUCAAGCUCAGUUCCUUAGGAGGUGAGAGGGUCAACUCCGAAGGAAGAAGGGUAGGCAACAUGUGUAUAAAGGGGCAGGGGUCCCUCCACCACAGAAAACGAUCGGUCUGCAGCCCUCCGUCUGUUGUUUUGUGGAUUCACCUCCCCCCUUGCCAAAGUCUUCACUCUGCCCUACCACCCAUGAUUUUCUACACAAAAUACAAAUUUAUUCUAUAAUUAAUAGUACUACCACAUAACAUAUUAAAACGUAAUCGUUACAUAAUAAUUAUUUCAUAACUCUAGCGAUAGUAUUAUAGGAAAGAGUAGUCAUCAACAUUUAAAGGAUUAAUUCUCAUAAAAAAAUUUAAUUUAUGCUAAACUUAACAUGCAUUAUUUACCUGAAUAAAGUAUAAAAUAUGGCGAUUGAAAUAUUAAAAUAUUCAAUACAUAUAAACUUACGAAAAUAUGUAAAAUUAUUUAAAUUUAACAUCAAUGUUAAUAGAUGUUUUUAUAUAUAUAUAAAUUUUAGGGUACGGUUUGUGAUCAUACAAUUCAAACUCCCCCGUGAUGAUAACACCACAAUCGUAUCCGUCAACUGCAAUUUGGAACUGAAAAGUGCAGCGAAUAUAUAGAGAUCGCAAUCCGCACGCAAAGAAAGGAUGAAUGGUUGGAGGAGGUUUAAAGGUUGUUGGUUUGGAGUUAACUCUUUUUGAACUUGGAAUUCGGGUGAUGGAUUUGAUUGCUAAUUAUAUUGCUAGCACCAGUAGUCUUAUUCCCGUGUAUGUUAAUUGAAUCAAUUGUGCCAAGUGGCGGCUUCCAUUUAGCUUGUCUUUUUCUUAGAAUACAUGCGGAUGGCACGGGCGCAAUGUCCGACGUGGGAGUUUAACGGCGUCGUAAGGUACACCAACCUUAUGUUAAUGACGGCGUUAGGUGUUACGUCAACAUAAAGGAGCACGUCAGGACAUGCAUCAUCAGACGUGGAAGGUCUUGAACCUGAAAACCACACGUAAAGUCAGCUUGGGUUUAGGGCAGAAGUAGAAGAAAGUGUGUCAUAUGCCGAAAAGAACGUGAAAUUCACACGCGUGGAAAAAGGGAAACUCCCCACAAUUCAAUGCCCAAACUCUCCUCCGCACUUCCAUUAAUUAAUCUAAAGAAAAGAAAAGAAAAAUAUUUUUUUACAAAUUAAUCCACCUUACCGUCGUCCAUUUCCACUUAAUUUCCCUUUUAGAGUUGAAAACAUGAGAAUAUCAUUGCCAUCCCUCCUAUCCUAAUUCCGAUUAGUUUUUGUCAGUUUAGUUAUAUCAUAAUCAUAAUAAUAAUAAAACGAAAGACAACACCAAAAACAUAAGUGCUUAUGUUUAAAAUUGGUAAUAAAUAAGAGUAACUUGUGUCUGGUGCAGGUUGAAACUGGACAGAAUGACAAAAGUUUUGUCUGUCAUGGUCUAAGGUUUUGAUAGUGCCUCCAUGAAGCUGCAAAUUAUGUUAUCGCAGGUUUUCAGCAUAUAUUCCAGUUUUAGGAUACGGCAUUGUUCCUUAAACUUAGGCUUAACAUUAAGAUUAAAAUCAACGGUAAAAUAUUUGUUUAAAUUCAAUCACUGUAGUGAUAGUGAAAUAUCAUAAAAUAAAAAAAAAUAUUGAAACGUGUUGAAAUAUGUGUAUGAUUACAAUAAAAAUUUAAAAAUGGCUGAAAUUAUAUUUGUAAUAUUUAUGUUAAAUAAUUAUUAAAAAUUACACUUGCAUUAGAAAAUUAACUUCAAAAGAAUUAUUAAAAACUAUAUAUUUAUUGAGUAAAGUAAUUUUUUUAUUUAUAUAUUUUUGGUUCAAACAAAUUAUAUUAUUUUAAAUAAUAUUUAAAAAUAUAUUUAUUUUUAAUAUAAUAAAUUAAUAAUUAAAAUUAAAAAAAAAGAGAAGAAGCUGAUGGGGGUAAAAGGGGGAUUACCCCCUUUCAUUGGAGGAUAUUGCACCCAACGUCUCAAUCAGAAAUUUGUACUCUAGGAAGUGAGUUUCCUCCACUGAAGACAUAUUAAAGGCAUUCCCACAAGAGGUGUAAUGAGAUUGAAAAGAAAUACCUUCAAUAACUGUAUUCACCCUUCUGUGCAUCUAAAGAAACCUUUAAUGUACCACGACUUAGAUGCUAAUGUCGCAUAACCUACAUACCCUUCCCUAAUAUUUAAAUAGAAGAAUAAUACGUUUCAGCAUAUUUAAAUUUUACGUUUUCCUACAUUAAUAAUAAUGUCAAUACCAAUCGAAUUAAAACUCAAUUGAUAGAAAUGAGAGUACUUGAUAUAGGCACAAAUUGUAACUUUUAUAAAGUUACUUUAGUUAUUUAGACUUUUUUUAAAUCAUUGUUUGCAAUAUUUUAAAUUUUUGUCUAGAUUAAUUUUAUAAUCAUAAAAUAGAUGUGUGAAAAUCUAGUAAUUAUUAAUAUAUAGAGGUAAAUUAUACUAGUAGUUACUCAACUAUUAGUAAGUAUUUUUUGAUCACUCAACUAUGAAAAAUUAUAAAAUGACCAUUCAAUUAUUAGUAAAUUUUUUUUGGUUACCCAACUAUGAAAAGUUACAAAAUAGCCACCUAACUAUUCAAUUUUGUCUUUUCUGGUCACUAGCUAACUAAUGGUGACAACUUUUAAAAUUGGCAUAAAUAAUGUCAAUUUAGUAUUGAAUUUGGUCUUUUUUUGAAGUUUUUUUUUAUGACAUUGAGGUUUAAUUUUAAAAGAAUGAAAAAAGAUGAAAAUUAUUAUUUUGGAUUUUUUGGGUGUUUUCAUUUUUUAAUCAAAUUUAGCUGCUAAUUGUUUUUAGCUUUUUAGGUGAAAGAAUCACAAAGAAAAGCAAAGAUGCAAAAAAGACCAAAUUACACAAUGUGUAAAUAUUGAGGGUUAAAUUUUUUAGAAUCAAGACUAAAUUAAUGUAAUGUAUAAAUGAUGAGAGUUAAAGUUGCUAUUAUAUAUGUCAAUUUAAAAGCUACCACCGUUAGUUAGUUAGUAACCAAAAAAGAUAAAUUGAACAAUUGAGUAACUAUUUUGUAACUUUUUAUAAUUAAGUGACCAAAAAAGAAAUUUAUUAAUAAUUGAGUAAUCAGAAUAUAUUCAAAUUAUUAAAUUGACAUCAAAGUAAAUAAUAUGACUGAAUUAAUGAAAAAUAUAUUAUAAUUUUGUGAAAUAUUAUUAAACCCAAUCAAAAUUACAAAAAGCAAAAUAAUUAGGUAAUCUUAACUAAAGCUUUUUGGUUUUUAUUUUGUUUUAUAUUUACAUAGGAUUAGGAUUAGUAUUAUGUUGACGGACAAGCAUGUCUAUUUUAAUUUUUAAAAUAUUUUUCAAAACACAUUACAAUGCACCAAAUAAAUUUCUUUUUACCUAACUUUUAAUAAAAAGUUUUGUACUUCUCAAAUUCGUCAAUUUUUUAAAGUUAAUUUUCUACAACAUGUAUAUUAUACGUAAUUAUAUAUUUAAUUAUUUUAUUAUUUAAUAGAAUAAUUUUAUUUUAUGUGAUUAAUUUAAGUAAUAGUCCAUUUCAAUAGAAUAAUAUUAUUACUAUUCCUCCUAUUCCAAUUCGUAUUAGUUUUUGUUAGAUAAUUACAAGUAGUCAGAAUAUUCAUAUAAUAAUUACAAUAAUAAACAAUUAAACCAAAACAACGACAUAAACAAAAACAAGUGUGCUUAUGUGUAAGAUUCGUACAGACAGUUAAGAAAGAAGAGUAACUUGUGUCUUCACUGUCUGGUGGAGGCUGAAACCGCACAGUACAACAGAAGUUGCUGAUUGUCUAAUAGUAAUUAUAAUGUGAUUGGUUAGUUGGCUCUUAAGGUUUCAAUAAUGCCCACGGCGUUGGAAUAUUUUUAAAAUAUAUAUAGUGUUUCAAUAGUUACAAAUCAAAAGUUAUGUUACUUGGUUAUUAACCAAUAGUUAUAAUUAUGCUAAAGAUAUGGCUAUUAUGUCCCUAUAAAGAAACAUAGUAUCUUAUAAAUAGGAGUGACCCAGAACACAUGGAAACAAGUUUCUUUUUGAUCUCCCACCAUCUUUUAUAUUUUUAGAUUGUUCUAUAAAGAAUUACUGCAUACAUUUUUUAUAGAAAUUGAUAUCAUUGCUAUGCUUCGCUCAGUGCUUAGUGGACUAUUUUUGCCAGUGCAAAACAUAUACAGUCAUUGGGCUUCAUUAGAUCCUCAAGAUUCAUUUGCUGGUAACCUUUUUGCACACCAUAAUAUAGGUGGGGGCGAAUAUAACCUUAAAGCAAGUGGCAUUGAUAUAUGCUUUGAAGCCUUCGUUAAUUUCUAAUAAGUUAUUUUUAUCCCCACUCACCAACAAUUUUAAGGUUCUAUUUUUGCAAUUUAUGAGAAAUUAAAGAAGGCUUGUCUGUUCACCACACAUUCAUAUGCCACUACAAGCAUGGUGCUAUGAAGAUGGAUAUCGACAAUUGUGGUUGCAUGAAGAUCAAUGAUCUUGUCAAAUUUUGGUUUAGAAAAAUCUUUCUUACAAGAAAAGGUAUGUCAAUUUUUUUGUUUUACUUUUAUUGCAUAAUUAGAUUUCAAUUGUUAUGUAUUUAUUGAAUUGCAUUAUGCAAAAGAUGUAACGUAUCUCAUGCAUCAAUUACUUGACAAAAAGAAACUCAAAUGCUAGUUCAUUGUAUGCAUGACUUUUUGAGAUGCAUAUAUAUCAUGCAAGAAAGAAAGAAAGAAGAUGGAAUGAAAGUGCACAUUCGGGAAAGGGUUUAUUAAUGAAUCGAAAAGUUACUUUCAUUUUGGAUGGUGAUGACAUUGUUCAAAAAUUAGUUAAACAUGCUUUUAUUCAAUAGAAGCAUUAUGACCAUUCGGGUGAGCCUUCCCAAAUUGAAAAGUUGCGUCAUUAGGUCCAACGAAUACUUUUAAAAGAUUGGGUGAAUGGUUUUUUGAAACCAAAAAAUGCAACUUAAAAAGUGAUAUCUUUUUGAAGAAUCACUUAGGCACCACCUAUCACUGCUUUAUAAAUAGAAAAUAAGUUAGGAGAACUGAAAUAUGACUCGUUCCAUUUAAUUUGUGAGUGAAACUCUUAUUCUUUCUUCUUCUUGAUAUAUAUUUAACUUGAGAUAUUAAAUUAUUUGUUUAUUCAAAUCAUGACAUUAGUAACUAGCAUUUGGAUGAUAUUGAUGAGACAUUAUUUUCAUUGCUAAAAAUGAAAGUUUAUAAAUGAUCAUAUAAUAUAAAUAACUUUGACUGUUAUUUUUGUUAAAUAACCUUGGUUUUGUUUUUUUUAUUCUAUGUUAUAAAGUUUGGACUAGAAGUGGUUUUGACUAGAAAUGGAAUAAGUCAUAUGCAUAUGAAUGAUUGAAUUUUCUAGUCAAGGUAGAAUAGUAGAAAACAUUAGUUGAUAUCACAAAAUCAUUAUUUGGGUAUGCAAUCUUUUAGUGGAAAUGUUGAAAAUUUCACAAUGUGGUAUAGAUAAUUAACAUAGUUAUGUUGAAAAUUUAGACUACAAGCCUAUAAUAUUUGAGUCACCCAUAAUAGAAACUCAACUCAACGCUUGGUAUAACAUCAAGUAUUGAGUUCAAUGAGACAAAGUACAUCAUCAUAUGUGAUUGCUAACACUAUAAAAUAAUAUAUAAUAUAUCAUCCCAAGGUAAAAAGUGUUAGGUACCCGUAAUAAUAAGAGGAAUGAUGAGUAUUAUACUCUUAAUAGAUCCAUAACAUAAAUAUGUUAGAGUGUUAAAAUUACGAGAAUACUUUUGAUAGGAUCUACCUAUGUGAGUGGAAGUGUGGUCGCUUUUAAGAGCUCAAGGGCUUGGCUCUAACAACACUCAUUAAAAGAAAUUACAGACACAUGACCAUAAUAAUGUCAUUGGAUAUUGUGCAUUAACUGGUGUUGAAAUCAUUGUGUGAGAUGUGUUCGAUUAAUCAAAUGGAAUAGUUUGUUCAAAGUAUAGUCUACCAUACAAUUUCUAUUAACUUAAACAUGUUUUCACUAAGUGAAGGUUCAAUCGUAAAACACAUUCAUUUAUGCAAUUGAUUUCCAUAAUUAUCAAAAUAUAGAAUAUUUUGAGAAUGUGGAGAUUGUUGAAACAUUUUCAAAAUAUAUAUAGUUUUUCAAUAGUUACAAAUGAAAAGUUAUAAAUAACCAAAAGUUAUGUUACUUGGUUAUUAACAAAUAGUCAUAAUUAUUCAAUAGAUAUCUAUUAAAUAAUCAUGUUUAUUGCUUAAGAUAUGACUAUCCAUUUGGAUAGUUAUGUCCUUAUGAAGAAAUAUGAGGCCUCCUACAUAUAGAAGUGAAGUUUCAUUUGCAUGACAACCCAAAAAAACAUAAUCCUUGCUAUGCUCCUCUCAGUGCUCAGUGGACUGUUUCCGUAAGUCCAAAAUGUAGACAACCAUUGAGCUUCAUUGUAUCCUUUAGGUUCAUUUUCCAGGAACUAUUUUGCACACCAUAAUAUAGGUGAGGGGCAAAUAGAACCUUAAAAAAAGCAGCAUUGAUACACGCAUUGAAACUUUUGUUAAUUUCUCAUAAGUUUAUUCUUAUCCCCAUGCUCCAACAAAUUAUGGUGUCUUCAAUUGUUGAAAAGAACAAGUAAAGUUUUCAUCAUAUAAUCCGAUUUUUGAAUUCGAAAUUUUAAUAUAAAAAGUUAUUAACUCCACAACUAAUCUAUAAUUUCAUCAUUUUUAUAAUUUUUGUAAGUUGCAUCUUAAAUGUCAAGUAUUUUUCUCCAAAUUUAAAUGUCAUAGAACAAAACCAGCAUAAAAAAAUAUAUGUUGGAAAAAAACAUUAUAAAAUAAUACAUUUAGGACGUGGGUAAAAAUAUUUAUGUAAUAAAAUUAUUAAAAAUUUAUAUAAAAAACAAAUGUGAGUUUAGUUUUUUUUUAAAUGUGGGUUUAAUUGAAAUGGUAAAAUUGAGAUGAUCAAAAUUAUAAUCUUUAGGUUCAAAUUUUAUGAUUUUUUUACUUAUGCAUGUGUUUUUCUAAAUUUAUCAAAAUGUAAAAGACAUAAUUACCCUCAAAAUAAUAUUUAUUAUUUUAUAAAGUGAAGGGAUAUUUAAUAUUUUAUUAAUUGAGUUGAGACUCUAUUGAUGUGUAACACUAACUCAGUCAACUUAGAUAACCACUACCAUACUUAGAAGGCAGCUUUAUAAAUUUUAGCCCUCAACCCUAAGCUAAACUCAUUUUGUGAAAUCUUAGUAAAUCCAAUCAAAAUUAUAUAUAUAUAUAUAUAUAUAUAUAUAUAAUUAUGACUUUUUAUAUCUAGACUAUUAUUUAAAUCCUUAAUUGAGUUGGUGUUACAGGUCAUCUAGAUAUCAACUUGGUCAGAGAAAUUGCUAAAAUAUCCUUUUGUAUUUAAAUAAGUUAAAUUUUUAAAGUUAUCACUCAACAAAAUUUAAUGUUAUUAUAUAUUUUAAUUUUAUUAUGCCCACUUUUAUUACCUAAAUACGAAAUUUAUUUUAAGAAUAUACUUUCAUCCACAUUAUGUGUGUGGAAUUAUGGAAUUAUAGUAUGAAAUUAUAGUUGUGAAUGUAGAUAAUUCAAAUUGAGUAAUAAAGGUGUUCUCCACAAAGUCGUUUGAGAUGUUUUCUACCAUUUAACUUUGUAAUUUUGGGGUGAAAAAGUGAAAGAUGAAAGACGAAAGACGAAAGUGGAGAAUUGAUUUAUUAGUAAAAAAAAUUUAAGAGCAAAGGAAAUAAAAAAUAUGUAAAUUAAUUUAUAUUUUAAUACAUAAAAAUAAAUCAUUUUAAAAAUUAUAUUAUAAAAGUGUAUUUUUAAAAAUAACAUAUAAUAAAUAAUGGAAUGUAACGUUACGCUUAUGCAAUAUAUACAGAAUUAAAAUAAUAAAAAUGAUUUUAAAUUGUGAGUAAAAGAAAAUUUUUAAAUACAUCAUAUUAAUAAUAUUAAAUGCACUUUAAUUACUUAUCAUAUUAUUGUCAUUUUCCUUAAGUUAAUAUCGAGUUGACUUGUGAUAUCAAUUCAAUCAAUGACGUUAUUAAUAUAUAUACAAACAAUUUAGGAGAAAAUUUUGUAGUAACAUUGAAAUGUAUAAAAAUGCUAAAAUAAAAUUUAAAUGUCAACAUUUGAAAUUUUUAUUAUUAUUUUAAUAAUAAAAAGCAAAAGCGCCAUCAUAAUAAUACAACUUAUUUGAAAUAUAUAAAGUUAUUUUAAUAAAUUUUUUAACUGGAUUGACUCGUGGCGUCAACUCAAUUAUAUAUUAACAUAAUGAUAUAAAUAUUUAUUAGAAUAAUCUUUACUCUAUUUUUAACUCUCCAUCAAGUAAUUGAUUGAAGGUUGGUUUUUUUGCAAAAUUUCGAUUUCCCUACCCAUCAAACAAAUGAAAAGAGUUCUCUUUUCCUACUCAUCUCAUUAGAGCAUGAAAAUGAGACAAAAACUACCAAAUCAACAAUGUAAACACAAAUAAAUGCAAUAGCAAUGAAAGUUUAAAAUUUUAAUAUAUUUGUUAAUCGAGUCUUAGUUUGAUUAGUAUCAAUAUUAUUAUCAGGGUAGGAAGAUGUGGAUUCGAGUGCGCUAAAACACAUUAUUUUUCUAUUUUAAGGGUUAGAGAGGAGUUAAUAGAUAAUUCUAGGUAUUGUCUUUAAAAAAAUUAAUAUCUUUAAACUAAAAUUUUAUGUUUUUACUUUUAAAUUAUAUUUUGUUAUGUUUUUUUCUCCUUUUCUUUUAUUUUCCAACUUCACUAAACAUGAAUGAAAAAGUAAAUAUUUUUCUUUUCAUUUGUUGAUCUUUCAUACCAACCGACUUAUAAAAAUGUAAAACAAAUUUUUCAUUUUUUCAAUUUUUUAUUUUAUAAUUUAUUCUCGAUAUUAGUGCAUCCUCCACCACCAUCUUUUGAUAUACGUUAUUAUAUACUAAAAAUUCUCUCUUACAGCCAGGGCUGAGCAAAAAAAACUGAACAAUCAAAAUUUAUACUGCGGUUAUUAGAAAUAAAAUUAAAUUCUAUUUUUCUUAUUUAAUAUAUAAUUAAUUUUAAUUUUCAUGAUAUAAAAAUAAAUAUUUUAUAUUAAAAUAGUCAAAAUAAUUUUAAAGCUCUUCAAAAAUUAUUUUUUAGCGAUAGUUAUAAAAAAGUUAGAAAUUUUGUCAAAUAAUAUUUCAAACCAUAAAAUAAAAUUCAAUUUAUCAAAAUAAGUCUAAAAAUUCAUAUAUUUGCAUUCCCAAAAAAAAUGUAACUUCAAACAUUAAAGAUAACAUUAUUAAAAAAAAACUCCUGCACAUAGAUAUUUUAUAAUAUUUUAUUAUGUUCGAACUUCGAAGAGUUUAAAGAUAAAAAAAAAAAAAAAAGAGGGAGGAGUGGUGCUUGGUAGACAUGAAGAAGGGGGUUAUUUGUGCCAAAGCAGAUACUGAUUUAGGUUCCCGUGUCCCCACAAAACAUCUUGCGUUUAUUAUACAAUUAUAACAACGCUGUUUACCAUCACUUUUUCUCAACAUAAAAGGCCAAAGAUUUUAGAGUUGGGACUUACUUCAACUUUACUUCCCUUCUUAAACCACACAUAUAAGACUAUACUCAAUCAUUUACUACACUCUCUGUCUCAAUGGCCACCAAGACCCAUACGGAUCCAGAGAAACCCAAUGCCGCGGGCACCGCCGAGAACGAAGGCAUGAGUCCGGUGGAGGAGGUUGCCUUGGUGGUGCCGGAAACCGACGACCCUACUCUCCCUGUCCUCACCUUUCGUGCCUGGUUCCUCGGUUUGGUAUCAUGUGUGCUCUUAAUCUUUCUCAACACUUUCUUCACUUACCGUACGCAGCCGCUCACCAUCUCCGCUAUCCUCAUGCAAAUCUCGGUCUUGCCCAUUGGCAAGUUCAUGGCCAGGACUCUACCAACCACCCAGUACAGCCUUCUCGGGUGGCACUUCAGCUUGAAUCCUGGGCCGUUCAACAUCAAGGAGCAUGUCAUCAUCACCAUCUUCGCCAAUUGCGGGGUGUCUUUUGGUGGGGGUGAUGCUUAUUCCAUUGGUGCCAUAACUGUCAUGAAGGCUUACUAUAAACAGAGCUUGAAUUUCCUCUGCGGCGUCCUUAUUGUCUUGACUACCCAGGUUUUUCAUUUAACACUUUCUUUCUGCUCCUACUUUUAUUUAUUUAUUUAUUUUAUUGUUAAAGCUUGUCCCUUUAUUUUAAUUGAACCUCGGGUCUUCUCACUUUCUUUUCUAGUUAUUUAAAAUUAAUUUUGUUAACUGAAUCUUUGACUGUUUGACAGUGAUAAAAGGUUAUCUGAAAUAUGCAUCGAAAGCUGCAAUUAGUGUUAAUACCACUCUUAAAAGUUGGUGCCAUUUAUAACUUUUUGUGUGGGGGAGUUAAAUUGCAGGGAUUUUGAGUUUCUGUUUAAAGCUUUUUCAACCACUAAAAGCUUAGUGUAUGUGGUUCAUCUAAAAAUAACACCGUUGAUGGCGAUCUAUGCAGAUUUUGGGGUAUGGAUGGGCUGGCAUGCUUCGGAGGUACCUGGUUGAUCCUGCAGAAAUGUGGUGGCCUUCAAACUUGGCUCAGGUUUCUUUAUUUAGGUUAGUCUUUCUCCAUCACCUUUUUUUUUUCAUUUUGGCUUUCAUGAUCAUCAUUUGUGCUUGGUCCAUAGGAAUUUUCUUGGAAGGGACAAAGAAGAAAUAGUUGUAAGUUUUAGAUUCUUAAAGACUUUUCGUCCACUGGGUCCCACGAUAACAGACACAAACCUCUCUCCUUUUUCACAUUAGAGACCUCAAUUGUUUCAAUUUACUUGACUUAAACUUGGAAGACUUAAUUACUUAAAAUUUUGGAUAGACCUUCAUUGAGCAAUGAAAGAUAAUGAUGAGACAUAUAUGUGUGGGAAUGGUAUAAUAAUACCAAGUAUUGCCAACUGGAUGCUACAGGAUUUGUUUGUAUUGUGAUUUAAGAUUUUGCAUUUGAUUAUAUUCUGAAGAUGAUGGAUACGUGAUGCCUUAACCUAGUUUUAUUUUUAUUUGAUGUCCAUCCAUAUAAAUUCGAUUAUCACAAACAGUUUUGUGUAUUCUUUGAUUCUCAGAGCACUCCAUGAAAAGGACUCUACAAAGAAAGGAUUGACUCGAAUGCAAUUUUUUCUAGCUGUAAUGGUGGCAAGCUUUGCAUAUUAUGCUCUGCCGGGCUAUUUAUUCCCAAUCUUGACAUUCUUCUCAUGGGUUUGUUGGGCGUGGCCACAUAGCAUCACAGCACAGCAAAUCGGGUCUGGAUACCAUGGACUUGGCAUUGGUGCAUUCACCCUUGACUGGGCUGGGAUCUCAGCUUACCAUGGCAGUCCACUGGUUACCCCUUGGUCCUCCAUUGUCAACGUGGGGAUAGGCUUUGUCAUGUUCGUCUACAUCAUUAUCCCUCUUUGUUAUUGGAAGUUUAACACCUUCGAUGCUCGAAAAUUCCCGAUAUUCUCUAAUCAGCUCUUUACUCACAGUGGCCAUAAAUAUGAUACAACUAAGAUCUUGACACCGCAAUAUGAUCUGAAUAUUUCUGCAUAUAACAGUUAUAGCAAACUCUACCUUAGCCCACUUUUUGCCUUAUCUAUUGGAUCAGGAUUCGCUAGGUUCACAGCAACCCUCACUCAUGUGGCAUUGUUUAAUGGCAGGUAUACUUUAUGUUACUGUUUUUAAGACACCUUUUUUUUUUUUUUGAGUAAUGUCCGUCACAUAAAAAAGUCAAAUAAACAUAUUUUGGGUUACUUUUGUGCAGUGAUAUUCUGAAGCAGAGCAGAUCAGCAAUGAAGAAUGUGAAGCUGGACAUCCAUGCAAAGCUGAUGAAAAAAUACAAACAAGUUCCUGAAUGGUGGUUUUACAUUUUAUUAAUCGGAAGUAUCGUUCUGUCACUUAUGAUGUCCUUUGUAUAUAAGAAGGAGGUACAGCUGCCAUGGUGGGGUAUGCUCCUUGCCUUUGCUUUGGCCUGGAUUGUCACCCUUCCUAUUGGAGUCAUUCAGGCAACUACGAACCAGGUAAAGUACGCUGUGACUUACCUGCAUGCCAUGGUGACUUGAUUACCUGGUUUCUAACAACAUUUCUACCUGUGGAACUUUGCAGCAACCUGGAUAUGACAUUAUAGCCCAGUUCAUAAUUGGUUAUAUCUUGCCCGGAAAGCCCAUUGCAAACCUGCUUUUCAAGAUAUAUGGGCGGAUCAGCACCAUCCAUGCUCUUUCUUUCUUGUCUGAUCUCAAACUUGGGCACUACAUGAAAAUCCCACCACGUUGCAUGUACACUGCUCAGGUACUUUCUGCCUAUGUGCUUUUAGUUAUAAAGAUCUUAGAUAACUUUUGAAACAUUAAUUAAGAAUAGUUGUUUUUAUGUAUCCCAGCUUGUGGGAACUGUAGUUGCAGGUAUCGUCAACCUUGGAGUUGCAUGGUGGAUGUUAGAUGACAUUGACAACAUCUGUGAUGUUGAAGGAAAUCAUCCUGAUAGCCCAUGGACUUGCCCUAAAUACAGGGUCACCUUCGACGCAUCUGUUAUCUGGGGCCUAAUCGGACCAAGGAGACUUUUCGGACCAGGAGGGAUGUACCGUAACUUAGUGUGGUUGUUCCUCAUUGGAGCAUUCUUGCCUGUUCCUGUUUGGGUUUUGAGCAAAAUUUUCCCAGAAAAGAAAUGGAUCCCCUUGAUUAACAUACCGGUCAUAUCUUAUGGUUUUGCCGGAAUGCCACCCGCAACUCCCACCAACAUUGCAAGUUGGCUCAUCACUGGAACCAUCUUCAACUAUUUUGUGUUCAAGUACCACAAGCGGUGGUGGCAGAAAUAUAACUAUGUUCUAUCUGCAGCAUUAGAUGCUGGAACUGCAUUCAUGGGUGUUCUACUGUUCUUUGCUUUGCAAAAUGAAGGCCAUAACCUGAAAUGGUGGGGCACUGAAGUCGAUCACUGUCCUCUCGCAACCUGUCCGACAGCCCCAGGUAUCUCAGUUGACGGAUGUCGAGUUUUUAAAUAGACCAAAUCUACCACACACAACUGAUGGAAGAGUUGGAAGUCAAAGAAGAAAUGGUUUAAUUUUGAGACAAGACAAUUAAGUUAUAGGCGUACCUACGUUGCAGAAUCUUAUGACAAUAAUAUAAUCUAUAUCUUGUAAAGUAAUGCACAUGCUUUUUACGGAUCAUCCUCUUGGUCUCAUCAUUUGAAAAGAGGUAGUUAAUGUUUUUCUUUGUGCCAAUAUAUAGCUGAAAUUUGCUGCUUCAAUGUUUUUUUUUUUUUUUCUGAUAUGGCUGUUGCUUUGCUUGCUAGCCAGCUUGAUGUAUAAUAAGAAGCUAGCAUUAAAUCCUGCUACCUCCCAAUCUAGAGUUUUGCAUAAUCGUGCUUUCAUUUGCAUUUAAAAUGUCAGAACUUGUAAUGUAGUUGUCAAAUAACAGUAGAUUAUUACAGCAAAUUUGCUUCAACACAAAAGAAUCUUUAUUCAAUGAUGGCUGACUGGUUGAGAAUCAAAGAAUUUAUUUUAUGAAUUCUACAAGCAGCAAUUACUGCUUAUUGAGGUCAUGAAUGUUGAAGUACAUAUAGCUCUUUUCGUUGGAGAAUGCCGAUGAGGUUAGCACAGGAGAGAAGCCAGAAUAGUCUCCAUCUUUCUUUGCUAAGCAUAUGUCAACACUGCAUUUUAAGAGCUCAUAUUUCUGGACAAAUGGCUGUGCUGCAUAUUCUUCAAUUGGCAUCCACUGCAUAAAAGUAUAGAGACCCCCCACACCCUUAGUUUAAGAGGGAUAAAAAAAGAUUAUAAGUUUUAACUUCAUUCACUGUUCUGACUUUGACUAAGAGUUACCUUAGCUGCCUCUAUCUCAGAUUCCUGCUUCUGGAUUUCAAAAGAAAGUGGUUCCAACAGGCACAGGAAGAAUAUAUCUGACUUUUCAAAGAAUACCUUGUGGCUUUGCCUGUAAAUGUUGAAAAUGAAAUCAAUGGGAGAAAGAUAAGAAUAUAUAUAUAUAUAUAUAGCCUGUUGAUGCUACUUUGUGGUGCAGAAAGUGCACAGAUUUCAUACCUGAAUGCUAGUACUUGAACAAAUUUUGUAUCAAUCUGAAUCAGCAAAACACCCAAGAUAUAAUUGGUUAAAAUCAUUUAUAAACAGGUCCCAUAUUGACAAGGUUCAAUAACUUGUGUUACAUGUGUUAUGUAUAUAAAACUGAAUAAUUGCUACUUAACACUUACUGCUGUCUCUUCUUUGACUUCUCUAACUGCAGCUGCACAAAGAUCUUCUCCCUAGAGAUGAAAUUGAAAUUAUAUACAGCUCAUGAAGUGUAAAUGCAUGUCAUGGUAUUGAAUCAAGAAUCCCUUGACAGUGACAUACUUACCUCAUUCACAACACCUGUAGGGAACUUCCACACACCUGUCCCUCGUAAUCGUCCGAUGUUCUCUUGGACCACUAGAACCUAAGAUCAAGACACCCGAAUCAAGAUUUGUAAAAGGAUACAAGGUAUGCCAGCUAACAUGGAACUGGGAAAGUACCUCUCUGUUUUUGUUCAUCACAAAUGCGCCGAUCCCCACGCGGUGCGAAGCGUUUGCCGGAAGAGAGUGUGCGCCUUGAGGCAGCCAAUGAACAAGCAUCAAAUAAUUAGGCUCAGCAUGGUGAUACCAAAAUCCUUCCUGAGAAGCAAUACAUAUAGUAUUAACACGAGGCAUUUUCAGUCAUACAUGUGAUUCAAUUUGUAAAUGACAAUAAAUCCACCUUAACAGCAGCUUCAACCAGAUUGACGUGCUGAAUAGGCAAUUUGAUCCACACACCUCUUUUACCCUGCAAAACAUGUUACAUGACAUGAUCCAGCAGAAACAAAAGAGAACAGUGUUGUAAAUAGUGUAAUAAAGGUUAAGAAGAAAACCUGCUGUCGCCACUGUGCCAUUGAAGCACUGAGAACAGAAGCAAAGAGGGCAGAGUCCAUAGGUUGAGUCACUUCAACAAUUACUCCCCCAUACCUAUCGUUGAUUGCAUCAAGAAGUCCUUGUUCUUCAUUUUCAUUGACAUUCAUAGGAGUUGAAGUCUCUGAUGCUGACAUGGCUAUUCCUGAAUCUGGUUGCCUGAAAAAACUCAAACAUAAAUAAAUUUAAUAUGUAGAUGUAGAUUUAGUAAUUAAUUAACAUCAGGCUCAGGGUCAUACCUAUGGAAGUCGAUGGAUGGGGCAGAGCUUUAAGAGCAGGAGAACAAACUGGGUACUGUUGUUUAGGGAAAACGAAAAUCCAACAGAUUGAAAAUAACAAUAAAUUAAUGUUGCAGGGCAGGGUUUGAGAUGAGAAGCUUUAUUAUAUAUAAUGGUGGUGGCAAACCAAAUACGUAAAAUAUUAUUUAUGUUUGUCAGGUUAGACGUGGUCAACAUAGACCCAACUAAAACUUCAAUUUUUGACUUUCAAUGUGAAAUGGGUAUGCCAUGCACAUUACACAUGCAUGUAGAGGCAAGCAUUUGAAUUAGUCAGCAAAGCAAAAUUACCAGGGCGGAAUUCUGAAUAGGCGAGGCGACGAUAAUGCAUGCAACAUGCCGCCGUGUCCGUCGGUCGAUUAUUAAUUUUAAUCUACUUCAGUGAUACGUACGGCAGUAAAUAAACAGUUGCUCUUAAUAAUAUUCUUAAAUAUUUUCUCUUAAAAAGCUACUAUAUCACAAUAUUCGAUUAUAAGAGUCCUAAAUCUUCUAGAGUACCAUCCUAAGAAAAUGAUUAACCUUACGAUAAUUGGUCUCCAAAAUUAUAUUAGACAUAAUUAUACCUUAAUAUUAUUCAUUGUGGAUUAUGAUUAUCUUUUGCCCUACGGCAACACUUGUAAAAGUUCCAUCAGUGAUCACUUUUUAGAAUACAAACCCGAAGAUGAUCGUUCUUCGCUCAUUGGACUUUGACAAAAAUUAUGCUUUGAAUUGUAUACAUUUCAUAGCCGAUUACUUUUAACCAAACCUAAAAACAAGUAUAAGAAUUUUCAUGUUGAUCCAUUUCUCCUGUCGAACCCUCAAGCACUUUUUAGCUUUUCCUUCUAAAAAACACAAAACAUAACAUCCUAAUUUACAGGAAUUUGGUAGUAAAUUUUAGUAGUAAUCUCUUUCCUGUUUACGUCAAGAAAGGAUCAUGGAGCUUCUCAUCUGCCGCCCGGAAGCUUUCCCCAACAAGUGAAUAAAUUUGACGGCUAAGAAGAGGGGCCGCCAAGCUCAUUGCAAAAGUGAGACCCUCUUUCUCGUUGUUUAAGCAGAAGAAACACAUGCACAUACACAGCAACAAUAUGCAAGGACUGAUAAUUUAUUUAUGCACAUGUAAGUGGAAUUCACCUUUUUCUAUUCAAAGUAAUAUUAUAUCAUGUUAACUAAAAAAGUUAAAACUCAAUAUUAAUACAAUAGUAUUCCUACAACUCAGCUGAGGUUGAACUUCAAACCUAAUUAUCCACCCAAAAUGUGAACUUACCAAACAUACACAUGCACAUACACUAUAUUAUUAACUUUAAACUAACCUAAAAGAUAAUGCGAGCCAGGUGUGUUACUCUUUUCUUUAUAUCCUACUAUAUAACCGGAAUGAUCGAGUCAAACCAUAUUCCUCCUCUAACAACACCAACACAAAAGCAUGCUGCUAAUUCUGAUUCUGAUUGGGAAACAAGAGUUAAGUCGAACAGUGCAUAAUCAGUAUCAGUCAUCAUCAAUUUUGAUGCCAUCGGUGGACUUCGACAGCAUGUUCCCCUUCUCAAACUUUUGCAACUCUGACUCCAGACUUUUAGCAAUCUCUGUUUCUUCAGCAGCUGGCUCGGGUAGAUCCACAUGAAAAGAUCCCUGUUUGAUAGGUUGAGCAGGUUCACUGAUCAAGGACUGCUGCUUUAUGUAGUUGUAGAGUUGUUGAUGAAAAGGAUGAUCCAGCGAAAAGCAGUUUUCAUUUUCUGAAUUGCGUGAUGAUCCUGACCCAUCUUUUCUACAGAAAUGUGGUAGUGAUGCAAUAUCCAUUAUCUAUAAAAAUAAAAUAUAAUACACAACCAGCAUUAUCAGUAUUCUUGAAGCAGACAAAGUGACUGCGAAAUGGUGUUUAACAUCAUCAUAUCAUAUCUAAGUGAAUUAGUUAUAUAUCUCCUUGGACUUCUGACAAAGAAACAAGGUCUAAUGAUUUACCAGUGAAGCAAUCAAAAUGAAAGACGAUGGAAAAGAAGAAAAAAACUCAAAACUUGAAUCAUGCUCUUUCUGGGUUUACACUUAGUAUUCUAGCAACAAUGACAACUAUAGAAUAUGACAAGAAAUAAUUGGCAGCCCCAUUACUUCAAACAGAAAGAAUCAGGAAGAGAACUGCAGAAAUUUUAAUAUAUAUUAGAAAUUGCAGCAUCAUUGAAGAAAAGAGUAGUGAGAAUAACACAGGGCUAGAGAAGUUGAUGGAGAAAAAGAACAAAAAUGGAAAAAUUCUUCUAGAACUAGUACUGCCUCAACCUACUUUGAUAUCACAGAGAGGGGGGGAUGGGGGAAGAUCGAGACAGGAAUGAUGAUAUUUUCAGUAGCUAAACAUUUGAAGAGAAAUACUGUAAGAACCCAUGUUUUUAAAUGUUUUAAGACAUAAUGAGAAAAACACCAUACUUUCAAUAGUUCAUCUCGACCGCAACCUGGCAAAACUUGAAUUUUUUUCCUUGUUCUCUCUUGCAAAAGGGGCUUGACAACCUGCUAAGAAUUCAAAGGUUAAAUCAAUCCAUGUCAAAACGAUUUACUGGAUAACAGAUAAAUAUUCAAAGGUUUACCUUCCAACAAGCAGAGAAAAUAUAUGGCGCAUUUACAAUGUAAUAUGUAUUUGUCUUCUCUGGGUAGUUCAAGUCAUCAAUUGUGGAGAUGAUUGUCAGCAACUGCGUUAAAACAAAAAAUUCAAUCAUGAUACUGAUCCAUGAAGUUAAAAUGCAAUCAACCAUUUACAUGUUUGGACUGGUACAAUUAGCCAGUUUAACAUUGAGUUUUUCUUCUUUUCUCUUUGGUAAACCUUUUUCAGCAGCUUAAUUACGUUGCAAAUCCUGCUAUCCAAGUGCUCUAGAACAAAAUACAGAAACCAAACUCGAGAAGAUACCUUUAUUUUGCUCAGUGCUGAAAGCUUCAGGCCAGUCAUAUCUAAUACUUUUAUACAGGUGGUUAUAGGCCGCCCAUGCUUUUUAGACGCGGAAGGCUACAGCAGUGCAUAAAAGUAAAGCAAAUUACUAGGAAAGGCAGGGAACAGAAAACUUCCAAACGCUUAUCACUCACCAGAAUUACACGAUCCCGAUAUUCAUUGAUUUGAAUAUGUGAUUGCACAUAGUAGUGAACCUAUAAUAAUAAAAGAAGCAAUAAAUACCAAAGAUUAGUGUCUUAUGCUCACCAAUGAAAUGCUUUUAUUGCAUAUUACCCUAAAACUUACAGAUGCUUUGUCAAACGUGCUAAGCCCCACACCAAUAGCAAAGACAGGAAGACCCUGGAAAUGGAAAAUUUUAAAUUUAAAUACAUGCCUGAAAGGAAAUGCUAUUCCUAUGAGCACAACUUAGUACGAUUAAAAACAUAAAUACUGUAAACAAGAUUAGAUUUGACAAGUAUGAGCACCUCUCUUGAGUAGCCAGACAUUCCUAUGAGCUGUGAAUCACGCACUGCUCCAUAAAGUUCGAUAGGAACAAUGGGUUUCUGUAGAAAAGGUUUACAUUCAAUACAAAAAAGAACUUAGUGACUCCCCUUGACUCAAUUUUAUGCAUUAGGAUUAAUCAGCAAACAACUCAAUAUAAGACUGAAGCAUGAAAUGGCAGAAACCACAUGGCAGGCAUGAUAUUUUUACAUGUGAUGUGUGAGAGAGGGAUAUUAGGGAUGUGGCUGGGAUUCUUUCUUACAGGGGAGACAGUAAGGUUAGUAUUUAGAAAAAUAAUAAUUAUGUUGUAAAUGUAGCAGCCAAUGACAUGAAUUAAUGAAAAUCAAUUCAAUUAAAACAUUAUAUGGCCUGUCUAGACAUACAUGAUGAUCAUUAAAAACUAUAUCCUUAAGCCAUAUCAAAGAAAUAUCAUUAAAUAAAAGACUGUCCGCAUCCUCCAAUUCGGUUUGCUUGUUUGAAAGGUAAAAUGCUUAGACAAUCAUCAAUAGUCUAUUUAGAAAAGCAAUCAAUUGCAAUUUAGAUGCAACACCUGAGAAUACAUUAACUUACUGCUAAAAUAUCGUCAAUGGUAUUCUGCACCCUCCAAUGCAAGCAGUCCACCAACUGAAACAUGACACACUUAACGAUUUGGUCAUACAAAAAUGACAUUUAUGAUCAAGAUACUGCCACAACAAAAACGACAGUUUUCUUGUUUCCUGCUUUUCAAAAUGAAAAGGGAACCUGGGAUAGAUGUCUUUUGGGUUUAACUCCAAUUAACUAACCAUUUUAUGGGCUUUGGCAACAUUCCAGUCUCUUGCUUUUAGAAACCGCACCAAUGUUUCAGCUCUAAAACCUUGAUGGACAUUCUGCAUGUUGGGAAACAAUUACUAGAAAGGAGAUGAAAAAUUGGUGCACAAUCAUUACCUAGUGAAGCUAAAAAAAAAACAUAUUGUAUUUGUAUCCUAGAGCAUUCUGUCAGCUGUCAUCAAACAGCAGACAAGGAAAGAACAAUCAGCCAUGCAUUAAAACAAAAAAUGCUUUAGUCAUGCCUAAACUUAUAAAGCAUGCCACAAAGCUCCAUAAAUUGCAUCCAAGAGCUUUCAUCGAUAGAUCAUCAAUUCCUUCAUAUCCCUACCAGCCCAUCUUCCUAGUUAAGAGAGGAGGAUAGAUGAAGCAUUUAUUUUUGCUGAAAAAGUUAAGAUCAAUGUGCCCAUAUAGAAAUAAAUAAAUAGAGAAAGGGAAGCUAAGUUCACAUAUGAAGUAGGAGUAAAAAAAUAAGUAGAAUGUAAGGAAACAAAAGGACAAAGAGUAGGCAAGUGGCAAUUAGAUUAAGCAAAAGAGCAGAUCAAAGCAAUUGCAAAUACUAGUAGUUGUAGAAGUAGUAGCAGUAGACAGUAAUAGGAAAAAACCAACACAUAAUUGAAAAAGAACACUAUAAUUUAGCAAAAUUAAAGUAAAAAAAAAAAAGGGAGAGUUGAGAGUGAAGAGUUAAAAUAGCACACAUUCUUUUACUGGCGUUGAAUAUAAGAGAAAGAAAAGAAAGGGUGAAAUGGGCGUACCUGAAAUGUAAUGUUGAGAGGCUCUUCGACUGCCAUGACAUGGAAGUAACCAAGAAAGAAAUCAGAAAUUUUGGGAUCGGUUGAGUUUCGAGUUCCCAAGAAAAAGAGAAAAGAGAAAGCAGACCUGAAUCCAUCAAUGCCUGCAACUCAAGGAUGGCUUCCUGAGAAACGAUCCCCAUUUCGAAGCAGAGAUGAUUGUUGGUGAUUGAUGGUAGAGGUAUUUACACUCCAACUAUUACUCUAGAUUUCUUUCCUUUUCCUACUACUAUAAUUUCACACUUCCUUUUUAAAACAAUCAAAUUAAGUAAGGAUUCUUAGUGAAUUCGUACGGUUAAAAUUCAUAAGCAUGGAUUAACUGAUUAAGGAAGGUAAAUGGUUUUUUUUUUUUCCUUUUUUAUAUAAAUAAAAAAAAUCAUGAUAAUGAGGUGUUUAUGUGAGCAAUAUCUCAAGCAUUAUUCAUUGCUAAGUCACAUCACUUGUCAUAAAUCAUCAUUAAUAUUUUGGAUGUGUGAUUGAUAUUUUUAAGCAUUUUUUAAAAUUGUUCUAUUUUAGAUAAGAUAUCGUGAAUAUUAAAUAAGUCAGAUUGGAUCAAGUAAUUGGAUCUCUUAAAAUAAGGUUAUUGGAUCGUAUCUGCAUUGAAGGCUUAUUUAUGUUAUCUCUACAAGGUCUUGGACUUUAUGAAUAUAUUGUUUAUAAUGUUUUAGUUGCUACUUUGAUGGAGAGAUUGACUGUAAUUGUAAUAUCCCGAAAAUUACUACUAUAAUACCUCAAAAAUUACUACUAUAAUACUUCGAAAAUUACUACAAUAAGAAAGUAGGUAUCUUUGAUAUAGUAAAAUAAGGAAAUAAAGUGAGUUAUGACAACAUUGAGAAGUAUACUAUGAUAUAUUAAUUCAAGAAAGAAUUAAAUCGCAAAAGUGAGAAAACUUUUGUUGAUUAAGAGUAAAUACUCAAAAUUUGAGGGGGUAAAGUGUAAAUAUGAAAAAUUUAAAGGACUAAUAGUGCAAAUAUUUUAAGGGUGGAAUAAUCUAGAAACUAAGAAAAAUGGAUGAAUUAGGACCAAAUUGAAAAGGUAAAUAAUUUUGAGGGACUAAAUCAUAAUUUUACCAAAUUAAGUGAUGACUCAAGGAUGAAAUUUUUAAAGAUUAUAAAGGGCAAAAUGAUCAAUUAGAAGAGAGAGAAAUUUAGAAGGCAAUGAUGAUGUUGGAGAUAUUUUAGAUUAAUUAAAUAAAUAAAUAUUAGUUUAUUAAUAUUUUAAUUUAAUUUUUAAAUAAUAUUUUAUUAUUUUAUUUAGUAUAUAUAUAAGAAAAGGAAGAUGAAGAAUCACCAUCCCACCAUUUUUUCCUACGCACCAACGUGAGAAGAAGAGAGAAAGAAAGAAAGUUUUACUUUCUUUACAAUUUGGUCCUUUCACCAAAAAUUUACUAUUUUCACCUAGAAAUCAAAAGAAUUUCCAUAUCCAUCAAGAGAGAAAGAUAACAAGGAGACUAUGGGGAGCUAGAAUAUCAAGUUAGAUUCAAGAAAGAGAAGCUGGAGGAGAGAGAAAAUCAAGUUAAAGGUUGAAACUAAUAGGACAAUGUAAGAACAUCAAGAUUUCAAUAUAUUUUUAAGUUUGAUAUUAUUGAAAAAGCACAGAAAUGAUGUUAUAGUAGAGUUUUCUUAUAUAAGGUAUUAUGAUCUUGAUAUAUUAGUGAAGGGAAAUAAGUGAAAGUGAUGAGAAAUAUUAUAGAGAAAGGGAAUAAGGGAGUUAUAAACUUAGUAAUCAACAUCUUGCACUAAAACAGUUUUGGACAGCAGCAGUAGGUUAACUUUGAAAAAUCACCAUAAAUUGUGGAGAUCAAAUUAGGGGAUGAGAAAAAUAUGAAAAUAUUAUUGAGUCUAGUUUCUCAUAGAAGAAACCGUGUAAGUAAUGUAAUUGUAAAUCAUGAGAUAUAAUAAAUUUUGUGAGACAAUGUCAGAAUGAAUUCGGGUUCCCCUGUUCUGACUUUGAAAAUCAUCAAAAUUUUGAGAAAAAUAAUUAGGGGCUUAAAUUUAUAUGUUUUAAUCCUUAAUGAGUAUAUUUUCUAUAGAAACAAACGGUAACAUCAUCCGAAUCUUGUACGAGGAGAUAAUUAAUUUUUAGUGAAGAAGGGUUGAAACUGUCAGACAAUAGAAGAGGGAUGAAUUUAAAGAAUAAACUGCACUUAUUGGCUAAACCAUAAAUUCUGAAAAUUUUAUGGUAAGAAGAUAUGUGAGUCUAGUUUCAUAGAAAUUUAGCGGAUCUUAAUUCGGAGUUCUUUAGCUCAAGAUAUAAAUAAUUUAGUAACUAUGACUCAAGUGGACAGUUUUGAAUGAACAUAUAAAUAAAUAGUGAAAUUAUAGAUAAUGUUAUAUAUAAGCAUGUUAUAUACAUUAAGGAUGUGGAAUGGAGAGGAGGAGGAGGAAUAUAUAUAAUUAUUCAACUAGCAUGAGUUUUCAUUAAAAAUGGCUAAUUUGCAUGUUUUAGUAUCAAUGACUAAAUUGAAUAAAAGUAAAAUUUUAAGGGUAAAUUUGUAAAAAUGUCAAAAAGUGACCAAAUUGUAUGAAAUGAAUUGUUUUAUUAUUUAAAUUAAUAAAUUUAAUGAAAUAUUAAUUUAGACCAAGAUUGGGUGAAAAUUCGAGCAAAAUAGAAAAUUACCAAAAUAUCCUUAAAUUUUGGUAUUUCUGCAAUUUAGCCUGGUAAGUUCGUAUGAACUAUAUUCUGUAUAAUUUUAAUUAAAGUGAAUGUUAUUUUGGUGAUGAAUAUUAUAUAAAUAUGUGUUUUAUUAUUGGAAUUGAAUUCUUAUUGGUAAUAUGUAUAAUUAUUAGAUGCAUUGAAAUGAUUAUCGGAAGCUCGAUUGGAUUGGAAGCUUGUCAGAGAUUAUCACACUAUCAAUUGGUUCUAUCAAUAAUUUUGGAUGAUUUGAUUCUGGUUAUAAUGGCAUGAAUAAGUUAAAUUGGCCAACGUUAGCUCAUUAAUGUUUUGAUUUUGAUUGGUUAUAAAUAUGAAUGUUUGAUGAAAUGAAAUGUUUGUAAAUUAAUUUGUAAAUUUCGGUAAUGCUCUAUAACCUUAUUCUGGCGAUGGAUACGGGUUAGGGGUGAUACAAUAAUUGACCUAGUAUGUUAGUAAGUCAAAACUAGUAUAUAUGCUUGAGACUUGUAUAUAUUAUGUACAGAGAGUUUUAAUACUUAUUUGUUUAUUAAGGAACUUGUAAUUAUGGUGCAUUGUGAGUGUAAGUAAAUGUGUUACUUUGUUUACACCCUAAGUUUUCAAAUAGAAAAUUGAGAGGAAAGUGACCUAAAUCUUUAGGCGCAAAUGUGAAGUUGCUAAACCAAUGUGUUUUAGAACUUAAAUCACUUAUUGUACGAGUUUGUAAGAUAGUAGAUUAUCUCUUUGGACAAGACCCCAUAUAACUAUAGAUGUAUGAAACUGAAUUAGAUAAACAACUUGUUUCUAUUUUAUUUUAUCGUAGUUAUACUUUCAGUGGGUACUACUCAUAUCAUUGUUUCUAUUGUUCUUGCAAUUAUCGUGUUAUAAUAAACGCCGAUAAUAGCGGGUAGAACAAUCGCAAAGCAAUAAGAGAAAUUCACUAAUGUUAAAAAAACGAGUGAUACAAGAGAAGUUUCGACUACGUCUAGGGUUGAAUAACUCUGUUCCAAUCAAAGUCAAAUAGAAGAAGUAUAGUUCUAUAUGGACUCAACUUGUGGGGUAUGGCCUGUACAGCGGGGGCUCCACCCCCGCACCCACGGUCGCAACCCUGUUCCAGUUUUAUGCUUAAUGGGGAUCUAUGGCGGGAUACAAUAUUCCUCGCCCUUUUGCUUCCAUAGAUCCCUUUAUUUCGCUACUGUAUUUAUUUCUUCAACAAAUACCGAAAUUCAAAUCACACAAUUUCUAAUAUAUCGUUUCACCUCUUUGGCCGAUAGCUUCCUUAAUGACCUUCUUUAGUUUGGCUGCAAGAACCUUUACAAUGACUUUGGAAAUGUUUCUAAAGUUGAAGCUCCAACAAUCCUUAAUAUAAUAUAAACUCGCAUAUAAAAUAAAAAUUACCAAUUGCAAGAACCUUUCUUGAUCUCAUCUGAAGGUCGAAAGCUUCGACAAAUCUUAAUAUAAUUUAAACUUAUAUAUAAAAUUAAUUUACGAAAUAAAAAAAUCAAGAAGUAAAACUAUUAAAGGUUAAAUUUUGUUAUUAGUGUUUGUAGUUUGUAUAAAGUGCAAAUUUGUUAUACUCUAAUUUCAUCAUUUUUUAUAUUCAUAUUCUUUUAUUUUUGAAAUUUAAUCCUAACUAAAUGGUAAUCCUUAAAUUUUUUUAUUUCUAAAAUAUUAUGUGGCAAAUAUAUAACUUCAUGCAUAAUGCCAUAUCAUUUUAGUUAAGGAAUUUAAUGGUUACCAUUUAAGUUAUGACCAAAGUAGUCAAUCUUAUAGUGAUAGAUGUACAAUUUUUCCAUUGGUACGGGUAUUAAUGUUGAUCUAUUUCAAUGUAUUGUUUCAAAUUUAUCGCUAUUUUUUAAAAUAUUUUAUAUAUGUGGACGUGACAUGGGUUCAAAUCUCACCAUAUGUAAAUUUUAAGAUAAAUACUCAUUAAUUAUAUAAAAUAUUAUUUAAUAAACUUCACAAGUACAAUAUAUCAUUAAACAAACUCAAAAUAAACAAACAAAAAAAAAUUUCACAACUUAAAUAACAAAAUUAUCCAAUACUAUGCAAAAUAAUAAUUCAUAAUUCAACAAAUCCAAGAAAAAAAUUAAAUUUAAAUUUAAAAUAUAUUUUAAUUUUUUUGGUACAAAUAAAUAAUAAAAAUUUAAAAUUAAAUUUUUUGUGAUGAUUGAUAUACCAUAUUUUAGUCGAUACAAGCAAAAUUAACUAAUACGCACUAGUACAAUCAAUACCAAUCGAAAUUGACCUCAAAAUAAAAUCUAAAAUUUAUUUUUCUGAUUUACUACAAAAACAGAAUAUUUUGAUUGAAAUAGACAACACAAAAUGGUACCAACUAUUAUAGUCAUAAUGAAAAUUUUAAAAUUGAAAAAAUAUAUGCGACAAGAAAUAUCAAAAUGGAGAAGACUAAAAGCAGAUAGUAAAUUAAGGGUGGGUUUGGAUGGACGAUUGGGUGCGGUACGGUGCAUUUAACUUACUUUUUGUCUCACGCUACAGUAUCUAAUUCCACCGCCACCGUUGUUUUUACACUAACCGCAGGUAAACGUACCGUCCAUCCAAACUUACCCUAAGUCGAUUUCAUCAGCUGGAUCUUUUUGUUGCAGCGAGUCGAGCGUCGGCAUCGACUUUUAUGUAACACGUGGAGCAUUUGGAAUUACCGAAGUGUGGCCUUAUAGAAACAACGGUACCUGAUUGCUGCGCAUAUUGUUCAACAGGAUGCUUUGUUUCUCAAAAGCUGUCGUACUGCUAUUUAUGCUGUGCAGGAGGGCCCUCGAUAGCCUAUUGUAGGACGGGUUGAUUGUUGGUGCAAGGCUUCACCGGGUAAGCUGAAGUGUAACAUUGACGGUGUUUUUGUGGAUAGUGAUGUUAUCGGAUGGGUUGCUAUAGUUAAGCAUGCUGUGGGUGGCUUUGUAUGCUGCAUUUUGGGCUUUGUAUGGCUGAAGUUUAUGCAGCUCAGGACGCCCUCUCCUCUCAUGGCAUGCUCUCUCAUACCGAACUUCUGAUGCCUCGGAAUUGGGUUGAUUACUUUAAGACUGUUUUCAUCUCAGCUCUUUGUAUCAGUCCUUGUCCUAUUGUUGGAUUCAUAGAUGUUUGACAAGAACAUGUUUUUUUUUUUAUCUUCAUUCUAUUUUUAAUUUUGUAUUUGCUGAUUGUUCUAAACCGGAUAUACUUUGAUUACUUGGAAAUUCGGUAUUGUCUCUCACUUUUCUCCUUUAUCUUUUUUUUAUUUUAAUUAAUGAAGCUUUAUUCUAAAAAGAAAAUGUAAAUUAUAAAAAUAGUCAGUUUUGUUUGCCUCAUAUUACAUACAUUUUAGUCACUUAUGUUAUCGUGUUGUAAUAUUUUAGUUAUUAAGCCGUUAAUUGCCGUUAAUAUUGUAACAGUAAACUGAUGUGAUACAUUAAGUCAUUAUUUUAAACAAAAAUUUUAGGCUAUGUUUUUUUAUUUUGAGCAAUUUAAUUCUGUUAUAGCAAUUAACGACUCAGUGGUUAAAACGUUAUAAUACGAUAACGUAAGUAAUUAAAACGUAAUAUUUUAAACAUAAUGAUAAAAAUAUAAUCUAAAAUAAAUAAAAAUAACUAUUUUCGUAGUUUAUAAAAAAAAAAAAGUGUGAUAUUGAGUUUGUGGUCUGCACACACACACACACAAAAAAAACCAACAACAAGGGCGGCCGAAACCACAAUAGUAAAACAGUCUUUGUAAUUUAAAUAAAAUGUAUUUAUUUAGUUUCGAUUGGGUGGUGAGAUCCUAACCUAUUACAAUUAUAAUAUUUAUUAGGUUAUCAUUGCUAUUUGACAAUUUACUUAUUUUUUAUGGGUAAAUUACACUAAUAUCACUAAACUAUUAAUAAAUUUAUAUUUUAGUCACUUAAUUUUAAAAAGUUAAAAAAGAAUCACUAAACUAUUUCGAAGUUUUCAUUUAAGUUACUGGGCUAUUAAAAUCGUUGAUGUAUAGCCUUCUCUGCUCACACUACCUACACCAAUCAAAAUCUCGCGUUCUCAUCCUCUUCUACAAUUAGAUUUGUUCAUGAAAUAGUUUUAAAAAUCACGAAUCUGCGUACCAAAAGUCAAAUAGUUUUCUUUUUCGAUCUCAAACACUGACUAUCUGAUCAACUUGGAUAUAAGGAAUGUUCUUCUAAUCGUCGAUGAGUAUUGAUCAACUUGGAGCUCGCUAGCCGGACUUUGAAAAAAACUUCGAAUAGUUCAAUGACUUAAAUGAAAACUUUCAAAUAGUUUAUGACCGAUUUGUAGCUUUUGAAAGUUGAGUGACUAAAAUAUAAACUUUCUACUAGUUUAGCAACUUGAGAGUAACUUACCCUUUUAUUUAUUUGUGUUCGCCGCAACGAGUGGAUCGUACAUAGAAAAAUAAUUUUGUUGGGAUGGAUGAUAAUUGCAGUUUGUCCUUAAACAAAAUUGGUCAAGGAAAAACAGUGGAAACAGAAACGCGGACUUGAAAAAACAAACAAUAGUUGCCAACGUUGAAAUAAAAGUAGGCUUUCGUUCUAUUUACUCUACUCCCCUCCUACCUUCUAAAAAUCAAGCAUCACCUCUCUCUCUCUUCUUUUCCCUUUUCAACUUUGUUAGCUGCAAAUCCUGCGAAAUUAAUUUUUUCCCCAAAUUUUGGAUACUUUACAUAUUAUAUAAUAUAUAAAAACAAAAACAAAAAACUGUGUAAUUUGUUUUUCUUGUAAAAUUAUUUGUCUGGGUGAGUUCGGGAGGUGUAUUGUAUUUGUAUUUAUACAAUUAUACCCAACUAAAGAAUAGGCUGCAGUAUUUGUUCUUUAUCUUUGGUAAAUAGUUGAGUUUGAUUGAUUUUUGCUUCUUCUUUUUUAGGAAAAAAAAAAAAAGAUUUUUGCUUGGGAAGUUUGUGUUUAUAUUUCUGUGUUUCUCCUAGAAAUUUAAGAAAUAGAUAUAUAUACUUGGAAUGGAAGGAAAGAAAUACUACUGAACUUUUUUUUUCCCUUGAGGUCUUCUUGAUUAUAGCAUUGAAAAAGACAAUAUUGACUGCGUGUCGGUGGGUGGGUUCUGCAUAAAAUUGAACAUUAUCAAUCAAGGCCAAAAUUUGGACCCUUUUUAUUAGGUUAAGAUUGGAUUGAGGGAAUCUAGAGAAAAAGAAAAAUGAAGCUCAUUGUGGGCGUAAUUGAAGCAAGGAACAUACCAGCCAUGGAUGUAAACGGCUUCAGUGAUCCCUACGUCAAGCUUCAGCUUGGGAAACAGAGGCACAAAACCAAAGUGGUGAAGAAGACGUUGAACCCAAGUUGGGGAGAGGAAUUUAGUUUCAAGGUCGAGGAUUUGAAUGAGGAGCUUCUUAUCACCGUCUUGGAUGAGGAUAAGUAUUUCAAUGAUGACUUUGUGGGUCAGCUUAAAGUCUCCGUUUCCCAGGUUUUCGAUGCUCAUAAUAAAUCUCUUGGCACUGUUUGGUAUUCCCUUCACCCUAGGAAUAAGAAGUUGAAGAACAAGGAGUGUGGUAUGUUCUGUUUUUAGCUUUCUAUUAUUUGCAUCUUUCAUUUCUCAAGCUCUGCAUAUUUGGAGUUGCCUGAUCAUUACUCAUGUGCUGUUUGCAUCUCCUUUUUACUUGGAAUAUUCAACUAGGAUUUUUGUGCCUUUUAGGCCUCAAAAAGGAGCUUAUUUAAGUAGUUUGGAUCUAGGAUUCAAAGAUUCCAGCCUUUGACUACAUGCUUCUAAAUAUCUAUCUGCUUUUCUUUCAACCUUGGCUACAGGUGAAAUACUUCUAAAUAUCUAUUUUUCCCAAAACAAUUCAUACUUGGACUCGACUUAUAAUGGUGAUCAUGCAUCAGCAUUGAGGAAGCAUGAAGACAUGGAUGUUAAGGAUAUUUCUAGGUCUUUUAGUGGUUCAUCAAGCUCCUCUUCUCCGCCGAGACUAGAUGAUAAUGUGUCUUCCAAGGAAGAGAAAUCAAGUGCACAAAAAUCCCUAGCAGGUCGAAUCACUCAAAUGUUUAAUAGAAAUUUUGACAUUGGUCCUACUACAUCCACUAGGGGCAAUGAUUUGAUGGAGAUACCUGAAAUUUCAAGAGCUGAUGUUUUUGAUAACAAGUCUGAUGAUCAGUCAUCGUCUUUUGAGGAAGCGAUGGAAGCAUUGUGUUCCCGAGAUCAGGGAAGUGAAAUUCCGAGUAACUUACCUGGAGGAGUGCUUCUAGAUCAAUUAUAUGUGAUUGCGCCAAAAGAACUAAACUUUCUACUUUUUUCACCUGAUUCAAGUUUUCCUAGGUCAUUAGCAGAGGUGCAGGGAUCUACAGACCCACAAAUUGGGCCUUGGAAAUUUGAGAAUGGUGGUGAGAGUUUGAAAAGAAUUUAUUCUUACGUCAGGGCUCCAACCAAAUUAAUUAAGGCUGUGAAAGCCACUGAGGAGCAAACAUAUAUAAAAGCUGAUGGGAAGACUUUUGCCGUUUUAGCGUCUGUGAGCACUCCGGAUGUUAUGUAUGGGAGCACUUUCAAAGUCGAAGUGCUGUACUGCAUUAGUCCUGGACCUGAGCUCCCAUCUGGAAAAGAAUCUUCCCAUUUGGUGAUUUCAUGGCGGAUGAACUUCUUGCAGAGCACACUGAUGAAAAGUAUGAUAGAAAAUGGAGCCCGGCAGGGUCUGAAGGAAAGCUUUGAGCAAUUCACUACUCUACUAGAGCAGACUAUUAAGCCAGUUGAUUCAAAGGAUUUUGGGUUGAACAAAGAACAGAUUUUGGGAUCAUUGCAGGCUGAACCCCAGUCAGAUUGGAAGUUGGCAGUCCAGUACUUUGCUAAUUUUACUAUGGUUUCUACAGUUUUUAUGAGCUUAUAUGUAAUAGUCCAUAUCUGCCUAGCUGCACCCAGUACAAUUCAAGGACUAGAGUUUUUAGGGCUUGAUUUGCCUGAUUCAAUUGGUGAAUUUAUUGUGUGUGGUAUUUUGGUUCUUCAAGGUGAAAGGGUGUUGCAGUUAAUCUCCCGCUUCAUGCGUGCCAGAGUGCAGAAAGGUAAUAUUUAUAUUUAAUAACAAUUCUGCUCGGCUAGUGAGAAGAGUUGCCAUGUCUUGUUUCUUGUGUCUCAGCCUUUGAUUUCCUUUUCUUAUGUCUCUCUAACACUAGGGAGUGAUCAUGGAGUGAAAGCACAAGGGGAUGGAUGGUUACUAACAGUUGCCUUGAUUGAGGGAAGUAAUUUAGCUGCUGUAGAUUCAAGUGGUUACUGUGAUCCAUAUGUUGUGUUCACUUGCAACGGGAAAACUAGAACCAGCUCAAUCAAGUACCAGAAAUCUGCUCCCCAGUGGAAUGGUGAAUUCAACAUUAUGCUUUGUCUAUGUUUGGAUUCAUUGUACAUGUUUGGUGUUGCACUAGCAUCGUCUUGAAUAAUGAAUCUUACUUAGAAUCGUAUAGCUUUUCUAGUUCAGAAAAGGAAUUCUAUAAUUUGUCAACUUUUUUGAAAAAAAUUUCUAAACUUUAAUAAAUUCUUCCAAAAACUGUGUUCUUUUUGCAGAAAUAUUUGAAUUUGAUGCAAUGAAAGAGCCUCCUUCCGUACUGGAUUUAGAAGUUUUUGAUUUUGAUGGGCCUUUUGAUGAAGCUACAUCUUUGGGACAUGCUGAGGUUAAUUUUGUAAGAUCUAAUAUAUCAGAUCUAGCUGAUGUGUGGGUUCCUCUGCACGGUAAGUUGGCUCAGGCAUGCCAGUCUAAGCUGCACUUGAGAAUUUUUGUGGAAAAUACAAGAGGUGGAAAUGUGGUUACAGAGUACUUAAGAAAGAUGGAGAAAGAAGUGGGGAAGAAGGUAAAUAUAUAGUUAAUUUUAUUUUAGUUCCAAUUGGCCAGGAAUAAAAUAAUGUUGCCCAUUCUUGUUAUUUACUUAUGACCUAAUGAUCUAUUUGCAGAUAAAUGUGAGGUCCCCUCAAACGAAUUCAGCCUUUCAAAAACUCUUUGGGCUUCCACCAGAGGAAUUUCUCAUAAAUGACUUUACCUGUCACUUGAAACGGAAAAUGCCUCUGCAGGUUCUGAUUGUCUGGUUAUAUAAUAUUAUGUAAAGCUCACUUUUGUGAUGUUUUACUCCGAGUAAUUAAUAUGCACUAUUUUCCCCUUUUUGUUAAUUUGAUGUUGCAUCUAUGCAGGGUCGCCUGUUUUUAUCACCAAGAAUAAUUGGGUUUCAUGCCAAUUUAUUUGGCCACAAGACAAAAUUCUUCUUCCUUUGGGAAGACAUUGAAGAUAUUCAAGUUCUUCCACCUACUUUGGCAUCAAUGGGCAGUCCAGUUAUUGUUGUGACUCUCCGUCCAGGAAGAGGGAUGGAUGCUAGACAUGGUGCAAAGACUCGAGAUGAGGAAGGCAGGCUGAAGUUCCAUUAUCAGUCUUUUGUAUCUUUCAAUGUAGCUUAUCGGUAAAAGAGCAAUCUAUCUUCUGUGACUUCUGUUUUUUAUUUUAUUUAUACUUUUUUUUAUCUUUUGAUAUGUUCAUUACUUUUGUUUAAUGUUGAAAGCAUGUCUAACCCAGCUCUUUUUUGGAAUAUUUAAAAAUGAAUGCUAGCAUUAUGACUUCCGUUAUGUUUUUCCAUAUGACCAUUAAAAGUGUGAUGAUGUUCUUUAAGUGGCAAAUGCACUUGCUUUUAAAAUACAUUAAACAACUUAUAUGCUUAGAUCACUUUUGCAUUUGCACCUGUAAUCUGACAUACUAUUGUUUUUCUAAUUAUCGAAAGAUCUUGCUUUAGUUAUACUUUAAUUUUGAGAUAUACCUGAAAAUCAUAGAUUUUACGAUUACUGGUAUCACGACUCUUUUUACUUUUGUUCAAAUUUUUUCUGCUGUCUAAACUCUAUCGUUUAAGCUUCAUGCUUGUUUGUAUGUAUCAACUGUUGCUCUUUCGCAAUCAAAUGAUGAAACUAGUCCUAUGUAUUAAGAAUCUGUGAUGAUAGAAAUGAGGGUAGAUAAAUCCUUGGUGUGUAUGUUCGUGAAAGUAAGAAUGUCCUGAAAGGAGCAAUAAUGGUAAAAUGUCAUAUCUUGAUCUUCAUUUUUUUUUUUUUUUUGACUAGAACAAUCAUGGCUCUGUGGAAAGCCAGAGCCUUGAGCCCAGAACAGAAAGUGCAAAUAGUUGAAGAAGAGUCCGAGGCAAAAAGCCUCCAAAGUGACGAGAGUGGAUCUUUCUUAGGCCUUGAGGAUGUCAGUAUGUCUGAGGUUUAUUCCUGUGCUCUUCCUGUUCCCGUAAGUCAUCUAUCUCUCUUUCUGUGAGCCUAUGGAAUGAGUAUGCUGCAGCAUGCAUCCUGUUAUGAACAUUUAUACUUUCCAUGUUGUGUUGAGGUAUUGCCGGUCCUUAUGUUAAAGUGUAUUAAUGGAGUCUUUGCACGUAAAUUUAGUACGACUAUUCUUAUGGGUGUAUUGUAGAUAUAUUUUCUUUGUAUCAGAUGGUGGUAAUUGUUUUAUUGGUGAUUCAGACUGGUUUCUGCAUGGAGUUAUUUAGUGGUGGUGAAUUGGAGUAUAAAGCUAUGAAGAAAGCUGGCGGUCUUGACUAUUCUUGCACUCCAUGGGAACCAGAAAAUGUUGAUGCAUACGAGAGGCAAAUAUGUUACAAAUUCGAUAAGCGUGUAUCCCGCUAUAGAGGAGAGAUGACUAGUACUCAGCAGAAAUCCCAACUUCCCAAUAAGAAUGGUUGGCAUAUUGAAGAAGUUAUGACUCUCCAAGGUGUUCCACUCGGGGACUAUUUCAAUGUAUGAAUGCCACAAAGAACAUUUUAUUCAUUGCAUCUUCUUGGAUACCACAUCUUCCUCAUUGUUGACCACUGAGUUUAAACUUUCAAUGUUUUGCAGAUUCACCUUAGAUACCAAAUCGAGGACUUGCACUCAAAAGCAGAGGGAUGUCAGGUGCGAGUAUUUUUUGGAAUUGCAUGGUUGAAAAGCACAUGGCAUCAAAAAAGGAUAACCAAAAACAUCAUUUCAAAUCUACAACAACGCUUGAAGGUGAUUUUUGGUGUCGUUGAGAAGGAAUUUAGUAGAAGAUAGUGCACGACUGGCAUUGCUGAUAUAUGAACCAGAUUGGCAGAUGAACGUAAAUCAUCUUCGGAAAGUUAUCACAUUCUUUGGUUGGUAUUCUUUAGUGCUUUUUUAUGUUUAUGGAAUUGAGAUCUAUCCACAUUCCCAUAUAGCUGUGAGCUGCACACGAGUAUCUCACUCAAAAGUAAAAUUCCAAACUUUUGCUUGAAACCGAACCUGAAAAUUGUUGGCUGGCAAGCAGAUUACACGGCUUUAACUUGUUUUUCAAAUGUAGCUGAAUUUGAUGCUUGUAGGGACCGAAGCCCCUCAUUGAAGCAGGCUGCCAAAGUUACAGUCGUUGGGAAAUAUAGGCGUUUUGUGGCUGCUUUAACCAUGUUGGGCCGAAGAUAUGAUCUUUGUUGUUCGUUUGAUUAUUUACUAUCGUUGUAUUCUUGAAAAUUAGAAUAGAGUUGCGAAGUGCAACUGUUGUUUCUUGACUAACUGCUGUGAUCAUAAUUUAAAUGCAAAAAGAAAAAAAGGAAGAAUAAAUGAAAUUUUUACACUGUAAAUUGGUCAAAAGAAACUUGUGUUGAGUUAACCCAACUCAACACAUAUAGUAGCAGUCAUAGUAAUAGAACAGAUUACAGUACUUGGGUAUGGUUAACAUCCAUUUGCAAGGUAUUAUUUGUUUUAGUCUGUUAAAAGAUGACAUGGAUACUUGUACCUUAAAGGGUUUUUGGAUCCAAUGUUUCCAGUUGCACAUCACUUGCUCCCAUUUCAAAUGUAACUUAUAGGGAUGGAACGGGUAAGAUAUCUACAAAUUUUGGAUUAUCCAAAUUCGAAUCCGAAUUAAAUAGCAAUAUCAGUUGGUAUAAAUUUGCAAAAAUUCGAAUUUAGCAUUUUAACUUUAUGUCAGAUAUCUAAAUUUGUAAAAAUCUGAAUUUGAAUCCGCAAAAAUUGACAUUUAUAAAGUAAUGUAAAAUUAAAUAAAAAUUUAUUUAUUUAAAGAAAAUUAAUAAAAAAAUUAUUUUCAUUAAAAAUUGUAUAAAUUAUAAUAUUUUUAAUAUUAUUUAAAUUUUCAUAGAAUAGGAUUUCAAAUUUCAAAUUUUAAAAUAAGUUUUAUUUAUUAUAUUAUUGUUAAUGGGUCUAUUAUGUACUCUCUAUUCUUAUAAUCUUAUAUUAAACUCUAGACUAAGUUGAUGCUAACAAAUAUAAUGUAAAGAUGUUUUUGUCUUUUCAUGUUUUUUAGUAAAAAAAAAAAAUACUAUAACAAGAUUUGAACUUAAGGUUUAAGAUCAUUAAUAUAACAAUGUGCAUUGUAAUAACUUAGUUGUAUAGGGUUACAUAUCAUUACUAAUCUACCUUAAUUAUAUUAUAAUUAUUGAUACACAAUAUCAAUGGAAGUGGAGGAGGAGAGGGGGCGGUGUUAAAGAAAGUCGAUUCACCCAUUCCAGGACCGAGAGUUAAAGAGGACUUCCCCUACUAUGUUGAUCCUUGGGGUUGAGGGUUCCUACCUAAUUAUGUCACUUAAUGGGCUCUGGGUGAGCCCAAUGAAGGGUCCAAUUGGGUCCAAAUUGAGGUAGGGAGAUAAGUAUAACAAUAAUAUACCAUAAGGUUAGCUACACGUUUAGGGUUUAAGAUUAUGUAUCAUUAAUAUAAAAAUGUACAUUAUAAUAACAUAGUUGUAUAUACUAUAUUGGGUUACACAUCAUUACUAAUCUACCUUAAUUAUAUAAUGUUAAUUGUAUAUCCUAUGUUGGAACAUUUUCAAAUACUUAUAGUGUUCCAAUAAUUAUAAAUGAAUGGGUGUAAUUAAUCAAAAGUUAAAUUUUUUGGUCAUUCGUCAAGAGUUAUAUCACUUGAUUUUUGAAAAAGAAUUAUAACUAUUCAAACUAUAUUACUUGAAUAGUUAUAAUAUUAGAUGAAUAAUUAUAUGUCUUUGUAAAGAUGUUAUUAUUCAGAAAAGACACCUAUUAAAAGAUGUCUCUAUGAAGAGACAUGAAAAUUUCUAUAAAUAUGAAUGAGAUUUCAUUUGGAAAUCACACUAUAAAAAAAUUAUUUUUUAUCCUUCUUCAAUUUUCUAAUAUUAUUAGAUUGUUCUAUAAAGACUUCUUGCAGAAUUUCUUUGUAGAAAUUGAGUUUCUUGUUAUACAUUACUUAGUGCUUAGUGGACUAUUAUCGUCAGUGCAAAACGCAAAUAGUCAUCGGCUUCAUUGUAUCCUCAAAGGUAAUUUGCUUGGAACUCUUUUGCACACCGAACAUAAGUAGGGGCAAAUAUAACCUUAAAGAUAGUGACUUCAUACACGCCUUUAAGCCUUGUCAUAUUUCUUCAUUUUCUGCUCGAGUUCCAUUCAUGUGUUCGAGAUUUUCCUCGCUGGAGAUUUGUACUAACAGUUUUAAGGUUAUAUUUCAUGAUGACUACAACACAUGAAAGUGGAACACUAAGGGAGUUGGCUUCCAACUUUGUCAAACUUGAUUGGUUUGAUGGUGACAAUUUCCAACAAUGGCAGAAAAAGAUGCACUUCUUAUUAUCAGCUUUAAAUAUUGUCUAUGUUUUGGAUACUUCAAGACCGAAAGAGAAUGAGAACGAACCUAUUGCUGCAACCUGAGAAAGGCAAAAAUGGGACAAUGUUGAUUACAUGUGCAUAGUCCACAUAUUGGAUGAUUUAUUCGAUGGUUUAUUUGACACCUACCAAAAUGAGGUCACCGUUAAGGAAUUAUGAGACAAAUUGAAGACAAGAUACAUGACUGAAGAUGCUACAAGCAAGAAAUUUCUUGUUAGUCAUUUCAAUAUUUAUCAAAUGGUUGAUGGUCGUUCUGUUAUGGAACAAUUUCGUGAUUUUGAAAAAAUGUUGAAUCAAUUUAAGCAAUAUGAAAUGAAAAUGGAUUAAAUGAUUGUUGUAUCCUCCAUUAUAGACAAACUUCCUCCAUCUUGGAAAGACUUUAAAAGAAGUCUAACACAUAAGAAAGAGGAAAUAUCUUUUGAAGCUUUGGCAAAUCAUCUUCGUAUUGAAGAAGAAUAUCGAAAGCAAGAUCAGAACCUAGAUUCUGAAAAUGCCAAAGUGCAUGUUAUAGAGGAAGUACAGACUAAUAAACCAUCCAAGAGAAAGUUCAAACAUACUGAUAAAGUAUAUAAGUUCAAAAAGAAACAAAAGGGCUCAUGCUAUUAUUGUGGUAAGCUGGGACAUUUCAAGGAUGAAUGUCGAUUUUUAAAGAAGAAAUCAUCUUCUAAGGCUAAUAUAUCACAAGAUGAUAAUGCAUGGUGGAUUGAUACUGGAGCAAUCAAACAUGUGUGCAAAGACAAAAGCAUGUUCAAAAAGUUCACACAAUGUGAAAAUGAGAAUGUCUUGUACAUGGGAAAUUCUUCCACCACAACAAUCAAAGGCAAAGGGUCUAUUGAACUACAAUUCACUUCCGGAAAAGGUUUUAACCUUGAAUGACGUAUAUUAGGUUUUAACCUUGAAUGAUGCAUAUUAUGUAUCAGAAGUUAGGAAGAAUUUAGUGUCUGGAAGUCUAUUUUGAUUGGGUGAUAUCAGUUUGUUUUGAUUGGAUUUUUAGGGCUUUUUGAAGCGUCCAUCAUAAUUCGAUUUAGCUCUGUUUGCUUCUUGAUUUUUCAAUGUUAAUUUUUGGUUUUGAAUUUUUUAACUUUUUUCAAGAACUUUUAAAUUAUUUUCAUGGUUUUAAAUAUAAAAAUUAAAAUUAUUUAUUUAUGAAAAGAAAUAGAAUUCAGUUUAGUUUCGAGUAACCAUAGUUUUUAAACUUGCAUUCCAUAAAACCGUCCAAAUACAUUUAUUCAAAUAAUUGGGUUGAUUAGAUAACAAAAAGAAUAAUCACAAAUCUAGAAUUUAUGUUUUUUUUUAUAUAAUUGUUUAGUUAAGUGUAGGAAUAAAAAAAUAUUUAAAUGAAUAAUUGAAUAAAAUAUAAAGAAGAUAUAUUUUUAAAUAAGGUUUAGGGAUACGUUUUUAUGAUGAAAAAAAUUAAACAUAUUUAAAAUUAUUAUAUUUAUUAUUAAUUAUUAUUUUAAUUUCAAAAAAUAUCUAUAUUAUUUUUAUACAUUAUUUAGUAGUUUGUGUAUAUUAUAAUCAAAAUUAGAGAUUAGUUUUGGUGGCUAGAGUUCAAACCAUGCUAAAAGCAAAAUAAUAAAGAUUUCGUAACAUUUAUUUGAAUUCGAAGUCAGAUUUCAAGGGUUAAAAAUUCAUAUUUACUCCAAAUAUACAACAGAUGAUAUUUUUGUUAUCCGAAUCUGCAGUUUGAAUAGCCAUCCCUAGUAACUCUAAUAUUCAACUGAUGUGAUAUUCAAGGUUUCUCUCUAAAACCGAACAUUCUCCUUCCAACAAGAGCCCACUUCCUCAAUGGCUAGUGGCUACCCCAAAGUGUCAUAAUCCACGCUCUAACCUAUGAAGUAUUAUGGGUUUUAACUUGUUGAGCUUUACGUUCUUGUCCACAAAAGGCAUCUCAAAAGGUGAAAGUGGUGUGAACAUAAAGUAUUGAAAGAAGUUAGCAUUAUAUAAGUGGAUUUAUCAAGUUUUUUUUUUAUUGAUAAAUAUGGAUAGUACCAUUUCGAGUUUAUUGAUAAUAUUUACAUACAAAUAUAAAAUUGUUAAUUAAAUUUAAUAACGUAAUAAAAUAAUUAUAUUUUAACUAUUAAAAUAUACAAAUAAAAUUUUAUACCUACCUGUACAAGUCGACAUGCACAUAGCCUAAGCUUGUAAGCGCUGUGGAUUGAUUGCUUCGUUGUCGAUGUGAAGAGUCACUGUUGUAAGGCAAUGCACGGCGGCAUGGGUUAACCGGGAAAGAUACCAAGGAUGUGUUUAGUAUUGUUUUCUGACAAGUAUUUUUAGGACAAAAAGUACUUUUGAGACAAAAGCAUUACUAAACAAGCUAUUUUUUGAGAAAAAAAUUUUGUUCUCUCAAACCAAAAAUGGGCCCAAAAACAUUUUUUUUAGAAGAUGAAAUUUUUAACUUAAAUAGGCUAAACCUCACUACUUAGGGCCUGUUUAGUAGUGCUUAAAAAAAGUACUUUUGGCUCCAAAAACACUUUUAAAAGAAAAAUUGUGCUAAACAAGCUGCCUUUAGCUGAGAUUUUUGGCUUUUCAAAAAUUCUUUAAGCACUUCUGUAAAAGAGAAACUAAAAUUUUUAGUUUUUCCUCUUCCGAAAGCACUUUUGGUGCUUAAUUAUUUUUUCACCCCUCCAAUAACAUAGUACUUUCCUUUUUUUUUCUUGGUACUUAAUUAGAAAUGUGUUAAAAUCAUUAAUUAAAAAAAUAUUUUUAAAAUAUUAAUUACAAAUAUUUAAUGGUUAUAUUUAAAUAUUUAAAAUAUGGUUUAUAUAUUCUAAUUAAAUUUUAUAAAUAAUUAAUAUUUAUUGCUUAAAAAUAUUUAAAAUUUAUAUUUCAUAUAUUAAAAUAUUAACAACAAGUUAUAAUAAUUUUUUUAUAUUCUUACUAAAAUAUAAUAAUAUUAACUGAUUUAAAUAUUAUUUAAAUGUAUAUUUAUUACUUAAUAUUAAUAAUAACAUGUGUAAAAUGAGCAUUUUAUUUCUCAAAAGCACUUUUUGACAACAAUUCUAAAUACUCAAAUUUUAAACCAAACUUUUUAAAAACACCUCUCAAAAGCUGUAACACCCCUAACCCGUAUCCAUCACCGAAUUAGGGUUACGAGGCAUAACCAAACAAACACAACCAUUUCUUUUAAAAAAAAAAACCAAACUGAUCACAAACAUGGAAAUUAAACCAUUUUCUCAUGGCUAUUUAUAUUUUACAAUCCAAAUCUAACCAAAAUCAUAUUCAAACCUAUACAUGCCAUAAGGUCGAGUUCAAAAUUUUAACAAAAUACCAAAAGAAGUCGAUAGUGUGAUAGACUAUGCUGAUGAUCCCCGAGCUCGUAACGCGUCUCCAAAAUCUAUAAAUCAAAUGGACAAAAACAAUCAAAGUAAGCUUUCAUAGCUUAGUAAGUCUAUAGCAUAUCUAAAAUACAUAUAAAAGAAUGUAUACUUAACUAAUACACAUAAACAGACAUAUGUAUAGACAUUAUAUGCAUAUAAUCAAGUUACCAACAUAAUCAUUAACUGCAUAUACUGAUUUCUAGUGUAUUUUUCGUUCGCACUUCAUCGGAUCCAUUUAUAUAUAAAUUUCCAAAUACAUAUACCAAUAACAUAUUUUUAUACUUAUCAAUUACAAGUGCCGAAUACACUUAUACAAUUAUAAUCCACAUAUGCCGAAUGCGUUCAUAUAUAUAUAUAUAUAUAUAUAUAUAUAUAUAUAUAUAUCUCCAACAAUUUCAUGACAACCAAUAUAUGCACAUACUCAAUAAUCACAAAGAUUCAAACAUUUAUACACUCAUCAAACACAUUGAAACAAAUGUUCAUAUAUUUGUCCAUUACAUAUAAUCAAAAGCAUAUAUAUAUAUAUAUAUAUAUAUAUAUAUAUAUAUAUAUAUAUAUUUAUACCCAAUGCAUAUAAUCACUUAAUUUAAACAGAUUCACUAGCAAUUCAUCUAGAUUCAGUUCACCGGCACUUAGCCUGCUAGGCUUAUAGCCUGAUUUAGUUCACCGGCACUUAGCCUGCUAGGCUUAUAGCCUGAUUCAGUUCACCGGCACUUAGCCUACUAGGCUUAUAGCCUGAUUCAAUUCACCGGCACUUAGCCUGCUAGACAUAUAGUCUGAAUAAUUUCACUAGCAAUAAAUCCGAUUGAUACUGAGCUUUAACAAAAGAAUNNNNNNNNNNNNNNNNNNNNNNNNNNNNNNNNNNNNNNNNNNNNNNNNNNNNNNNNNNNNNNNNNNNNNNNNNNNNNNNNNNNNNNNNNNNNNNNNNNNNNNNNNNNNNNNNNNNNNNNNNNNNNNNNNNNNNNNNNNNNNNNNNNNNNNNNNNNNNNNNNNNNNNNNNNNNNNNNNNNNNNNNNNNNNNNNNNNNNNNNNNNNNNNNNNNNNNNNNNNNNNNNNNNNNNNNNNNNNNNNNNNNNNNNNNNNNNNNNNNNNNNNNNNNNNNNNNNNNNNNNNNNNNNNNNNNNNNNNNNNNNNNNNNNNNNNNNNNNNNNNNNNNNNNNNNNNNNNNNNNNNNNNNNNNNNNNNNNNNNNNNNNNNNNNNNNNNNNNNNNNNNNNNNNNNNNNNNNNNNNNNNNNNNNNNUAUAUAUAAAUAUAGGGUGAGGAAAAUACUCAAUAUAAAUAUUUAUUAAUAAGUAUACAUACUUAUUCACUCCAACUUAUACAACUAUUUUAUACUAAAUUCACACCUUAUUCACACACACAUACAUAUGUUCGAAUAUAUCUCAUACCUUUGUAAUUUCAUACCUAAUUUCAAUACAACAAAUUUUACAUGUAUAUACAUGUAUAUUCGAAUAUAAUUUGUACAUAUAUGUUCAUACCUAAAUUUAUUUCAAAGUCAUUCAUAUGCAUAUUUGCAUAUUCAUAGUCAUUCGAAUCUAGCAUAUAUAUAUAAUUUCAUACUUUCAAUUCCAAUUUUUAUACUUUUAAAAUCAACUCAACACACAUACCAUUGAUAUACAUACUCAUAUGCUGAUUUAAUAAAAUUAAAUAGCUAAUAGACUUACCUCGGACGAUGGAAAAUCAAAAUCGGACGAUUAUUCGACUAAUUUGGCUUUUCCCCGAUCUAACUCUGAUUUCUUUGGUUCUCGAUCUAAAUAUAUUCAAAAUAAGAUAAUUUAUUUAUUAACACGUUCAAUUUAAUCCAAAAACACAUAAUUUGGCAAAUUACUAUUUUGCCCCUAAUAUUUACACCUUUUUGCAAUUUACUCUCUAUUGCAUAAAACACAAUUUAUACAAAAUUUGCCCAUACCACACAAGGGCCGAAUAUUCAUGGUUCUCAUACAAGUCCACACAUUGCAUUUAUUUCACAUUUUAGUCGCCAAAAAUUUAAUUUCACAAUUUAGCCCUAUUUACUUAAUUUCACUAAAAAUUCCAAUACAAAACAUAUUAAUCUAUCACAUAUCUUUCAUUUUUCAUCAUCAGCUAUCACAAAGUCCAAGCAUUCAUCAAUGGCACAUUUCCAAAUCAUCAACAAUUCACAAAAUUAAAACAUGAGUUUUGAAGAACACAAAGUAACGAUCUUAAAAACGUAAAAAUUAUCGAAAACCGAACAAAACACAUACCCGAAUUAAGCUCCCAAAGGUGCCGAAUGUUUAAAGCUUCCAAAGCUUUAUUUUUUCUUCUUAGAAUCGGCCAAGAAAGAUGAACACAUGCAUGGCCAUUAUUUAUUUAUUUAAUACAUAUUAAUAUACAUUUUACAAUUUUAACCUUAAUGAUUUAAUUAGAGUUGUCUAUUUUUGUCCAUGCAUAAUUCUAAUGAUUAAAUUACAACAUAAGGACUCUAUAUAAUAAAAAUCAUAGCAAAUAGGUACCUUUGCAUAUAGCAUGCUAAUUUUGCAUUUUACACGAUUAAAUCCUUUUAAUUAAAUCGAGCACACCAACGAUAAAAUUUUCACACGAAAUUUUCACACAUAUAAAUUAACAUACUGUAGACUAAAAAAAUAAUAUUAAAAUAUUUUUCUGACUCGAAUUUGUGGUCCCGAAAAUACUAUUCUGAUUAGGGUCAAAACCGGGUUGUUACAAAAGCACUUUUCAAAAGCAUUGUCAAACUAGCCCUUAGAUCGUUAGGAUGUAAAUGAAACAUCUAUUCAUAUUAUUUUAUUUAUUUGUGUUGGAUGAAAAUUUUUAAAUUUUAUUUAUUUAUUUAAAAAUAUAUAUUUUUGUAUUCAUUCUUUUAAAUUAAAUGAAUAUGUUCUUGAAUAUUAAACAAAUAUGCUUGAAACAUGCUUAUAAACAUAAAAUAGAAUAUGUUUGCAAACAAUUAAAAAUAUGUACAUGAAUAAUAAACAAAUAAAGCAUAAAUAAACAUAUUUAAUAUAAAAUAAUUAAAUAUUAAUAUUAAUAAUAUGGUAUAAAUAAGAAAACUAAAUAUAAAAUAAUAUUAUUAAUGAUAUAAUAUUGUAAAAUAAAUGAAUUUUUAAAAAAAUUAUUAAACGAACUUUAAGCAAAUAUAAACAAACUCACUCAUGAACAUAAGCGAAUAGAAAUUAAAUAAUUCAUGAACUCUAACCCCCACCUCAACCCUGGAAUGAUUUCUCAAUUUGUCAUGAAAUUUUACCUAAUGUUAAUAUUAUUUUAAUUUUUACAAUAUAAAAAUAUAAAAGUAUUUAUAACAUUAAAAUAUAUGAUAAGAACUCUUAUAAAAUCAAUAAAUUAUAAAUAAAAGGGUAGUCCUUGAAUGAGUUGAUGUCACCCUCAAUCAUGUCACCAAUUCGGUUAGGAAAUUAUAAAAAUAUCUUUCCAUAAUUAAAAAAAGUUAUAUUAUUCGAUGAUAUUUUAAUCUUUUCAUUUUUAACAAAAAUCAAUUAAAAUAUACAUGUAGUGGGAUUCAAACUCGCGCCAAUUGGACUACUAAAACCUUAAAUUUACAACUCAACUAAAACUUUAUUCUAAUAUAUAUUAUACAUUUUUGUUUUAAUGUACAAAAUUUAUUAUCCCUAUCAGUUCUAUAUAUUAAUAAUGUUAUUUGUUGAGUUGAUAUCACAAGUCAACUCAAUACUAAUUCAUAAUUGAUGAAAAAUCAUAAUAAAUAAUUAUAUUGCAUUUAGUAUUUUUAUCUUAUUUAUUUAUGUGUUUAAAUUUCGUUUUACUUAUAAUUUAAUUUAUUUUUUAUUUUAAUAGCUUACAUAUUUUUUAGGUUAUUAUAAUUAAUUAAUUAUUUUCAAAUCAUACAUUUUAUUAUUUAUUGUAUGUUACUUUUAAAUAGACAAAUACGAGAUAAAAUUUCUAGUUUUAAUAAAUAUAUUGUGAUGAACGAAUGAAUUUCAUUUAAACCUAUCCACCUCCAAUUGUAGGGUUAAGUGUUCGAUCAAAUCGAAUGAAAAUUUUUUUAAUUAAUCGAGUCGACGAAUCCUAUUUUAUCAUCCCAACUCGAUUUGAAAUUUUCUCGAAUUGAGUCAAGUGAGAUGGAAUUCGAAUAGAAUCAAAUCGAAUAUAUUUGUUUGAGUUAAAUUAAAAAAAUGACUUUGGGUCCUUGUAGUCAUUGCCACCUACCGUAAUCAAAUUUGUUAUUAAUUUUCAUCAUUCCCUCAUAAUUUAUUUAUUAAUCUUUUAUAUACAAGUUAGAUCCUUUGAUUGCUUAGUUGCUUCAAUUAUCUUCUGAUUCUUGUCAUCAUGUAUUUUGAAAUUAAAAAAAUAUAUUAAAUGUAAAAAAAUGAUUUUUUAAUAAAAUUUAUUUUAAAGAUAAAAUGUGAAAUUGAUACCAACAGAAAAUCUUAACAUGAAUACUUUAUGAUAUCAUCAAUAAUUUAAUUUUAACAAAAAUUGAUAAAGAUUUAACAUGAUUAAACAAUUCAAUAAUAUAAAUAGUACAAAAUGUGAAAUUUAAUUUACUAAUAUAAAUAGAAGACAUAAAUUUGAAAAAAAAAGUUUUGGGGGUUUGGAGGGAAGUAAAGUUUUGAGAGAAAGCAAAAGGAAAAAAAAAAGGGGUUUAGAGGAAGUAACAUUUUUUGGGAGAAAGUAAAAGGAAAAAACUUUUGAGGGUUUGGGGGGGAAGAAAUUUUUUUAGGGGAAGUAAAAAUUUUGAGGGGAAAAUAAAACGAAAAAAGGUAUGGGACUUUGGGGGGAAAGUAAAAGGGUUUGAGUGGGGGGGGGAGGGGGAAGGGAAGUAAAAUGGUUUGAUAUUUGGUUUAUUUGAAUUAGUCGAGUUAUUCGAAUUUGAAAAUUUAACUCAAUUCAAACUCAAAAUUUGAAAAAGUUUCGAGUUGAUUCAAUUAACUUGAUUAAUUCGAUUCAAAUAAUUCAAAUUUUGAAAAAAAAAUUCAAUUUUUUAAGACGAAUCAAAUUUUGCUCACCCCUACCCAAUUGAUUGGGAAAAUUUUUAUAUUGAGAAAACUUAAUCGUUGUGUUGCAAAAAACAAUUUAAAAUAAAAUAAAACAAAAUUAAUUCUAUUAAGAUGAGGAGUGUUAUGAUACUUACUAUUACCGACCCAUAAUCCAAAUGGGUCCAAGUUGGGUUCUACACGAUUCGCACAUUGUGCUCGCGUAUCGAGCUCGCAUGACACUAAGUGUUCAUAGGAGGGGAACUUACACCCUCCCAUAAGAUUACACGUGAAAUCGCACAUGAGACUGUGAGAUGUGGAUUCGCACGUCACUACAUAGGCACCGAUCACCUUGAAAACCGGGGAUCGACUUUUGAAAAUAAAAUGGGAGUCGCCACCGAUCUUUUAUUGAGGUGUGAUCGGAUCACCUUGAAAACGAUUUUAGGUCUACAAACUUUGAGAAAAUAGGUUCGGGAGUCGGUUACGCACGAGGAAGGGUUAGCACCCUUGUAACGCCCAAAAUUGGUACCAAAUUGAUUAUUUAAUGUCUUAGUGUCGAAAUUUUGAAAAGAUUUUAAAAUAUGAUCCUUUGAAAAGAAAAUUUGAAUAAAAUGAAUUGGAUGAUAAGACACUCUUAUCUUAUUUUAAAGAAAUAAAGUGUCACACCCAGUAAGUUAGGGCGCGACAUUUUUAAUCUUCAAAAUUAAGGAUCUUCGGUUAUUUGAGCCAAAUGAAAAAAUCGGAACCCAGUAAGUUAGGGUUCAAUUUCUCAAAAUUCUAAACGCAGAAUAUUGCCUUUAUUUUUUUAGAAAAAUCCUCGUCUCGAGAAAACAACAUGUCAUAUCUAAUGCAUUAGGACACAACGUAUCGAAUUCCUGAGAAUGAGCUUUUUAUUUAUGUUUUAAUUAAAAAGGAUAUUCGGUUUCUUAGAUUCAACGAGGAAGAUUGGAAUCCAGUAAGUUAGGACACAAUCUUUUCGAAGAUCCCAAAUGCCGAAUAUUGCGUUAUUUUGAAAGCUUUGAAUAAAAUGAUUUCGAAGCUUAAACCAUAUUGAACGUAACUUUCUAAGCAAAUAAAGCGCGAUGAAAUAUACAAUGCGAAGUGAUAAUUUAUAAAUGACAUACAUUAAUGAAUAACAAAUAAGCCAUAGACAAAAACUAACAAACAAGGCAACGAUAAUCCCAAUCAUACAACAUCCAAAAAUUAAAUGAAUUACUAAUCAAUUUUUAAAGAUACACUAGAAAAGAAAACAUUAUAAUAGAUAAAUUGUGCCUAUAAAAGUUUUAAAAUAGACAAUAUACAUAUAAGUAGGAAAUGUAUUCAAAAUAGAGUAAAAAAAAUAACACCACAUGAAGUAAUAAUAUUUCGAUUAAUUUUGAAGCAAAUAUUAUAUAAGAAGAAAAUUAAAAUAUAUAAAGUAAUAUACAUAUAACAAUACAUAUGAAACUUGAAAAUAGUAAAAUAUACAAAGUAGGUUUUCCUAAAAGAAAUAAAUUAUAUAUGUAUGUAAAAGAAAAAUGUUGGUUUAAAACAUAUAAAUAUAUUUAAAAGACAACUUUAAGGUAAAUAAUUAUAAUUACAGGAAAUCAAUUAUAUGUAUGUGAGGUAAAAAUAAUUUUAAUGAAAGUUAUAUGUGUAUAAAAAAUAUAGUUUUAAAAUUAAAUAAUAUAUAUUGCAUAUGUACAUAUAUGUAUAAUAAAAACAGUCUAAAAAUAAUAGUAAAUAAUAAAGUAACAUAUAUAUAUAUAGGUAAAUAGAAAUAUAAUCAAAUAUAACAAUAAUAAAAAUAAUAAAUAGUAAUAAAAAAUAAUAAUAGUAAAUUAAUUAAUAGCAAAAAUAUCAACCAGGACUAAAUUGGAAUGCAAACAGAAAUUUUGGGGCCAAUACGCAAUAAAUAAAAAUGAAAAAAGGGCUGGAUCGGGUGCCCGAAUAACUAGGAGGGAGUAAAGCGGAAAAUAUCCCCGCCCUCCCAAAACGUUGCGCAGUAACAUAGGCCAAAAUGAAGCAUGAAAUUCAUAAAUAAAGAAAAAACUGAUAUGAAAACACCACGAAGGAAGGGGGACCUUAUACGCAAAUAGACCAGACGACCAAAAUGUGCUAAUCCUUCCCCGAAUCGGGUCACCGCGCGGGACGGACCUUCUAAACGGCGUCGUUUUCAAAGAUAUUGAGGCAUGCUUAAAACAGUGCCGUUUCUUUCCCAGGAUAUAACUAAAAAUAACCUAAACUUAAAACCUUCAGUCAUUUUUAAGAAAAAAAACCUAAAAGAAACUAAGCCUCCUUGCGCCGCUCCGCAUAACGGCCGUUCAUCAGCCCUCCAAACCUCCGUUCGACCCCGAUUACAACAGAGAGAACAAAGAUCUGGCCUCCAGGUAAUCUCCUCACUUUCUAGUCUUAUUCUUUUUUUUUUAUUUCUACACUAAAAAUGAACAAUAGAACCAAAGAAAAACAGAGAAAAGCGAAGAGAGGAUUUUAAAUCACCUUACGAGUAUUCUGUUUCUUUUUCUUUGAAUCUUUUUUUUUUGUAUUCAAUCUCUGUCAAAAAAGGGAAGGAUUUACAUUGUAGUAUUCGGCUUUAUAUAGCCGGAUCGGAAAAAAGAAAUAAAAAUAAAAUGAAAAUAAAAUCACAUCUAUUUUCUCUACUAUUUUGUUAUUCGAUUUUUUUUUGCUGUCCAUUUCUUUCUCCUGUGUGGUUGUUUGUUUGUUUGCUGCGCAGGUACAACGUACGGAGACCAGCUGUGACAUGGAGGGGACGUGUGGCGGAUAUGGAGGGUACGGAGGGGCACGUGAGAGCAGAUGCGCGUGCGGGGAGCGGCUCGAAGGCGUGGUUCGUGCGAGGGCAGAGCCUGGUUGCGGCGCUGGGGGUUUGCUGCUAGGGUUUCUGCAAUCUCUUUGGUGUUGGGCCAUCGGGUUUAGUAUUCUAGGCAUAUGCAUUUGGGCCUACUUGGAUUUAGGCCUGCUGAUGUAAAGAACUGGACUAUGUUAUUGGUUUUUUUUUUGGACUUUUAAUUUUGGUUUUGGUUUAUUAUUAUUUUUUAUAUUUUUUGUUUAUUUAUUUCUGAUUUGGGCCGGGCAAAUUGGGCCUAUUACACAUGUGUUAAGUUUAGAGUAGGGCACGUGUUGGCAUACAUGGAACCUACCUAGGAUAUCACAUCAAUGAACAAUAACAAUAUCAUAUAAAUAUACAACCUUACCAUAUGGCUGAGCAUUCGAUCGAGUCGAGUCGAAUCGAGUCAAAAAAUUUCAAGUUAGUUGAGUUAACGAAUCAUAUUUUAGCAACCGAACUCAAUUUGAAUUUUUUUCCAAAUCAAAUCGAAUCGAGUAAAAAAUUUUCGAGUCAAGUCAAGUCGAGUUAACAAAUCCUAUUAUUUACACUCAAUGUUGCUUUUACAUGGACGGAUUAUUUAACUAGUAGAUAAAGUGCAAGAUUAUUUAACUACUAGAUGAAGUGUAAGAUUAUUUAACUACAUAAACAAUACAAUAAUUUUGCCUUUUAACUUAAUGGGUAAAUAUUUAUCAAAACGACGUAAUUUUUCCUUUUCUUAUUAGAUUUUUGAAUAACUCAAAUUGUGUAAUUCAUAUUCGAGUUAAAUCGAAAAAAUUGAUUUUUUAUUUGAGUUAAUCCGAAUAACUCAAUUAACUCAAACUAUUUAAUUCAAAAUUUGAAUUUUUAUCGAAUUUUUUGAAUCGAAUUGGAUUUUGCUCACACCUACCUUACCAUCUAAAGAAGAUAGAGAAACACUCAACAAUUUGGUGCGGUGAGCGUGGACAGACUUCCGACUUCUAGAUUUUCAAUCUACAAAAAACCAAUAUGGCUCAACCCAAUGAAAAUUUCCCCACAAAAGUUUUGGCAGGACAAGCUGGAGGUUCUGGCACCGGCAAUCAACCUAGUGAGAUAGAUCCAUUUACUAGAUGGUUUGUUGAUUGACCGAAAAUUUUGGGUAAUUUGACCCAUGCAGAGGCCUCAAAUUCUUUUGAUCUGAAUGUUCCUUUUGGUCAGGGAUUAUAGUUUCCCUCUGAUUAGGAGGCAUCCCAACAACAACUAUUCACCCUUCAAGGGCAAUUGAGGUUGAUGAGGGAGCAGAUGACUUUACAAAGUAGUAGGUUCGAGCAACAACAAACGUUUCAACAAGAAUUGUUAAGACAGAAAGAAGAGUUGAAGAGGAAAGUGCAAUAUGAUAAUUCUGAUAUUCAAGAUGACGCAAUGCUCGCCCAAAAAGAGGAUGUUGGGGCACAUGCAAAACCGUGGCAGAUCGAGAUGCACAUUUUACGUAAAGAUGUACUAGUUUUACAUCCUGAUACUUAGGACAUGGAUUGGUUGUUUUGCUCUAACAAUCCACUGGCUCCUGAAGUGACAACUAUGAGCUUACCAGUCGAAUUUAUAGUUCCGAAAGAAAUGUUCGAAGGAAGAAGGGAUCCUUAAGCACAUCUCAUGUAGUACAAUGAUUAUAUGAAUGUGCUAGGAGCCUUUGACGCUACAAAGUGGAAAGCCUUCUCAACGAACCUUAAGGGAAGUGCAAAAGAUUGAUGUUUGUCUCUCCCGUAGGGUUCCAUCCAGGGCUUCUUGUAGUUGGGUCAAAUGUUCUUGGGAAGAUUUUGUGCUCAUAGAACCAUUAUGAAUACUUCUAUGGGUUUAAUAUUUGUAAAGCAGAGGGAGGGAGAAACCUUGCAGGAUUAUGUUAAACAUUUUCAUACAACGACAUUAAAUACAAAGAAUUUGGAGGAUCAAUGAGUCAUUGAUGUUUUUAUCAUGGGUGUUCAGAAUGAGCACGUGCAGUAUUCUUUUACUGAUAAUAGGCCACAGAGUUUGGAAGAUUUAUAUGUGAGGACCCUCAAAUUUGCUAAAGCAGAAGAGAUUAAGAAAGCUACUCACAAUACAUUUCAAAGAGAUGACAGACAGUUUAGGAACCGAAAAGGAGUUCGAGUUCGCCAAGGCCCGCCUUCUCAAACUUUACAAGUACAAGGCGGGGGAUAGCAAAAAGGUCAUUCGCAGAAUGAAUCAUCGAGAGUAUUCACUCUUUCCAACACAUUCCAUCCAUUCCUCCAUUCGCCAACCUAUACUUUGAUGCUUGAACACCGCAAUGUCCCCUUCGUAAAGCCUAGAGCUUCGCACGUCACGGUUUGCACUCAGCAAAACCAUAUGAUAGUAUCUAACAGAACCAUCUUUUUUUCCCAUUCCUAACUUUGCCUAACCCAUAGUUGGUCAUCCCUACCGUAAUAUGCAUGUUUCAUUCAUACAUACUAUGCAAAAAAUAGUAAACAAUGCACUACACUAGUUAAUCAUUCAUCAAUCACCUAAUAUUAUGUUCAAAAAGAACAUUGACAAUUUCUCAAAAUUGCAUAUAGCUCUAGAGAAUAAAGUGCAGAUACUCACCUUGUUUUCCUCAUCCUGGACAACUUAGCUAAUCCAAACGCUAAAGCCUCCUUUAUCCUGGCGGCUAAGCAUGACAACCAUACUGUGGUUAAACCAAUGGUGAUGAAUUCUUAGAAACCCAAAAUCUUAAAUUAUACUGAAGCUUUGAGAGUUUUAGUCUACUUCUAUCCUUAGUUCCUAAACACAAAGAAAGAUAAAGAAACUUAGCAAUUCCUCAAUUUCUCUAUCACCAGGCCUAGAUUCAUGCCUUUGAUACAACAUGCAGAGCUUCCUUCAUCUGCAUUCCCUUUUUCUUCAGAACAACCGAAGAAGAAAAUGCUUGAUGGAGGUGAAGACUUACAAACAAAAUUAAGAUAAUUCGGUCUCCACUCUCACCCAUAUAUAUACUCAUUGGGCACAAUUUUCAUUGACCCUUUCCACCAUCCAUUUUUAAUCAUUUUGUCUACCACUCUGAAACCAGUCGGUUCCUGUCUAACUGAAUUGGAAUUAGAAUCUAACUAUUCACAAUUUAGUCACUAUGAUUCCCCUAACUUCCCAACGAAGUCCGGCAGUUUACUGGUCUUUUCAAUUUAAUCCUAACUUUCCAAAUUCCCAAGCCAAUUAGGGUAAUCUAGUGUUACAUCAUACACCAAUUUUCUAAGUUUUCUACCAUAGUUAUCUAUCAAAGACUCAACAAUUAAUAAUUCUAGUACUUGGGCUAUAUUUUUCUACUAUUUCAAGCUAAAGGUUUAACAAAAAAGUGAUGGAAGAAGUUCACGUACCUUUCCAAUUGAGCUACAUGUAUGGAGAGAAACUAUAAAGAAAGCUCUCAUUUUUUUUCCCUUUCUCUCAUCAUCGAAUGGAAUGAAUAAAAAAAAUAGAGAAUAAGCUUUCCACUAUCCCAUAUAUAUUACACCACUUAAUUAUUUUCCUUUAAUAAUAACAAAAAUAAUAUCUAAUGGUCAUCUUUUUAUCUCAAAUAAGUUAAUGGAAAUCAAUAGACAUUAUUAUGGUCAUCCACUAACUUAAUUUUGGUUUAAUUGCUAACAUGGUUUGGCCUAAUUAUAGCUCAAGGACUUCUUUAUUUGAUUAAUCUUUCAUGAGAAUGGCCAUUACUUUUUUUUUUUUUGAAAUUAUAAAUUGGAUUGAAAAAUUAAAGAGACCCAAGUUAAGGCCUUUGGGCUACCCAAUACAUCAAAUCCAAUAGCUUAAAGAAC
rnacentral:lncRNA from 1 species